rnacentral:lncRNA from 1 species
UUUAUUAUUAGUUGCAUUCACAUAUGACAGCUGCUAGUACUACUAUAUUACACGGAUCGGAUAUCUUUUUUCUAAUUUAAUUGGUGGAAGUGGUUGAUUUUUCUUAUUUUGAACGUUAUUCCGGUCAACCUUAUCCUACCUCCCUAUCCGACCUAUAGCUAGAUUUAGGUCUAUAAUUUAUUAUGAGUAUCCAGUUUAGGGAGGAUGCCGACAUUCAUAGCAGUUUCAUUAUCUUUAUCCUUACUCUGCAGUGUUUUUAGUGUUUUUAGGUUAUUUGUAAAAUAAAAAUUCAAUUUUUUCACUAUGUACCCAACAGGUUCCUUAUAUUGAUUCCUUAAAUAAUAAAAUUUAAAAGUUAAAAGUUAAAAUUUCCAAUAGUCAAAAUAUCAAAUUAAUAAUAAUCUUAUAAUUUAUAAAAGAGAGUAUAAUUUAUCAAUUAUAUUUCACUGUAAAAUAAUAUUUAUUUUAUUUUAAAUUUUAAGUAAUUUAUAAAGUGAGUAUUGAAUGGAUUGUAGUUGCAAAUGUACAUAAGAUUAAUAUUAACUUUUAAAAAGUUAAUUUGUGAUAUUUUUAAAUUUAAAUUUAAUAUGAUUCAUUUAAAUUUUGAAAAUAAUAAAUUUUAUAAUUAUCAUUACGUUUAUAAUAUUUAUAAUUAUAUUGACAUAAAUUAAAUAAAUUUAUAUCAAUUUUAAUUUGAAUAUGUUUGAAAUUAAUUUUUUAAAUAUAAGUCAAUAUUAAGUUUAUAAUUUGAAAAUAAAGUAGUAAAAAAAUGUCAAGAUGUGUAUGAUUGAUGAGUUGUCCACUUAAAUGAGGGUGUGAAAUGUCAUUUUGUAUAUAUAGAUAAUGAUCUUUUGACUCCCUCACUUUGGGGAAUAAAAUCCUAUAUAGGGAUUAAAAUAGAGAGUCAAAUAAGGACAAGGAAGCUGUUGAAUAAUGAUUUAUUGAUGCAUUCUUCAAAAUUGAAAAUAAAAAGUUAAUUAAAGAAACUGUUGUUAAUGCUCUUAUGCUACUAGUAUUUACAUCCAGUUCCAGUUCCAGUGUGAGACAACUUUUUGUAUAAAAUUAUCCCCAAAAUGAUUGAUUAUAACCUACGUUUUUAAGUAUACAACAGUAGUACAUACACUUGUUCCAUCUCAAAAUUUAAAUUAAUUUUUUUAAUAAUAAUUUAUAUUUUAAAAUUUUAAUAUAUAUUAACUUAAAAAUUAUAUUAAUACAAGUGAUGUGAUAAUAAAAAAUAAUGUCAAAUUAAGAAUAUUAUGACACCCUAUAGACUAUAGUCUUAAAUUAAAAAUUAAUCUCUAAGUUUGAAUAAUAUGAAGAAAAAGAUAGAUAUAUUUUUAGGAUUAAAAAAAUAGUAAGGUCUAAAAUUGUACAAAUUAAUUUCACAAAAUUAUUUUGGUGGAGCAGUUAGUAUAAUAAUAAAAUAUAACAGUUGAUAUUGUCAGAGUAUUGAAUUUGAUUUAAAAUAUAAACCCUUAUAAAAAAUAUUGUUCUGACAAGAUAAUUUCCCAAAAUAUAUUCAUAGUAAAAUAUGGUUUUGCAGUUAUGGAAAUGGCACCGACUGAGAAGCGGCAGGCAAGUUGAUGAGAGCUGAAGUUUUCACGUUAUGGACCACGUGUCACCCAUAAUAGAUAAAUAAAUAAUAGGAGUAUCUUGUUUAUUCCUUCGACUUUGGAAGACAUACAUCUUCGCCUCUACUCUAGAGUCACGUUGCUCAUGGGACACACACACUGCAUGCCACCUCAUUUCCACGUCACAAACCUCCAAAAGUGUUUGGUCUGGACAAACAUGGAGAUCGAUGCUUACUUUAUACACACUCUUUUUAAAAUUAAAAUUUUAUUUAUUUCUAAUUAAAACCAUAUAUAUAUAUAUAUAUAUAUAGCUUAACUAAGAACGACAACAUAAUUAAUAAUAUUAAAAUUAAUUAAAAAUGUGUUACAUUGUCUUACUAUCUAUCUAUAUAUACUACCAUUAAAAGAAAUAAGUUUCUAUUUAAAACAAAAAAAUUGAAAUAAAACUCUUAGAGAAUACGUACGCACCAGCAUUAUUCAUUUUUUUUUACUAAUAUGAUCUAAAUUGUUAUCUCCCAUUUUAUGAAACUACAAGUCUCCUGUUGUGUGCAUAAUUAUGGCAAAUUAAAAUACAUUUCACCAAACUUACAGGAUGAUAUAAACAAAAGAUAAUUAAAGAGGACAAAUUAAUCUAUAUAUAUAUAUUUACUUGUAUAAAAAUUAAUCUAUAUAUAUAUAUUUACUUGUAUAAAAAUUAAUCUAUAUAUAUAUAAAAAUUACAAAACAAAGUAUAUAUUUACUUGUAAGAUUUCUUAUAAGCCAAAAAUGGAUGGGCAAAUUGAGCCACACCGACCAAAACCCAUUCAUUGAGAUAUAUAUGUCAAGAUUUUAAAAUGACUAAAGAAUUGUAUUCGCGAUUUUAGGAAGCUUCCGCGCUAGGCUACUCAAACCGCACCGCUCGAUAUAUCUUAUAUAUUAUAUAUAUGUUUUUAGAUGUUAAAUAGACAAAUUCCUAAAAAUAUAUUAGACAAUUUUAAUUAUAUUUUCUACUUUUAAACUUUUUGUUUGUGGCUAGUUAGAAAUAUUUUUAAUUGAAUUACAAUGGUUUGAACAAUGUUGAAGCAUUCAUGAGUAACAUAUUUCAAACCUAAAACUUGUUGCUUGAUAUUAUUAUGUUAAUUUCAUGUAUAGAUUAUUAUACAUAAAGAUGAAUUUGAUUUAUUGAAAUUGGUUUUAGGGCGAAACCGAACCAAAUAAAAUUGAAUUGCAAACUCCACACCGCAUCAAUUACAAGCAGUAUCAUGUGCGAUUUUAGAAUUGUCAAACUGCACUCAAGCGGUAUAAUGUGCACCAAAUUGCAUCAUGUUCUAUGAGUCUACAAAGUUUGUAAUAACAAUCAAUCACAUUAUUUUAUAAACAAUUUUUUAAAAGAUUCUUUUAUAAUCAUAUAUAUAUAUAUAUGAUAAUAUUUAGUGAAAUAAUGAAAAUCUGAUUAAAAUUAGAAGCUAGGUGAAAUUAAAUAAAUUGGGUAUAGAAAGAAUUAUUUAAAUAUUUUGAUUGAAUUUGCUCACUAGUGUUAGUGUAUGUUUAGUUAGUGAACGUGGUUUUAAACAUAUUUAAAAUUUUUAUUUGUUUCACAAUAAUUUAUUUUAUUUACAGAUAUAAUAUUUACACAACAAAAAUAAUACAAUACAAUUCGUUUGAAUGUUGAAACGGUGUAAAGGUUAGUAGUUUUAUUUAAAAGAGUGGUUAGUAUAAAGUGAAUUUUUAUUUCAUAUUCAAUACAGUACUGACACAUAGACAAAAGAAUAAUCUCUUCGCUGUUUAACAAGGGAAGGGAACAAAUGUUUAUUUGGUAGAAAAGAAUUGGCGCGAAAAAAAGGAAACGGAGAGGGACAAGUGCUGCAGGGGGGCAGAAGGAGAGAGUGAGAGAUUAGAAUCAGAACACGUGAAGGGCAGGGCAGGGCAGGGCAGGGCAGGGCAGGGCAGGAAAAGGUUAGCCCCUCCCUCCAUGUGGUCCACGUCAGUCGGUCGCCUCGACAAGAGCUGCAAGGAUGCAGCUGGUGGAGAGAGAAAAAAUAAAAUACUAGUAGUAGUAAAACACCCACCCACACCUAGUCCACGUUCCCUUUUUCUCGCUUACACACUCAUUGAUACACCCUUAUAAUUUGAGUCCUUCUAAAGGGAUAUUUUUUUAGUGAUAUUUUUUUUAAUUUUUUUUUAAAGUUUUUUUUUUAUAGUAUUUUUUAAAAAAUAUAUAGUAUUUAUUUUAAUUGAAAUUUUUAUAAAAAAUAGUGUUUUAGGUAUAAUUUAGAUACAUACAAGAAACAGGCUUUGUACAGUCUGUACAAUCUUGUUUUUUAUAUGUAUCCAAAUUACACCUAAAAUACUAUUUUUUAUAAAAAUUCCAGUUGGAAUAAAUACUAUAUAUUUUUUGGGAGGUAUUACAACAAAAAAAAACCAAAAAAAAUAAAUUAAAAAAACUGUCACUAGAAAUGUCACUAAAAAAAUCUCCCUCUAGACUUAUUUUUAUAAUUUAUAUUUAAAUUUUAAAAAAAAUUAAUAAAAUAAUUUUCAGAAUUUUUAAUUUAUAUAUAUAUAUAUAUAUAUAUAUAUAUAUAUAUAUAUAUAUAUAUAUANNNNNNNNNNNNNNNNNNNNNNNNNNNNNNNNNNNNNNNNNNNNNNNNNNNNNNNNNNNNNNNNNNNNNNNNNNNNNNNNNNNNNNNNNNNNNNNNNNNNAGGUCUAGUCUUAUCAAUAAUGACACCAAUUUAAAAGCUUUCUUUCAACAAUCUUUCCUUCAUUACUCCUAUAACAUAAAUUCCUUUUUCCGGCUAUAAACAAAAGAAAAAUAAAAAACAUACAUGCAUAUUGAAAUAAUAAUAUUACUAUCAUAUAAAAAAAAAUGACAUAUUACGUGCACACACAUAUAUAUUAUGGACAUUUGUCUAACCUGUAGAAUCCGCAGUAUAUAUGUAAAUAUUAUGCGAUAUUUUUUCAAGUGAGUAACAUUGUUUAUAUUAUAAUUCCCGGGUAUUAAUUCGGAUCUGCCACGAAUCUCAUGUCUUUAAACCUGCCAAAGUACCACUCUCUCUGUCUUCACACUGAAUUAAUUGGUAAAAAUAUUAAUUAGGAAAUUUAUAUUUUUAUAAAAAAUAAUUAUGAUAAUUUUAUAAGAUCCCUGUCACAAUCAUGUAAAUGAGUAAAAAUUUUAAAUUUUACUUGUAAAAAUAUAAAUUCUUAAAUAUUACUGAUGCUGGCUAUUGUAGUUGCAUUCUUAAAAACAUACUCCUCCCCGCAUACAUAUUCGGAUUGUAGGACGCUAACUAAUAUAGUAAAAAUAAAAAUUAUGGUGGUAAUUAAGUUGAAGAUAACUUUUUGUUUUAUAUAUUAUUAUGACGGAUAUAAAUAAAUAAAAUUCUUAAUAUUACGGAUAAUGUGGAAGCAGAACUGAGAGAGGACGAAAUCGAAAUCCCUGUUGUGAUACAUCAUGUAAAAGCGUGGUAACCAAAUCAUUACCUAGUUUAUUUAUUUUAAAAAAACUUAACUAAAUAACUAACUAACUCGCUGAUGGAGUAGGGAGUAAUUUAAUAGUCAUAAUUGCAUUGGUUGUUUCAGUAUAAAGUGACAUAAGUGGUGAAUGAAUGCAUGGCUUGCUUGCUUGGUACAGAAGCCAUUGUAUUGUAUGCUACGCUGCGACCCAGCUGGCUUUAACAAAACAAAAUCUUUCUAGCGUUGGGCUACUUAGAUUUGUUGGUUGAAAAGUUGGUCGAAUAGUUAUAUAUAUAUGAUAUAUCGAAGAUGGGGAUGGGAGCAGUAGUUGAAUAAUGUUUAGUGGUGUUUACAGGUAGCAAGCAAGGUCAUUAAUUUGUUAAAUUUUCCCUAAACAAUUUCUCGACUCGCAGGGAGGGGAUGGGAGGGGAGGGGAGGGACCGACCACACGUCCAAACCAACUUUUAUUUGAUAACCAACAACACUUUCUUACUUCACAGGCUGUUCGUAUUGUUGGAUCAAAUGCCCCAUCAGAAACUUCAUAGCACAUGAUUUUUUUGUGUUACUAAUUAAUUUCCUCCAUUGAUUUUGAAUUUUAAGAUUUCACAAAUUAUUUUUAUUUUAAAAUCAAUAAGUAUAAUUUUGGGGGACAGCUCACUUCUACGUGUCUCCUGAUCUUUCAAUUGUGUUUGGUGUUUCUCUGAAACAGUUUUCUGUCCCAAAUGAAACUGAGCCAAGCUUAAGCUGCCAAUUUGCACAAUCAUGGGCCGGUCUAAUUUUUCUUUCUUUCUGGUACCGUUUCGUAUUUUGGGGAAGGGAGAUUAGAGAUUGGAAAUUCCAUCAUCCAUCAUUCAUCAUCCAUGCCUAGAGCACCACAAAAGCAUUCACCAAGAUGGAAAUUGAACCACCAUUUAGCUAGCUCUAAGCUCACACAUGCUCUGAAGUAGGAUUAAUUGACUGGAAAAAACAUAGUAUGCAAUAAACAAAUGUUAAGUCUAUGGGACAAAUUCCCAUUUGGACUGAUAUCAGAUUAUCAAAGUGCAAAAGGUAAUCCUUCCUAUUUGUUACAACAAGUUUAACACAUAAAGCUUCAUAACCUUUCCCAUACGUAGAGUAGAAGAGAUCUACUCGCACCUUUUUUCUUUUCUGAAAAGCACAAAGCCUGCAAACACUCAUCUGCCUUAACAUGUUCCAAAAUUCCUGCUUCCUUGAUGAUCAUGAGGAGCUUUAAAAGGAUUUCUGAGGACUGAAACUGAGGCAGCUUAAGAAUUAACUUCAGUUCUAUCCACUAGACAAUGCUCACGUAGGAAUUUCUGAUUGACCCAACUUCUUUCUAUAGAAUAGCUGUAAUAAGGGUAAUUAAGAGGACCAAGUCCUUGCAGUAAGUGUUGGAAUGGAGGGGGCUAUCAGGUUUCAUAUCCUAUCACCAAAAAUCAGAAAAUAUGAUAAGAGGAAAAUAUUUUCACAAGGUGCAGAAGUUACUUCAUUAAUGCUCAAGGUCAGGCGUGCCCAAUAAGGAGUAGUUGGGAUCAUCACUUCCAAGAAGAGGGAUAUACUCUGAUCCUCUCACAUGAAUACUAAAGCAAGCUGCAAAAACAAACCAAAAAUAUGAAGACAGUUCAAUAAUGAAUAAAGUAAUAUAUGAUGUAACCGAACUUGGUUCCGAUACGUUCACCGGGCAAGCUGAUCCAGUUACUUAAAUAUCACAUUUUCUGGAACCAAAAUUUCAAUUUCAUGAAGUUAUUCCAACAGCAGAUCCCACGUGAUUUUCUAAUGUUUGGGGAGUACCGAUCAAUUGACAGGACAAAAAAAAAAGAACUCACAAAUGAAAGCUUAAACAUUAUUCUAAAGAAAUCUAAUCAACCUUAAUUCAUCCGUAGUAUUAGUAUAUUUUCUUUACUUGGGUAAAGAAUGACAGCUUGAUUCCAAAAAAUGUACCACACUAAAAUAAAGUUUGGAAACAACUAACAUCUACUUAACCAUUGACAAGACGGCCACAACAUUAGCCAACUCAUGAAGUAUGUGCUCCCACCUUACUUACAUUGAUAAGUACAAUGUUAAAUUUCUUUUUCAGUGUUUCUCCUUAUAUGGGUGGGGCUGGAGGUUCUCAACUCCCACUACCAAACUUCAGCAUAAAACAACAAGUAAAACUAUUCAACUUUAAGAAUACUUCAAUACUCAACGGACAUGAAAUUUAAAACCAUACUCAUUAUAUAGUCUGUCUUAAUCUGCUGUGUUAGAGAUCGUUAAUACUGGGAUUUCGAGAUAAGAGAUUCACAAUUGACCCAUGAAAUUUAAUAAUAAGAUAUAUGUGGUUAAUAUGUAACAACACAGAAGGAAUACUGGAAAGACAUACCGUUUUCUAUUUUCAUUACACUUUGAAGCAUCGUAUCCAUCUUUGUUUUCAUGUCAGAAUUGUCAUCCAUGUCCGGAGCAAGAAGAGUCAGCUCUCUGUAGAUAUCUCGCACAAACCUGCAUAUCUUCUCGGCAAAUUCAACUUCACCAUCUGAUACUUGCCCAAUUGCCAAUCUCAUCAACUCUCCUGUCAAGUCCGCAAGCUAAACCAGAACACAUAGAAUCACUUCAAACAUAUACCAAUCAAUGUAAGAUGAUACUUUAAAUUAGUUCAGACUUCAGAGUGAACAAACUAUAUACACACUAAUGGCACACGUGUAAAAUAAAAUUAAUUACCCCCAAUAGGUAAUCAAGGACAUUAAUCUGCAAAGGCUCAACAGCUGGAUCACUUAAAGGUAGCAAGGCAGCAUUCAUCUCCUCAAGAUUCAAAAGAGUCCCAGUUUUGCAGAAAGUACAUAAGGUUGCAGCUUCAACAUAUUCUUGUACCUGUAGAGGAGCAAGAAUAAGGAAUAAAUUAUCAACUCUUUCUAGUAUUAACAAGUAUGAAUGAAGUGAAUGUACAACCCCAGGAGAAUAUGCUCGCCGUAGUUUCCAGAAAUCAGUCCCCUGAAGUUCUUUCACUAAUCGGGAGAUAUAUUGAUCUGUCACAGCUGCUAGAUCCUUUUCAGCCUUCCCCAAAACUUCCUCUUUAUUCUGUUUACUGAUUCUGUUAUUGGAGGAGAGAAAUAUAUAACUUAAACAGAAAGAGACAUCAAACCUAUCAAACUUUUCAGUGCAUAGAAGAGCCGCAACAGGAAGUUAUAGUUUUCAAAGUAAGUAUUUAACCAAGAAACAGCCAAAAGGCAGGGCUAGUGGAAUUUGAAUUAUUUUGUUACAACUAUAGAAAGCACCAGCAUUACACUGUUACACAUCAGUUGAACUUAUAAAAUGACUACCAGAUAUAUAUGUAAGCUUUGACAAAACAUAAUAUAUCAGCGGGCAUUAAGAUAUAGAGAAGUAGACAUGCCAAAUUUUGUGGAGUAUACUCACAUUAACAGCAAUAAUAAUAAUAAUAAUAAUAAUAAUAAUAAUAAAAUUGAAAAGACCCAACAAAAGGAACACCUGUGAAGUACGUUUGCCGUAUUGGUAAAGAGGUAAGACUCGAUAUCAAAGAUUCAAGAAAUUUAUAUUGGCAAGGAUAAUCAUAUUCAUUCCCUUACCUGUGCACCUGAAAUAUGACCUUUUUGCUAUUGAUGGUAAUAUCCCGACUCGCUUUCACCACCCUUUCCCUUUUUUCAUUCUACAAAAUUUCAUAGACUAAUUAGUUAAUAAAUGUGAGAAAAAUGCAUGGAAAAGAGAAGAAUACCAAUAAAAAAAUUAUUAAUGAUAAUAAUGUAGUCAUCAACCAUACAAUUACACUCCUUGUUCAAAACCAAAUAAUCCACAUUAAAUUGUAGGAAAUCCUGUUGGGAAAUUAAAGUUGCUUAAGAUUGGUAUAUCUAAGUGGUAACAACAUCUGAAGCCCCACCAUUGUUCAUCUCUUAUCAUGAUAGAAACUGGUUCAUAUUUUGUAUUGAAUAUUGCCUUGGCAUACAGUGAUGAGCUUAUAAAAAUGUAGAAAGGCAUUUCUUUUACCGCUAUCUAAAACAAAAUGAAUCAGACACAAUUAUAUACAAAAAGAAGAAAAACUAAAAAUAAUUAUAAUAAAAAGGGUUAAAAAUCAUUAAAACUAUAUCAGCAAGCAGAGGGAGAUAGAGGGAGAAGGGCUUAACGAGUUGAUUGAGGUAGUCAGCAUAAUUGGAGAAAGCAUCCUUCAUGGGGAUGGAGGAGGAUGAGUAUGAGUAGGAUUCAGUUGUCAUUGUCCUUGGCUUUUUCAAGGCGCCUCCCAACGUAGUCUCGGUCACUGAUUCAAAUACGAAAUAAUUAGGGUUUUAGAGAGAGAUUUUGAGAGGGAGAGGGGGAGGAGGGAAAGAAAAAGAGAUAGAGUAACUUACGGCGAUGGAGGCGCUGAGGUUUAGAUGCCAUGAGAGACAAUUUGCGGAAGGUGGAAGAGUAGUGUAACAACAUCUGUCUGUCCACACCACCACCACCUUUCUCCGCUACUUAUUACUAGUACCACCACCGACCUGGCUGGCCCGCCCCCAAAUAAUACUCCCUCCUAUUCAUAUUAAAUAUCUUUUUAGAGUUAGAGCACACUUAUUAAGAAAUAAUUCAAAAUAUCUUUUAUAUUUUUAAUUAAUUAUUUCUCUCUCCACAAUGGUCCAUAAAAUUACAUUUACUAAGCAUAUUAAAUAGAGGGGUAAAUGAAGAAAAAAUAGUGCAAUAUUGCAUAAGGAUUCCAAAACGACACUUAUAUAGAAUAAAAUGAUUUUAUUAAUAUUUAAUUUUAAUUUAUAAAUCAUUAUGAUCCGAAUACAUUUCCAACUUAUUUUAACUUAAUUUAUAAUUUAUAAGUCAAAUUGAUACUAAACAUUUUUACUUAUAAAUCUCAAUUUAAAAUAACUUAUAUUUUGGGGACCGCCCCAAAGCUUGAAAAAUCCGAUCUAAAACUUGACUUUAACUUGAAAAUGUUAACGCUUUAAAUUUGGCCUAAAAUCAAGCACGAAAACACUAAAGAUCCUGCUUAUUAAGGUUUUUUGUAUUUUUUUUUAUAUGGUUUUUAUGAUUUUACCCCUUUAUAAGUAUAUGCAAUUUAACUUAGAGGGUAUUUUGGUCCACUGAAUUUCAAAAUUAUCUUUAUUUAUAUUUAUAUUUGUAUCACACAUUUUAUUUUUAUUUCUAUUAAUUAUGUAAUGUGUGUAUAUAUAUAGUUUUUAAAAUAAUAAAUAGUUAACCCCUUAUAUCCUAACUUAUUUGAACUUUAAUUUUACGUUAUAUAUUUUCGAAGUAAAAUAGGAGUAUAACUUUAUUAAAUGUAAUAAAAAGUGGAAACAAAAAAGGCAGGCCUGGAAAAACUGAAAGCCUAGUCUUAGCUUGGGGACUUGAUUUGGUCCUGAAUUUGGCUAGGCUUCAGGCAUGGGCCUAACCAGGUCAAAGUUCAAACUAAGCCCCAAUCCUAAACCUUGCCCGGACCGAACUUUAUGCAUCCCUAAAUGCUAGUACAAAGUGGUAUAAUGUAUUUAAUUGUAACAACAUAAUUUUUAAACUCAAAUAUUUAUUAUAUAUAUGAAUAAAUGAUUUUUUAGAUUGUAAAUUUUACAAGUAAGAUUUGUUUUUAAAUUGAUUUGAGUAGAAUAUUAUUUUUAUUUUUGUGUCUUAAUUAAAAUAAGUUUAUAAUUUAUUUGGUAAAUGAAUAUGUAGUUUCAUAGUUUGUCGUAGUCAAAUUUGAGCAUAGAUACAUUCAUUCAUUAAUAACAUACUAGUAUUUGUCCUUUUCAUUAUCAAAUAUUACAUUAUUUUGAGCUUGAUUUAUAGUUAAGUUUAACUGUGAGAAUCCAUAUAUUUAUUUUUUCAAGUUAAACAAAUUAUAUUAAUUUUAAGUUUAAAAAAUAUUUCAAAUUAACUUAAAAAAACAUUUAAACUUCAUCUUAUACUAACAAAUGCUGUGUUUCUUUUAUGGACAAUAAAACGGGCUGCUCCAGCAUGCAUACAUAUAUGUGGAUGAUGGUUGUGCCUUGUAGGACAAGGAGGAUCUUUUUAUUUAUGCAUGGGUACGUAAUUUUAUUCAAAAUAAAUGGACAUUUUUCAGCAAGUACUCAUGUAUUAAUUCGUUCAUAACAUUCUUCCAGCGAAAGCACAACUAGAUAUGAUCAUAACUCAUGCCUGUCGUAAUUAAUUACUACUCCAUUUAGUUUAAUUAAUUAAUUCAAUUAUUGCCUUUCAUUUGACUCCACUAUAUUACUAUCAUAAACGUACAACAUGCAGGAUCCAUCAUUUCAUUUAUUUUUCUCUCUUUUUAAAACUAUAAGUUGACUUGUCUUGGAGUAAUAUUGUUUACUGACAUAUUUUUUUUCAAUUAAAAAAACAAUAUUUAUAUAAGGGUUAAUUCCUUGUAUAUAUAUAUAGCUUCAUGAUUAACAGCUUAAGCUGGCCGACUAAAAAAGUCAACUAAUUCAACAUGUUCUCAAGCACUUUAAUUAACUCUACUCCACAACCCAAUAAUUAAAAGAAAAGUGUAUGUAUAUAUGAAACAGAAAUUAAUAUAUAUAAUUAAAGAUAUUAUUAUGCAUCUUUUGGCACCAAUCGGAUUUUUUUUUAUUAGUGCAUGGGUGAUCACCUUGAAACUUAAUUUUUUCUCUCUCCACCCUCCAUUCCAAAUCAACAUGCACCAACAUCCAGAUAUUAGAAGUGAAAUUAUUUUAAGCAGAUCUUUCUUUUGAAUACAUCCUAAAAGAUAAAUUUAUUUUUAUAAAUACAUAAUAUAAAAAUAAGAUAAAUUUGAAUAAAAGAUAAAUUUAUCUUUUAUAAUAAAAUAAAUGCACAACACUAUAAAUUUAUUUUAUAAUAAAAGAUAAAUUUAUUUUAUUAUAAAAGAUAAAUUAAUGUUUUUAUAAUAAAAGAUAAAUUUAUUUUAUUAUAAAAGAUAAAUUUAUCUUUUAUUCAAACUUAUCUUAUUUUUAUGUUAUGUAUUUAUAAAAAUAAAUUUAUAUUUUAUUCAGACUUAUCUUAUCAUUAUUUUUUAUUUUUACAUUAUUUAUUUUUACAUUAUUUUUUAUUUUUAUAUUAUGUAUACAUAAAUAUAAACUUAUUUUUAUGUUAUGUAUUAAAUGGUAGGGGCAGUAAUGUAAAAAGGCUAAAGAGAAAAUGAAAAAGGGACUGCCGCUACAAGCUCUAGCGGCAGGUGGAAUAUUUGACCAAUUUAAACCAUUAAAUAUCUAGAUCAACGGAUGGGAACUUAUUUAUUGAACAGUGUCCGUACCAAAUAUUUAUUAAGGAUGAUUACCCAUAUAUAUAUAUCCAAGAAAACUUCGAAAAAAGUGUUUCCAUAUAACAGCACGUAUUUCCAGCUGGUUGUUUGUCUUUAGUUUAGAUACUUGAGACAAUUUUUUAUCUUGUUUAUUUUUGCUAGCUAGCUUGUUGACUAAAUUAUAUAUAUAAUCAAUAUAUAUAGAAAAAUGAUCCGUGAAAUACGUUAGUCAGGGUGAUUUUUUUAACUAAUGCUCAUCCAAGCGUUUAAAAAUAGAGUGAAUGGCUAAGAUGAGGGCCCAGCCGCUACUCCCUCUAGCGACCAGCCAAAUUUUUUUUAUUGGCCGCUACUCCCUCUAACGGCCAGUCAAAACGAUCGUGUUUUGAUUGGCCGCUAGAGGGAGUAGCGGCCAACAACAAAAUUUUGGCUUAAUUACAUUAUCCUGAUUAUUCCUAAUUAUCUUUAUAGUUAUACUUAUUAACAAAUUAUCCUUAUACAUAUUACUUAUAAUUAAUCAGUAAAAUAAAAUAAUAAAAAAUUAUAAGGAUAAUUAAUAAUUAUCUUUAUACUUAUCCUUAUACUUAUUAACAAAAUAAGUAUGUAUAAGAAUAGUUACUAAUUAUCGUCUUAUGAUUUUUAAUUAUAAAUAGAAAAUAGUAAUUGAGUUUAUAUAUUUAAGACCCCAAAUUAUUAAUAAAUAAAAUUUAUUUUCCUCUAUUUAUUAUUUUGAAAUAGUAAGGAUUGAUUUGAUUAAUGUGGAUAGUUAUGGGUAAAAUACGCAAAUAUUUCAAAAUAAACAAGUGGUUAUAAAAUAUUCAUUGUUGUCGGAGAAUAUUCGUUUGGUCGUGGAAUAUUCUUGCUGUCGGGGAAUAUUCGUACGACGACGCAGUCUUUUGUGGGCCCCAUAACGGAAAGCGAUUGGAUGAGAAAAAUAACAAAUAUAAGUUGUUUAAAAAUAACGGCGUAAUUGUUACCGUAAAUACUGUUAAAAUAUUCGGUGGUUAAAACACAGUAAUACGCGUUGUUGCACAAUAGCACACGGUAUUGCACCAAUUAUUGAUUCUUACGUAAGAAGGCACUACUCAAUAAUUGUUACAGUAGUUACUGUUCAGUAUUUUAUUUUAUUGAUUCAAUAAUUGNNNNNNNNNNNNNNNNNNNNNNNNNNNNNNNNNNNNNNNNNNNNNNNNNNNNNNNNNNNNNNNNNNNNNNNNNNNNNNNNNNNNNNNNNNNNNNNNNNNNNNNNNNNNNNNNNNNNNNNNNNNNNNNNNNNNNNNNNNNNNNNNNNNNNNNNNNNNNNNNNNNNNNNNNNNNNNNNNNNNNNNNNNNNNNNNNNNNNNNNNNNNNNNNNNNNNNNNNNNNNNNNNNNNNNNNNNNNNNNNNNNNNNNNNNNNNNNNNNNNNNNNNNNNNNNNNNNNNNNNNNNNNNNNNNNNNNNNNNNNNNNNNNNNNNNNNNNNNNNNNNNNNNNNNNNNNNNNNNNNNNNNNNNNNNNNNNNNNNNNNNNNNNNNNNNNNNNNGGUGCUUAGGUUAGAAUUGAAAAUCACACCAGAAACUGAAGUUUUCUCUCUCUAUAUUAUCGAGCGUAUUCUUGUGAGUAUUUUGAGUAUACUUUGAGUAUUGCUAUACGGUGAAAGGUUUCCUUCAACACUAUACCCAGUAUUCUUGCCGGAGGUACUAAUCUUUCGAGGUAAGGGAUAUUAUUUUUUUUCGUAAUGAUAUUAUUUCUUCAAUAUCAUUAUGCUGAAAUAUUGAUCUGAAGUUUUUAUCAAAUUUGAAACUUUUGGUGUCGGAGUUACUAUUCACGUAUACGGCACUAUUCACGUAUACGAUACUAUUCACGAAUACGGCAUUAUUCAUCGAAAAUAAAAAAUUUUCCUUUUCGUCUAAAAUAUCUAUUGUGGAUACUAGCUUUGAUUGUAUCCAUGUUUUGAUCACUCUUGAAUUUUACACCACUAUGAUUAUUUUUGAGGUAUUUUUGGACAUGGAUAAAACAAAGUACGAAUCCUUAAUCCUUAAUCCUUGUCAUUUUGUUUCACUGGAUUCGUUUCUUUAAAAAUAUUUUUCAUCAUCCUCAGUCUUAAAUGAUGAUAUUAUUGAAUAUCUUUGGCCUGUAGUGCAAAGAUGAAUGAUUUCUGAUGAAUAUCUUUGGCCCGUAGUGCAAAGAUGAACAGGUGUUUAGAUGAACAUGACCAACUGAUGAAUAUCUUUGGCCUGUAGUGCAAAGAUGAAUAUUUGAUUCCAGAUAUAUAUUGAUUGAUGUUACAGGGAUAAAAGAUAGACGAUGAACUUUUAAAUUCAUACAUAGAAGAUAGUAGUUUGCAUUCUCUACUUAACUCUUCUAAUGAAUUAUUAUUUCCGCUGCGAAUAUUGAUUUAAAACUUGUUGUCUAUUGUAUUCUAUUAGAUUUUUCCCUGUUGAAGACUAACGAUAAUUUGUUGUAUAUUAUCUUAGUCAUAAUAUUCUUUACUGGGCUAGUUGAGCUCACCCUUUUCCUUUUUGUUCCAUUUUUCUUCUCAGGAGGCGAGAAUAUAGCGAGUACGAGUCGGGGUAUGGAAUGAAGGUUCUAGAGAGAGUUGUUUAGUAGUCCUCACCAUUUUUGUAAAAUAAUGUAUCAAUAAAUGUGAUGAGGAUUUAUUUGAGUAUAGAUAUUGUCUAGAAGAUAAUAUUUGUAUUCAAACUCACAGUUUUACUGUUGUAAUAAUAAAGUUGUAGUUGUUUCUGUACCAUAUAUUGACAACUCAGAAUGGAUGGUGUAUACCUAUUUUGGGGGCGUCACAAUAUAUUUGAGUGGAAAUAUAAUAUAAACUCAAUCACUAUUUUUUAUUUAUAAUUAAAAAUCAUAAGACGAUAAUUAGUAAUUAUUGUUAUACAUACUUAUUUUGUUAAUAAGGAUAAGUAUAAAGAUAAUUAUUGAUUAUCCUUAUAAUUUUUUAUUAUUUAAUUUACUGAUUAAUAAGUAAUAUGUAUAAGGAUAAUUUGUUAAUAAGUAUAAGGAUAAGUAUAAAGAUAAUUAAAAAUAAUCAUGAUAAUGUAAUUAAGCCAAAAUUUUGUUGUUGGCCGGUACUCCCUCUAGCGCCUAGCGGCCAGUCAAAACGACCGUAGAGGCCAACAAAAAAAUUUUGUUGGCCGCUAGAGGGAGUAGCGGCCAACAAAAAUUUUUUGACUGGCCGCUAGAGGGAGUAGCGGCUGGGCCCUCAUCUUAGUCAUUCACUCUAAUUUUGGACGGCUAGAUGAGCGUUAGUUGAAAAAGUCCCUCUGGCUAACGUAUUCCACGGAUCAUUUCCCAUAUAUAUAUAUAUAUAUGGGAAUGAUCCAUAACUUCUGUUAAUUAUGAGCACUAUUUUAGUUAAUCCUACUCCCUCUAACGAUCAGUCAAAUUUCUUUUAUGUUGGACAGCAGGAGAUAUGUUAGCUGAAAUAAUGCACAUAUCUAACAGAAGUUAUGGAUCAUUUCCCAUAUAUAUAUAUAUAUAUAUAUAUAUAUAUAUAUAUAUAUAUAUAUAUAUAUAUAUAUAUAGUAGCUGAAUUAUACGAUCCAUCUCACAUCAAUGCAGCGCACACCUGUGUAUAUAUACUGACUCAAUAAACAUGUUGGACCACCUCCUUAUUUAAAAGAUUAACCUAUAAGGUUGAGACAGGUGUGCGCUGCUAGAUGAUGAAUCGAUGUGGGAUGAAUCGUGUGAAGGACAUGUUGAUAUCUUCAUUGCACCUUUAUACAUCAGCUUUCUACCAUAUAUGCCGACCAGGUCUGCAUAAAUCAAAAAAUGGUCGAAGCCCUACUUGUCAAAAUAUAGUUAAUUUUUGUGAUUCCAAACCAAACAAAACUAGGGCGCAUGCAGAGCUACUACGUACACCUACUUAUGUACGUACAUAUAUAUUAUAUAGUCCCUACAAAUUGCGCCCACUUCACACGGGGAAAGAGGCAACCUAGCUAUACGAUAUGUAUAAACCAUUUCCUUUUUCUUGGUUUUUUUUUUUCAUUUGUUUUUUUUGGUGUCUUCAUAGGUUAGAUUCUAUUCAAUUUGACUUCAAGAAAUAAUAAUAAAAUAAUGUUAUAUUGGUGGAAAAAAUGUAUAUAUAUAUAUAUAUAUAUAUUUUAAGUGGCGGAACCAUAAUAUUUUUAGAGGAAAAUCAAAAUAUAUUAGUAAAAAAAUUAUUUAUUAACGUUUGGAGUGCUUCUUUCAAAUUCAUUUUGGCCAAUUAUAGUAUUUCACAACAUUAUAUUUCAACUCUUGUCAACAUUUGAGUUGUGAGUCUAAUGACUUUAAAUACAUAUACAUAUAUAUAUAUAUAUUAAUUUUUCCUGAACUAUGAGACUAUUAAUUAGAUUUUGAAGUUUUUAGUCAGCUGAUUAGUUAAUUUAUAGAUAAAUUAUAAAUUGUAAUAUUAUAUAUUAAAAAUCUUAUAUUGUGGUUCUAGUUAUCUUCUUUGGAUACAACUGAGAGGAGCCACUCAAAGCAAGAAAAUGGAUUAAGUUAUUCUCAUUUAUAAAAAAAUUGAUACCAAGGAUAUGAUUAAGUCAGUAAGACAAAUAAGUGUAACAUUAAUUAAUUAAUCAUUAAAUUUAUUUAACAUUAUUUUAUUUUAUAGUAAUAUUGUUAAUUUAUUAUAAGUAAAAGGACACGAGGAAGCAAAUAAAUUAAUACCAUCUCAUAACAAAGAUCAAAUUUAACUAAUAUUAACAUACUUUAAAAGAUUCCAAGGUUCGGGAUCAUAUGACCCCCCUCGCCCCCUAAUUCUGCCCAUGUAUAUUCUAAUGUUUUUUAUUUCAAUAAUUAGUAUUAAUUAUGGCAUCUUAUAUAAAAGAAUCGUGACUUUUUUUGGGAGAAGGAUUGUUGAGACAAACAAUUAUAAACCUCUAAAAUUUUUUGUACACCCCUGUUAUUUACAUAAUACUUCAUUCAUUCGUUUCAAAUUUAGAGAUACGGUUUGAUUUUUAAAAUUAAAAAAUGAUAUAUUAAAUUUUAACAUUAGUACGACUUGUAACAGUUUAGAAUGAAAUAAAUUUUGUGAUUAAUAAUUUUCGUUAUAUACUAUACAAUUGUAAAAAUUGUUUCAAUUAAAAAAUUCAUAUCAAUUUAAAGUUUAAGAUGCCGUGAUUUGAUUUCAAAAGUCAAAUUUGUUAUUAAUAGUUAUGUCUUUAAAUCUUUAAGGGAAGUUUUUUAAAUUAAUAUUUUACUGUGCUAAAAUUAAUUGAAAUAAUUAAUUAUCUAAUAACCUAUCUUUAAACAAUCAAAAGUCCACCAUUCAAAUUGAAAAAGCUUUUUGAUGAAUAAAUCUUCCGGAAGAAGUCAGUCCAUACACAUUAUAUAUCCUUCGUAAAUUAAUCACAUAUUAUAAGGAAAGACUUAAAUUUAAUAUAAUUUCUUUAGUGGGUCCCUUAACAAAAAUACAAUUAGUUUUAAUCUUUUGUUGUCCCCUAUUGACAUAUCUUUUUAAAUUACGUUCACUCCUCCCAUUCUCAAAAGAAUGAAGGGGAAAAGAAUCUUUAAGAAAUAAAUAACAUAAAUUCAAAAAGUUAAAAUUAUAAAAUAAAAUAAAAAUAAUUUUAUUUGCACAAAUUAUAUAUAAAAAGUGUGUAUACCAAGUAUGAUUAAAGUAAUAUACACUAAAUAAAAAUGUAUAAAAACUCAAAUGGUAGAUCCUAUUUUCAUCUUUUUUAUAUUAUUUAUAAUUUUUUGUAUAAUUUGUCUACAUAAAAACAAUCAAGAAAUAAAGAUUAUACUAAUGUAUAUUUGACAUUAUCAUAACUUUAUGAGUACAAGGUACAUUUGACAAUAUCAUAAUUUGACGAGUACACUAAUAAUAUUUGCAUUUAAGCAUAACUUAAUCAUAACAUUUAAAAUCAAACAUUAUCUUUUAAAUUUAAAAUUCAAAUAUAUAUACUAAAAUUAUCUUUUAAGUCCUCCUUUUGAGAAGAUCUUUAAAUCUCUCCCAUCCCAAUCAUCAUAUCUUCAAUAUUAAUUUAAAACCCUUUUCAGGUUUGUGUUAUGUUUGUUUUUAUCUGUAAACUGUAUUGCACUGCACGCACACAAGUAUAAACAAGUACUCUAAAGAUUGGUAAAAGAAGAAAUUAAUAUUUUCAUAUAUAUUUUUGGGAAAUGAUUAGCAUGAAGUUUAUUUUUAGGUAAGUUGGUCAAUUGGUCAAUAAGGUGCUGACAUACAGGCGAGAUUCUAUGUGUGUCAGCAUUCUAUUGGUCAAUUGACUAACUUAUCAAAAAUUAAAUUUUAUACUAACCGAGUCUAUAUUUUUGAUAUUUUUAUAUAAUUACACUAAAUCUCAUCUUUAUAUGAAAAAGAAUUAUAUAAAAAUAUUAAAAAAAUAUAUGCAAAAAUAGUACUUAAAAAAACAGGUCAAGAGUAAAGAAAAGGGAGCUGAGCUUAUUAAGCUAAAGCUGAACAAAAUCGUGAGCUGCAACUCGGUUGUCAUGCUUUGUGUAAAAAUAAAAUACUCUUUUCGUUUUUAAAAGAUUAUCAUUUUAGAAAAAAAAAUUUGUUCUAAUUUAUUUGUUAUUUAUAACUUUUUUGGAGAAUAUAUUAUUUACUUUUGUAUAUCAACCCUAUCUUCUCUCAUUGUCAUACUAAAUUCUCUUCCUUUUAUUAAUAGUUUUCAACUUCCUAUAAAGUGGUAGUAAUGAAAUUUCAAAUAAAUUUUAAUUGUUACUCCCUCCGUUUCUUAAUAUAAGUCGUUUUAAAGAAUUAUUUUUGUUUUUUAAUAUAAGUCGUUUGAGAUUUUUAAAUAAACAUUAAUUGUCUAGUUUUCAAUAUUACCCCAAGUAAUAAAUAUAAUUUUGAUUCCCUCACUAUUUCUUUUCCAUAAAUACCAUUAUCUUUUUCAAUACAAAUGUAAUAUAGAUAAUUGAUAUUAUAUUUAAUGCUAUGUAAUUAUUUUCUUAAUACUUGUACAUAACUCUAAAACGAUUUAUGAAGUACUCCCUCCGUCCCUAUUUAAAUGACCUUUUAGAGAUGGGCACACCCAUUAAGAUAAUGAUUGAAAAAUAUUAAAAAUAGUACUCAAUUGUCUAUAAUACUUUUAAAUUAUUAAUGAAUUUAAAGUACCAAAAAUAAUAAGUAAAGUAAUGAGGAGUAUUCAAUGAUACUAGUACUAAAGAACGGAAAAUGAUACUGGUAUUAAAUUAUUUUUUUAAUUCUUGUGUAAAAAUUUUAAACGAUAAUGUUUUAAGAACCGUGAGUACUUGAUAAUUACCGGAACCUGACAUCACUGACACCAACAUAUCAAUUCCACUGCGGCCUCGGCCUCCUCUUUUAGGAACGGAGUACUCUAUUUUUUAACUCUCUCCCUCGGCCUCCUCUAGCAGAUCGAUCUUAUUCUCUCUCCUCUUUUACGGCUUAACAAAACAAAACAAAAUCUCUAAUCUCUCUCCUACGGCUAAACUCCACCCACACUUUUGACUUUAUCGUCCAAUCAUCAAUCGAGCACAUAAAAGUGUUGGAUUCGCCGGCUUCAUUGUCAGUCUUACUUUCCGGCGCUCUUCACCAGAUUUCUAUGAGAAUUCUUAAUUCGGGAUUGAUGUAAAAUAAUGAAUGCUCUGCUUCUCGAUUUAAAUUUGUUUCUCGAAGCACGGUAAUCGAUGGUGAGCUUUUGGAUCUAGAUCAAAAGUUCGUCUGGCGACUAUACCGGCGGAGAAAGCGUCGUGGUGUUUUGGCUGUCAAUUGGACCGAGGUUGUAGCUUUCCGGCCAGAGGAGAAGGGGGAGAGACUAGAGAGACACACAGGUGGCUGAAAAUGGAAUGUUUACAGGUCAGUAGUGGAAAUCUUGAAGCUUAUAGAGCACUAAGGGCAAAGCCAAAUUGAUUGCUUUCUUUCUGUCAAGUACUCAUUUUUUUUAAUGUUCUCUGCUACCACCAUUAAUGCUUAUCAACUGUCUAUUUAUUAGCUUCUUCGGAGUGGAGUUGAAAUAUCUUUAUCCAUCUUUAUAGAAUUAUAUAUAUAUAUAUAUAUAUAUAUAUAUGUAGAGAGAGAAAGUUGAAAUUUUUAAAUCGUUGGGGCUAGGCUUCUCCCCUUUCUCUCUCUCUCUCUCUCUCUCUCUCCCUCUCCCUCUCUCUCUCUCUCUCACUUCCACUUUGUAAAAUCACUUUUUCUUUACUCUGCAGCCACCUCCUCAGAUUCUGUUACUAUCUUUCUGAUAUCCAUCUAUAAACUUGAACAUUUUUUAUUUUAUUUUUUUAUUUCCCUAUAUAUAUUUGAAACUUAUGAUAUCGCGAUUAGUCCUCUAGUUGCCUUAUCUGCCGAUCUACUCUGUUUUUUCGAUGUAAGACUGUCUAUUUUCCUUUCUAUGAUUUUUUUUUAAAUAAAGUCUUUGUCAUGAUAAUUGAUUUUUUUAAAAAAAUUUGUUUUGCAGUAAAAUAGGCAAUACAGAGGAAUCAAGUGUUUGUGUUUACGGAUUAAACUGGUAUGAUUUUGAUGCAGUACCUUGUUCUUAUUUCUGUUUUUUACAUUACUUUCUUUCACGUAUUUGCAGAUUUUGUGGAUUAUGAUUUGUAUUGUGUGAAUUUGUUGGGAUCUGAUUGAAACCUGGUAUCGUAUUACCCUUUGCCGAUUUUAGUUUUUGAUGUUGCAGUGCCUGUUUGGGCUAAACCCUAGACACAAAUGGGUUUUAGAUUGGGUGAGAAUUAAUUAACAGAGAAGAAAGAUGGUUUGAUACCCGCAAAUAGAGCCCACUUUGAUUUUUGCAUUGAGAAAUUUUUGGCAGCUUAGCUGUUAGAUGCAAGUGGAAGUUUAUGAAGAGUCCGACUUCUGUGUUGUCUUUUUCUCUGUGUGCAGAACUUGGAUUCCAUAUGUUGUGAGGUAUCUAUACAAAACUUGUAAUGUUGGUAUAGUAUAUGAAGACGACUUUUUGUUACUUGUUAAAAAAAGAGAGCGGCUACUUUUCAUUUAUAGGGGUAUACGGCUAUGUUGUUUGAGUAACUUCUAAAAGGGAUGAAGGAUUAUAAUCCCAUGAACAAUAAUGGGAUUAUACAAUAACCGGGGGAAGUUGUUUCGGAUAUUACCUCCUUUUGGUUAUUAUGCCUUUUUUUUCUUCUUUCUAUUAUAGGCUAGUGUGAAAAAUCAAUAUCAAACAUAGGGUAAGGGCUCACUUAAGAAUUACAAUCCAAUCUCCCAAACAAUCACUGAAAACACACAUAGCCCCAGUGUAGCAUUUGAUUAUGAGAUUGACCUAAAUUUUUACAAAGGAAAGAAUAUGAAAAUGGAUAAACAUGAUCCUAAAUGUUUAUUCCGAUUGGCGUUUUGUGCUACUUGCUUUGAACCUCUAGGAUGAAAUAUUGCUUUAGUUUUUUAUAACUCAUCUACCCUUGUAUAGUUAGUUGGUGUUAUUUACUUUCUGCUUUGUUAUUACAUGACAAGUUUGAUUCUCUGAGCUAUUUUAAUUGGUUUCUACUGAACAGAAGAUUUUUUAUUUUUUUUUGGUAUCAAAUCCAUAUUUGAUGUUAAUUACCUGGGAGCAGUAGCAGUACUUGUACGUUAAGUUUUUUGUCUCGUGUACUCUAUUUUUUCCCCUUCCUGUUAUCAGAAAAGAUUCAUAUGGUGUGAUUUAGUUCUCUAGUAUAGUGCUCUCUCUCUCUGUCUAUAUAUAUAUAUCUAUCUAUCUGCUUCUCCUUAUUUGACUUAGGACUUGAGGGAAUUAUUCAUGUGACGACUACUUUUUAUUAUUUUCAGUUGGCUUUCUGCUAGGAAGGUGGAUGUUUGCUUCGCAGCUGUUAAGAAUUCUCCAAACAAGACAUGCAAAUCAUGAAGCCUGGUAAUAUUCCUGGUUGCUAUCCUUUCUUUCAUAUUGAAAUCAUGCUGCUUUUAAAUUCUAUAGUUGCUCACCUGUAAUUAAGUGCGUUGAAAUCAUAUUUUUAUCUUUUAUAUGUUAGUGUAGUUAUGUAAUCCCUUAUAACUGUUAUCAAGAAGUUGGUUUCCUACAGCUGAGCUUAAAUUCUUGCAACAUUCAUCAAAUUUUCAUACUUCGGAAAAACUGAACUAGAGAACCGAAACUCUUUCACAUGGUCAACUUUCGCGAAGAUCUUUAUUGCUCAUAUUUCUCUUGUUUGUAAGCAUGUUGCGCUCUUGUUUUCAAACUUUCAUAAGAGUUAAAAAAGUUAAUUAUAUGUGCAGAUAAAGAACCUGAGUUUUGUCAUUCAACUUUGGUCUGUAAGAAUGAUUCUAAACCAUUUGAAUACAACAAUAGUUCUUAUGGUGCAGCUGAACUAGAGUCAACAAUGAAGGAAAAUCAGAAUGGAAUCUUGAGUCGCCAUGGGACGAAAGUAGAUCCAUUUUCAACUGAGGUGAAAGAUAAAGAUGGAUACUGGAUUAAUCAAGAACUUGAAUAUUCUGUUGCCGUGGAUGAUUUCACCAAUGGUAAUGAAAAAGGACACAAAGAUUCUGCUGCAGCAAGUAAGGUACAUACAGAAUUGUCUCAGACGGUCUCAGAUUUAUAUACUGCUAAUAAUUUUAUGGAAUGUGACCUGCCGGAGUUAAUUGUCUGCUACAAAGAUAGUACUUGUCAUGCUGUCAAGGAUAUAUGUGUGGAUGAGGGGGUACCUACUGAGAACAAGUUCUUGACUGAAAGUAUAGUGGAUGGUCAUUGCUCCCCGACUUCUAAUGGAUAUAAGCAUACUGAUAAGACCAAAGAAAUUGUUAAUAUGGAUUUCCUCUUUCAAGAUGGCUUCAGAGCUUCAUCGUGUAAAAAUUGUAAUAAGGAUGCUGCUAAUGAUUGUGCGAGUAAAGGAGAGGUUAAUAUUGACUUGCUUAUUCCAUAUGGGCAAAAUUCUUCAUCCGAAGAUGAUGUUCAUCAUGAUGGUGCUUAUGAUUGUCGUGCUGUUUGGCUAAAAUCUUCAUCAGAAUCUGAAAAAGACCAAGAUUCUGCUAGCUUUUGUGGUUCUGGGAAUCUGAUUCAAUCAGGUGAAGAAAAGUGCAAUGCAGCCGAGAAGACAACAGAAAGUGUUUCAAAUAGCAUGCUCUUGGUGAAAGAAUUUUGUGAGGAAACCUCCCUCAAAUUUCUGCUCGAGUCUUCCAAGUGUGUUGAUAAUGACGUUCAACAAUCUAAUCAGGUUGGUAGUCUGUGUUUGUCAUAUGUAUCCCAUUACGAUGAGAGUAAUGUUUCUUUAUCAGUUUUCUUUCUUAAGGACGUUUCUGAUGCAGUUUACUUUCAGUAUAAGUUCGUUAAUUGUUAUUCUCUGAAUGGAGGUGCCUUCUCAAAGCACAACCGUUGCAAAAUAUAACCCCCAUCAAGAUAUGGAACCCUUCAAAAAACAAAAAAGAAGUAAAAAUUGAAAGCAAUAUCAGUUGUUCAAAGUAAAAUGAUUAAUAUAAUAGGCUGGAUUCUCCCUAGUAUGAGAAGGAUAAUGAGAUCCAAGAGGUGCCCUUUUGUCUAUUAUUUAGGGAAAGUGCCAGACGGUUGGGUAGAUAAGGCUAAAGAUACACCUUGAGUUGGCACAGAAGUAUCAGGUAAAAGAUGGGGUGGGGUUAUCUCAUUUGCACACCUUGAAAAUUGAUUUUAUUAGCUUGAAUUACAGAUAUCACGUGCGCAAGCGAUUUCACAAGGCCCUGGGGUAUCAAAAACCGAAGAAUCAACCAAAAGCAGCAAUGUGGAUAAUCUGAUUUACAACAGUGAAGUGGAGAGUGGAAUCAUCACUUUAAAUUUUGAUUCUUUCAAACUUGCAGAGAGCACCAGAGACGAGAACCCUGAAAAUGUUAUUGAACAACAACUUAAGUCAGAGAAUAAGCCUAUUCAUGAUGAUGGGAUUUUUAAUAAUCAUCUUGUCGUCACUAGCCAAGUUAAACGCGGCGAUGGAGGAGAGACUAGUUUCUCUGUUGGAGGUCCUCUAUCAGAUGUAGUUACUUACUCGGGGCCUAUACCGUUCUCUGGAAGCAUUUCUCUUCGAUCUGAUAGCAGCACAACCAGCACUCGAUCCUUUGCCUUCCCCGUGUAAGUUUUUAGCAUACCUGUGUCUUCUGGUUAUGAAUUACUUUGUUGCUUUAUAUUAGACUCCUUAAUCUAACUAAAUGAUUAUGGCUUCUUUUUUUGUCUUUCCAGAUUACCAAAUGAAUGGAAUAGCAGCCCGAUAAGAAUGGCGAAAGCUGAUAGGAGGCAUUUCCGAAAGCAUAGAGGAUGGAGAUUGGGCCUUCUUUGCUGUAGAUUCUAAAUGCUUCUAUUUUAUUUAUAGGGUUUUUAGUUCAUCUAUUCACAUGAUCAGUAUCUUAGUUAUUGAGUAUCGUAAAUAUAUAUAUUUCUCAAUGUUCUCAUAGGCUUGGGGUGCCAUUCGCAGUAGUUUCCCAGGGUCGUGUAUUAAGUUGUGAUCCGGUCUCUGAAAUUUUUUGUAUUUAUUGUUGCAUCUUCAUCUACUCCACAAUGAUUUUCAGAAAUCACAUUUUGUUUAUCACAAUGAUUCAUUCACCAAUUCUUACAGAAUAAAUGAUCCGCUGAUACAAUUGCAUAAGUAUACCAAUUUAGGCUGUGUUUGUUUGUCUUAAUGGCUCUGAAUAGUUGUGCCUCUGAUUCGGUCAGAUGCACGACUUGUUUGGUAAACAUUUUUAUGCCUCGGAAUAACUCUUAAUAGCUAAACCAAUCAAAGCCCAUCUGAGCGAAAAUUUCACUCUGUCGCUCGUGUCUGCCGCUCCUUCUCAAAUCUUCACUCUUCUUUCGUUGGUAAUCUUCCCUCCCUUCUUCAUCUAUUAUUCGUUAUUGCUUGAUUUGUUCUUAUUAAUCUUCUUCAUAUAUUGUUCAUUAUUGCUCUAUUAGUGAUUACUAUAAAUUUUCUGUGAUUUCAAACCCUUUUUUUCAAAUCUCCUUCACUACUUUGAGUAUUUUUUGUUGGCAUCAUAUACAUGUAUGAUUACUGUAAAUCUUCCAUGUUCCAUUUUUCUGGCACACGAAAUCUUCGUUUCCCUAUCUCUGUUUGUAUCUUACUGUACACGAACUGAAUUUCAAAUAUAAAAUGAGAAUUUUUGGACUGUUUUAGUUUGUAAAAAUUUUCAUUUAUUUCGGGUGGACCUUAUUUUGGAACCCCACCCUUCUGGUCAUUUUCAGAAUAGAAGUUUGUGAUCAGCUCCACCCUUCGGGUCUUAUCUUGAGGUGGAGAAUGCAAGUGAAAAAAUCAUCAUUUUAGUGUGUAAAUUGGGAUUUUUUAUGAUGUACUAAUGUGUAUAUAUGGAUGGAUAUGAUGUACUUUCAUUGGGAUACACUAUUGUAACUUGUUUGUAUGACGGGUAGAGUUAUUCCUUUUGGGGUUGCUUAGUUAUGUUUUUUGGAUUGUCUACUUUGAUAAUUUGAUUUGAUCUAAUCGGUGAAGUUUUAGGCUUUAGCUAGUGGAUCAUUUUGUUUUUGUUUUUGUUUUUGUUUUUUGUGAAGAGGGUGAGAAACAAUUUACAAAGGUUAGCUCAUUUGGUAAGUUCAGUAUUGAACAAACUGCAAACAUGUUAAAUGGGGAGUCAUUAGGCUCCAUUUGGUUGAUGAUUUAUUGAUGGAAAACAAAGAAAAAUGCAACAUAAUUUAUGUUUCUAUGCUAAGCUAAUAUGGGAAAAUGUGAUAAACAAAGAAAAUAAGAGAGAAAUUUUUUAAUUUUACAUGUAAUUUUUAUUUUACUUUACUAAUCACUAGUUUAUAAUGUUAGAAACUUCCUUAGUUAUGAAGAAUAUUUAACUGUUGGCCUAAGAUUCUUAGUUGUUGCCAACAAAUUAAUUACCCAGUAACUAUGCAUCAAUCUGUUUCAUUUGUAUCGCAACUACUCAGUUAGAUUACUUUGAAAAACAUUUUUCCCUGAGAGAUCAAGUGAAUGUCCAUGUUAUUGUUAUGUUUUGUUAAUUCUUUAUAAAAUCACUGAAUUUAUUUUUUAUUGUUCAAACUAUUUAAAUUUUUAUUCUUUUUUGUUUACACAUUUUAUAAUAUAUGUAUCUUAGGUAUGGAACAAGGCGGUGAAACUCAAAAACAAAAAAAAGAUUAGAGUGAGUUAGAGAAAUGAAACAAUAGUGAAAACUUUUUUAGAAUCAUGUAUUCGUGAGGUUGUGGAAAAUGGUAGGGAAGGUGCAAGCCUCAAGCCACAAUUAUGAAAAAGGGUGGGAGAAUUAUUAAAAGAUUCCUACAACUUGAUUGUGGAUCAAAAGUAAGACAGGAAAUGUGCAUGACUCGUCAACUAAUAGGUUCAAUCUUUCGGUUGAGGAAUGGAUACAAGAGAUAAAGGUGUUGUUUUAAUUUUUUUUUACAUUUUAAGUUAAUUAGUAAUAGUCCUUAAAAAUAUGUUAUAACAUGUUGAACUUGCUGUUUGAGUACAUGCAAAUAAAAUGGCCUCUAAUCUUUCCAGAUCUUUGUAUUGCAUUAUUUGAUGGAACUGCGACAACGGGACUUGAUAGUUGGGGUCCUAUUGUGGAAGAGCUAGGACUAAAGAUAAAUCUUUGGACUUGGAGGUUGUUAGUCUUAAGGACAUUCCUUUCAGCACCCAAGGUCAAGGGUCUUCUAUUCCAUCUCCUAAAUCAUCAACUUUCGGUACGCAAUCUCAUGCUUUCGGUCCUAGCUUUGAGGGAGAAAGGCCAAAGAAAAAAGCUAGGCGUUCAUCAAAACAAACCUACAACACUAACCUAGAUGGAGAGAUGUCCAAGGCCUUGAAACUCAUUGUUGAAAAGAAUAGUGGACCUUUCGUAAAAGAAUACAAAGAUAAGUUGGAAGAACUUGGGUGGGGACCGGAAAAUCCACUACACAAGAUGACUCUUUGAAGCAUGGAUGAUUCUAAAAGAGAAUGAGGUUGAAAAUUGGGUUACGAUGGUUUCACGCAAGGUAGGAUACAUUGCUUAGUUUGUUGGAUAUUAGUUAAUUACAAACUUUUUAUUAUGUUGGUGGAUAUAUUUGGGGGCUAGGUAAUUUGAUAUUUUUGGGGACAAACUUCUUAUCUUUGGGGCUAGUUAAUUUGAUAUUUUUGGGAUACAAACUUGUCUAAGUUGGGGCUUAUUUGCUAGUUAUGGAUGUGACAUUUAAUGAAAAAUGUCAAGGGAUUGAAGAAAAAGGAAGGUCUAAAGGGAAAAAGAAGAAUGAAAUCACAAUAUGAGAUACGUACAAGAAUAGUUAGAAAAACCUCUAAUUCUAAUAUGAUAAUUUAAACUUUUAUAUAUAUGCGUGUACUUUACUUGAUUGCUUUUGUUAUGGAUGAUAGUUUCAACUUUUUUAUUUCUCAAACUUGCAGGAGGAUUGCUCGAGUCCACAUACAACACACAAUGUUCGUUUGCAAGAACCAAUUUUUAAUCUUAAUCUGGCGCCAAUUCAAGAAGUGGCAUGGAGCUAGAUCAUCUGUAUUUCACUAUUUUUGUUCGAUAGUAGCUUUAACUUUUUUUUUGCAGACAAUGUGUUAUUUGAGUUCUAUUGUUCUGCUGUGAAAAUGCCCGUUCUUGACUUGAAAGAUCUACUUGAAGGGAUAACAUGUUCUGUAGGUGGUGAAUCUUGUGUUUCUGGAUGUGUCAUGUGUGAAGACAGCAUGUAUAUGACUAGCUAUUUUUUCAUAUGAAGGCUUUUAUUUUUGUGUGCUUAUGAAGGCAUUGUUUAUUGUGUGUUUUGAUGUGCUAUUGCAUUUUGGUCUAUUGAUGUGCUAUUACAGGGCAUGUGUUUGUUUGUCUCCAAAGAUGGUUGGAUGAGAUAUGAUUUUGUAUAAAUUUAGGCUCAUAUAUAUUUAUUUUAUUCAAUCGAUACUUGUUUCUGUUCAAGUAAUUUUAUUUUUGGUAAUAUCAGUGUCUUAAUUUAACACUGUUAGAAAUUAUUUAUUGAUUGAAGCAAAAGAGGAGAUUAUUACUACUAUUCAACCUCUCUCAAUUAAACAUGGUCCAAGUUGAUGUGUUUGUGAUGGUAAGUAGUAGUAGUAGUACUAGCACUUUCUUGCUUUGGAUGAAUUGAAAUGGAAUGAUGAAAAGAGUCUCCAAGGCAUGAAUGAAUCCCUCCGAAGCUAGAAGAAUAAUAAUAGUUUGCAGAGUAUGAAAAACAACCUUUUAAUUAGGUAUGUUAUUCCUAAAUAACUUAUUUUUGAUAAUAAUGUUCAAAUAUUCCUUCCACCCAAAUCUCACUCCCAACCUUUUACACCCCCAACUACACAAUCUCCUCCUCUUUUGCUUUCAAUUCCUUGACCUUGGUUUGAAGACGUUGUCCCUCUAGUAUUUCAGCUCUGCUAUUCUCUCCUUGAUGUCAUCCAUUUCAGCUAUCUGAAGAAAUACAAUAGGAAAAUGUACCACAUUUAAAAUCCAAGUAGAAUACUUGAAAAAUGCCCAGAUAUCCAAAUCUGAGUCAGAAACAAACAAGAUCUAUUCAGUGUUGAAACCAUCCUCACCUUUUGGGUACCACCGGAUGCAUAAAGCUUUAACACUGCUCACAUCAACGAGUACAUGAGGGACAAGACUAGCCAAAUCUGGCAUAUACUUCUGCACAAGCACUUUUUUUUCAAGUAAAGGUUGUACAACUAAUUUAGGCAAAAAGAAAGAAUAAUGUUCAUUGCUCACAAAACUUCCUUCUCAAAAAUCGAAAUCAAAAAUACACAAUGGGUAAAUACGGAUAGAGUCUUAAAGUUUUUUUCCCCCUCAACAGAUGUUCAUAACAGAAGCUGAAUGCUCUUCAACAAGAACAAUGAUUGCUAAAUGCACAUAUUAUAUCAUAGAAUAAUAAUAUCUACCUAUUAUAUUCUAAAGAUUCCUAAUAUUAUUUGAUUUAAUAUGUAUGUAUAUAUAAUAUACAUAAACCUUUACAUAACUUCAGGAAUAAAAGAUCCACAUAGACUGAAUUUCCUGCAAGAAGAGGCGUAUGUGCGCCCACAUUUCUCUUAACAAAUUGCACAACCUACAAGAGUGCUAAAUAUGUUAAGGGAUAUGAUUAUAAGAGACCCAACUUCAAAGGACAAUUAAACUAUUAAAAUAUACAACAUUGAAAUACUAGAGACUAGAGUACAAUUCAAGUUUUCAACCACAUGGCUAAAAUGAAGUAUCAAAUAAGUAAUAAAUCACAGUCACGCUCUAACAUAGAAAAUGCAUCAUCCCCGUGUUCCCAGACAAAGAAUAAACCUAUGCCACAAGUAAUUUAAUUUAAUUUUUCUAGAUACUUCAUGUUAUGCCCCUCAAGAGAAUAAGCAACAGGUUAUAUCCUUUCUUAGUUAGAGAAGAAAUAAAUCUAUGUAUAUAGAUUCUGAACUUUACACCACUGUCACCCCAUAACAGACGUAUAAUAUAAGUGGAAAUUAAAUUUUGAAGAAAAACAAUGCGUUACCUGUUUUUCAGCUUCAUUUUCACUGAGUGUGCUUUGAAGCAUUCUCUUUGUCAAACCUAAAUUAAAUUUAAAAAAGUUAAUGACUAAAAAAAUAUGAACAAAACAUGCAGUCAUUUGAUAAUAAUAAUAAAUACAUUGAUAGGAAAAAUAUAUAUCAAAUAGGGAUUGAUAGUUCCAAAAGACUAUCGUCACAUGAGUAGUAAAUGGAAUCACAUUCAUGAGUAGGGACUAGUGGAGAUAUCAAAUUUUCUUUGUGGAAAUAACAGUUCCCAUCAAAUAAUCACUCUAUCAGUCCCUCCCAUUUUGUAUGUCAUCAUCAAUGUAAAAGGCACAAAUUUGAAGAUAAGUUGCCUGAACUUUAGAUAUUAUACUUUUAAUAUAAAUUUCUUUCCCAAAACUACACUGUUGAUACUAUAUAACUUUUGGGGGGAAACUAUAUUAAAAGACAUAACCUCUGAAUAACCUUCUGAUUAAUGGACAUACUAUAUUAAUUGUUGCUGCUGCUGAUCAACUUACAACACAACACCCACCCAUCCUUCAUGUCAUCCAUAACCUUAAUUGCAUCAAUUAACCUCCCUUGCUUACAAAACCCAUCCAUCAAAAUUGUAUAUUUCGUUGCAUCUGGAAUCCACCCUCUGUCAAGAAUUUCAUCAAAUAUCUUCUUUGCACCAAUCAUAUCACCCCUAGACACAUAACCCAACAAUAUGGUAGUAUAACUCACCACAUGGCACCAUACCCAUUGUUGGCAUUUCGUCUAACACUUUAAGGCACCUUCAAUAUCAUUGUUUUUACAAAGACCUUUGAGUAAAAUGUUGUAAGUAAAAACAUUAGGUAUUAUGUUGGAACUUCUUUUUACAAUGUUCAAACAAUAUAUGCACCAAAUUAUACUGUUUGUUCUGAAUCAAAGCGUUUAACAAAGUAUUAAAUGACCUUACUGAGGUUUCAACGCCGAAUUCUUUGACCCGUAAGAAGGUUUGGAGGGCUUGUUUGGGGCGACUGGCGAUUCCGUAGUUUCGAAUUACGACUAUAAAUAGAUUUUCGCCGCGUUUACUGUCCGAUUGCUGUAAUUGGGCGAGAAGAGUUUCCAUCGGCUCGAAUGCGGGAACUCGAGUGAGCUUGUUGAUGAUGGCGUGGUAGGUGUCAUAAUUAUGCUGUAAAUUGGGGUAGAAUUUUCCGACGUGGUCAAAGAUUUGGAGGGAAAGAUCAAGGUUUUGUUGGCUGGUGAUGAUGGAGACGAGGCGUUUGGGGGAGUGAUUGUGUAGGAUUUAAGGAGUUGGUCUUUGAAUUUUAUGGCGGAGAGGUGGUGGUGUGAGGGGUGGGCGAUGAAAGGGUCCGUGGUGGAGGCGGUGGUGGUGAGGUGGAGGUGGAGGUGGUGGUGGAAAUGAAAUGGCCGGUGAAUUGACAUGUUGAGGAAAGUGGCGGACUUGAGUGAGAAAAAGAUGAGACAGUGAGAAUUUAAUUAUGACCAUCAGAUCUGUUUUAAAAGAUCUAACAGCCCAAAAUUUAUCGUAUGGUACAAUAUGUACAUGUUCUCCCCCUCAAUCCCCGUUGAUCUCUUUGGACUAGCAAAUCAUACUACUCGAGAAUAUCCCGUAUAAAUUAUUGCCCACUCCUAUACGCACCAUCCUUUUCAGCAACAGUGUUUUAUUGGUCACCUCCCUAUCAUCACAGUAUCUUUCUUCUCUCUUAUUAAAUUGAAAUCAACGGUUAUAUUUCGUUUGUGGCAGGACCAAUUUCAACGCUUUCGUAGCUACAUCACUCCCCUUGCAUCUCAUUACUACCGGUACAUUCUAGUAUCAAGGUAUCAGGCUAUCAGCUUCUUCUUCAUUAGAGAGAAGCAAGCAAAGAAUCAAACUCAGAAGUAAUGGAGAAUUUAUGGCAAAAGGCAAAGAUAUUUGCAGAAGAAGCAGCCAAGAGAUCUCAAGCCCUAACCCUAACCACUUCUCCGGCGAAGAUCGCCGACAUUGUCUCUGAAACCGCUAAGCGAUCUAAAGACUUUGCACUCGAGGCCUCUAAGAAAGCCGAUGAGCUUAAAACUGUUGCCGAUCAACACAUCAAGUCUCUCGCCGAUCAAAUUCCCUCACUUUCACUCACUACUAAUUCUACUUCUUCUUCCGAUUCAGUGUCCGACUCCGACCUCCAAAGCUUCGGUAUCACGGAGGAUCUCAAACAGUUCGUUAAGGGACUUACCACACUCACAUUCCAGAGUUUUCCUAUUCAAGGUUUUCUUUAAGUCUAUCUAGAUUUUGGCUUCAUUCGUUUAAAUUGCCUUGGUUGAGAUGAUUUUAAUUGCUUUCUUAAUCUCUUGUUUGUUUCAGUGGAUUUUCUUUUCCUUGAAUCUUUAAAUUGCCUUGGUUGAGAUGCUUUUAAUUGUUUUGUUAAUUUCUUGUUUGUUUCAUUGGAUUUUCGUUUCCUCGGAUUCCCUAGAUCUUAGUUUAAGUUUAGACAUAUUUCAGCCAAGAUUACUUGAAACUCCAACAAAUUUGAUUUAGCUUUGGCAAUGUUUAAAUAAGCUAAGGUUUCUGGUUGAAAUAUGAGAUUCCUGUUAUGCCUUGAUUUAAAUGGUAGUAUCUGCUAAGUAUGUUCUAUUAAUAGUUAUCUUUGGUGAAGUUAACUGAGUUAUAAGUUCUGGACAAGGUAAUUUAAGGGACUUGGUAUUACAGCCCUGGGAAAUGGGGAAAUUUUUCUUUCUCUUUGUUGAUUUAAAUUCUUAUCAUCUCUCUUCAGUUAGAUAAUAAUUCUUGUUUCCUGGACGUGUAGAUGAUAUACAAGGAUCUGAUGUGGCUACAUUCUCUAAUGUCCGACAAGAUCUCUCUGAGUGGCAGCAGAAACAUGCCACCCUUGUUCUCACUACUGUUAAGGUAAUUUUUUCUUGUCUUUGUUUCAACUUGAACUCCUCAAGGGCCUUGCUUAGCAGUUGGAAGAAAUGAAAGUAGGAUAUCUUACUAGUUGUUAGAUCACACACAAUCUUCUCUAUGCUUGUGUGCUUUAUGGGACCUAAGAAGUACAUUAGAUGUUUUGAGCAAAAAGGCACACAUUUGAAAAAAUGACCGUCUCAUAAUAUUCAACAGCAUUUUUUUGUCCAGUGCAACAGAAUAGAAAUAAUGAAUUUUUCAAAUGAUAGAGGCAUACUGCAUGACGGGGCAAAUUGUGCAUCUCAAUUAAGAGAGUUCAUAUAUUCUGUUACUGGGAUUAUCUACUUACAGCUUAUGACACCAAAGCUGAAUAUUUCCUUUUUAUCUCCUUUGACGAUUUUAGUUUUCCCUUGUUGGGAGGCUGUAGAAUCAAAAUUUCCUAUGCCUUUUAUCCAUUUUAGUGAGUCUUAUAAAUUAUAAAAGUAGAUUUGUAAAUCCAAUUAAAUGUGAUUUACUAGUCAAAUGGUCCUAUGCAAACUCCAUACAUCAAGUUUUUAAUUUUUACCCUAAAAUUAAUUAAUUGAAGUUGAGAAAAAUACACGCUUUUUUCUUUAAAACUCUGGGCGUGAUUCUAAUUUGCACGUCACAAAAAUGUUCAUGUAUUUUGGAGUUCUAAAUUAGAAAGCAUAAACUAGUCGUCACAUGAAACUAUACUGUCUACAAUGUUUCUCAUGGCUGUGAUGUUUCAGGAAAUAUCGAGGUUAAGAUAUGAAUUGUGCCCACGACAUAUGAAAGAUCGGAGAUUCUGGCAGAUAUAUUUUACACUUGUGAACAGUCAUGUGGCUCCGUAAGUAACGCUCAGUUUUUAAUUUUCACUUUUUCUCUUAGUUAUGGUAAAUGCUAGGGAGAGCGAUAAAUGGCAAUACUGACUGCUUUUAAUUUCUGGACCGCAUUCACUUGUCCAAUUUUUAGACAUAUGAAAACUUGGUAACUAAUCAUUAAAUUAUGGUUAAAGAAAGAUACUUGAGUAGUAACUAAGGAUUGUUUUGAAGAAUUUUUAUUCUUUAGAAAAAAGUUUUCACUAAAAUCAGCAUCAGCGUGUUAGUCAUCUACACUGAGCGUAAUCCGGUAAGUGUUUCGCUGGACUAGUGAGAAUUUUGUAGUCCAUACGGAACAGCUCUAUGCACAAAAUCAAGAAAAGAGUAGACUAGUUUAAAACAUGAAUGAUCUGAAACCUAUAAGUGAGAGUGAGAUCAAUCUGCAAGGCUUGGCAUUCCUUUGAGACCACAAAAAGAAGCUUCCUGUUCAAAGAAGCUAUCUCUAUGAACCCUGAUAUUAUUAAUCCCAUGAAGGCAUGUACAUCUUAUCAUAAAAAACAUUAAGAAGUCAAGAUAUAAUAGUAGGCAUUUUGUUGAAAAUAUCCAUGAUCUGUUCUAAAUUCAUUUCUUUAUUGGACACAUCCAGGUCCGAGAAGAACUACGGGGAGAAGAAUAAGCUAAAAGAAGCAGAGAACAUUAAAGAUGGCAAACUUGAGCAAACUCCAACAGUUGGAUCAGAAGGAAAGGGAACAAGCCUGAAAAGUAAGACUUCAAGUUUAUCUGCGGAGCAGGAUUUAGACACAUUUCUUUUGGGGGAUCUUGAUGACAGUGAUGUGGAGCCAGCAGGUACAUUAGAUAGGCAACUUCGUGAAAUUACACUGGAAUCCUUCAGCUCAUAUCCUGAUGACAGUGAUGUCAUUAGUAUGUUUUAACUUAUAUAGCUGUUUGUAUAAUGAAAUUACACUGGAAUCCUUCAGCUCAUAUCCUUGUGUGACUGUGUUCAUAGUUUUUGGAUAAAAGAUGCAUUUAAAUGUACACACUCAUGGCUGCCGCACUCAACUUAAAAAACGAGUCAUAUGGUAUUGUCACUUGAGAAGGGAUUUAUUUUAGAAUUCCAUGGAAACAUAUGUUAUGUUCAUAGAGAUUUCUACUUGGUUCUCAAUUAUCAAGAUGGCAUGAUUUGAAGAAAAUAUUAUACCUAAUUGGGUUUUAUCAGAUUUGUUUAAAAAUGUUGUGUACUGCUCAUUAACUUUCCAAUGCUACUGCUGACAACUGAAGUUCUAAUGAAUGUAGUCUUUGUUAUCAUCAGGGUUUGUAUACUAAUUUUGUGCGACUAUUUGUGUGCAUUAUGCCCAAAUAUUUGGAUUAUAUGGGUAAUUUUCCAAGCCACUCCACCAAGCAUUGCUUGACAAUAUGCUAAAUUACUAGUUCUUUCUUUCUUUCUUUUGCUGAUUGUUAAAAUACAUUUUCUUAUGCACUUAGUUUUAUGAGUUCGAACUAAUUGAUACAAAUUGCAGAAAACCAGUAGGUAAUUGCUAGAUUUGUUUUUGUUGUCUUUUUUAUUGUUGGCAGUUUUUAUAUUGGAAUGCUCUUGGCCUUAAGUUGCUCAUUAACAAGUGUUUUUAUUUUUACCAGAUGAUGAUGAGAAUUUUGAUGAUGAUUUUGACAAGAUUGACAAUUUGGUAAGAACAAAUUAUCUUCCCAAAUAUUCCUUAAAGCUCCAUAAAGCUCCACUUUUCAUUCUGCUUUGUGCUGCUCAAUUUCUUGAUACAUUAAUUAAAAUCCUCUGGAGGGGUGACGACAAUAGCAGGAAUUCUAGUGUGUGCAACAACUAAGCACGGUUAUGUGGUAUUUUGGAGAACUGAUGGGAUUUUAUGCUUGCAGGGCGUUGAAGAUGAAACAUAGCCGAAUAAGAUGAUGACAGAGGCAGGUUAGAGGGCUAUGCAGUGUUUGAGCAAUUGAAGUCGUACGCGUAUCUGUUAGGUGGAGAGGACAAGUGAAGAAGAGUACUAGUAUAUUUUCUGUGAUACAUACAUACGGUGAUGUAUAGGAGGAGUUGGAAGGUUUACUUUGGCAAUAUAAAGGCCCAUCGUUUAUGGUAGAUCGGGAAAAAAAAUAGGUUUGGGUCGCAUAAAAUAGGUUUGGGUUGGUUUUGGAACCAAAAUCAUAUUACCUAUAUUUAAUAUCAGUUUAUGUGGUUUAGAUUUAAAUGGUUAUGGGUCGAAUCCAUGUUGACCUAUUUUUUUAAAUUAUAGUUUCAUUGAAAUCUUAAUUUCUGUUAUACUAAAAGAGUUUUAAUUUUGGUGGGCGGUGGGCGGUGGGCGGUGGGAGAAAUUAAAUUAUAUAGUAUAAUAUAAAAUAAUUUAUGGAGAGAGAGGAUAUUAAAUAUAAUUGUAUAAUUUAAAUGAGUUAUUUUAAUUAAUUAAGAGAGGAGAUAUUAAUUAUUUAAAUUAGUAGUUCGUUAUACUAAAAGUGUUAACUUAUUAUGGAUUAAUUUCAUAAUUAGUAAAAUGAUUUUUAUACAUAAUUACAAAUAUAUAAAUUACAAAAAUAUGUAAUAUGUAUAUAAUGUAAUAUGUAUAAUGUAUAUGUGUUAUAUAAGAAUGUAGUGUAAUAAUGCAUACAUAUUGAUAUAUUAACUCUACAAAGUGCAAAAAAUUAUUAUAGAUGGGUCAAAAUUAGAUCCAAUCUAUAUUUGUAAUAAUAAUAUGAGUCAAUUACUUAAAAAUUAGUUAACCAAUCUAAUAAAUUUAAGUAGUUUUGAUUAAUUAUUUAAUUUUCAACUUAAAUCGUUAGCUCUAAUUUAUGGUAUGGUUAGGUUAUGUUUCAUUUUAUCUUUGCUUGUACUAUUAAAAACUAUGGUUUGUACAGUUGCUGUAAUUUUAAAGCCAAAUUACGGGGUAGAACAAAAAAAAUUAUUUGAUGAACAUUAAAGCUUUACCAAUUUUUUGUAUGAUCAUAAAAUAAGAAUAUCUAUGCCUUAGUUGCAGCUACAAAUUACUGAUAAUCUUUUUUUUGGGUACAAAUUUAUUGAUACUUUUAUGCAUGUGUCAAUAAACUCAGUUACCAACUUGCGCUCAUUGAUGUUCGGGAUCUACGACUCAUUCGGAAUCAUCAUUUGAACCACUGCGCCAACUACUAGAGUAUCUAACAAUUAAUACUUUAAGAGGAAUUCGUCAUAUUAAAAAUAAAAAAGAUGAAUUAUGUAUAAAAAAUAUGACAAUCUCUCUUAAUAAUAAAAAUACUAUUCACUAUGCCUCUAAUUUUUUAAGUAAUAAUUAGUAGCGUUUAGGAUAUGACUUUAAUAAAUAAAGUUAAAUAUUUACCCUCAUAUUUUAUAUUUUUAUCUCGGUAAUGAUAUCAUAUAUUUGCUAUGACAUAUAUAUCAUUUCUACCAUUUAAUAUUACGUCUGUUACUAAUAAUAGCAGACGUAAAUUUUUUUCGUUUUAAUUUUGGCCGUUGAUUUUUGUAUUGGACAUUCAUUGAAAAUACUCCCUCCCCUUCCUAAAAGAUUGUCGUUUAAGUUUUUGGCACAUGGAUUAAUGAAAUGUCAUUUACCAAGUAAAUUGUUUGAAAUUCCAUUACUACCCCUUUAUGGGAAAAUUGAAAACUAUUAAUACAAAUGAGAGAAUUUUUUGGGACAAUGAGAGAAUGUAGGAGUAGUAUAAGAAAUUAAAUAAUUUAUUCACCUCGAAAGUUGUAAACGACAAACUUUUUGGAAUAAUUUUUUUUUCUCUAAAACGACAAUCUUUUAGUAACGCAGGAGUACUCGCUAUGGAUCAUUUCUUUUAUCUUUAAAAUAAAAAAGAAAAAGAAAAAGAAAAGAAAAAGACUAAAAUGCCCAUAGUAAGCCUGCUAAUUAGAUAAACGCCAUUACCACUCAACUAGAAUUAAGAACCUGAUAUAUAUUACCACAAAUAUUUGACAAACUUAAAUUCUGAAUAAAAUAAAUUAAAAUGCAACAAUAAUUGAUUUUUACUCGAAAUCAUAGUUGGCCAAAAACUUUGAUAAUGUCCAGCAAGACUCCUAUAAUUACAUACCCAGAAACGGAGCCAUCGCGCUCCACAGUCCACCCAACUCUCCAUGAUUUCUGCGGCGGCCGUCGUCUUAAUUGGCGGAAGGUCAAUCAGACUGACCCAACUGUCCUCCAUUAAACUUUUAAUUCCCAACAUAUCCUCUCCUCUCUUCUUCUCUUCCCUCUGCAAAGGCCGACCACUCUCUCAAACAGUUCCACCACCAGUCCCCAAAAAAGUGCCCUUUACCGUUUCAGCUCAUGGAAUCAAGUGGCAAGACCCAUACCAUUGGAUGCGAAAAACGGACGAGCCUGAUUUCAUCAACUACCUCCACCAAGAAAACUCUUAUGCAGAAGCUUUCAUGGCCGACACAAACAACCUCCAACAGACUCUCUUUUCUGAGAUGACCAGCCGAAUACCCUCCAAGAUUUCCACUCCCCCUGAACGCUUCGGUCCCUGGUCUGUUCUUUUAUUUAUAUACAAAAAUUUGUUGCUUUUAGGCUUAAGUUGAGUGGGUAGUUUAUGAAAUGUUUAGUAUUGCUUAUUGUUGGCACAUUGUGGUUGUAGAUGCAACUCAGUGCUCUGCUAUGUGUUGCAUGAAAUUUAUGAAUGAAAAUGUGCAAUUGUUAAUGCGUGAUUAUAUAUUUUUUGUGAUUAAAAUAUAUUUACCUAUGUUUGUGUUUCAUGAUUACAAUGUACUGAGAUUGUUAAUGGAGUUUGAACGGGUUGUAGUCAAUUAUAUUGGGGAAUGCAUUUAACCAUAUAUGCAGUUUAUGAUUAUUCAUGUACUGAGAUUGCUGAUUUUGAGAUUUUCUAAUAUUAAUUGAGUUUGAACAGGUUGUACUACCAAUAUAUUCCGGAGGAUAAGGAAUACCCAGUUUUAUGUAGGAAACUAACAACUGAGAGGAAAGGUUGGGUGGAGACCGUAGUCAAUUACGUGAGGGGAGGAUCAGGGAAGGAGGAAAUUUUGCUUGAUUGGAAUGAAAUUGCGAAACAAUAUGGUAGGUUUCUUCUUGUGGAUGGUGGGAGAAUAGUUAUGCUUUAUUUAAGUUAGUGUUUUCUUGUUAUAAUACACUCACACAUACAUAAAUAUAUAUCCUCCUCCCUCGGUUCCACAAAAAGAGCCCCAUUUGAUGUUGAUCCUAGGUCAUUUGGGAAAAUUGUGAUGUGAAUUUAUUGUAAUUUUUGAAAUCAUAAUUUGUAAUUUGUAAUACUUUUUAAGUAUUUAUACUAUUAACCAUUUCAUUAAUCAAAAUCAAUUAAAUUCACGUCAAUUUUGAAUUUUGGGAUUUCUCGCAAAUUGAUUAGGAUUUUUUUAUUUUAAAAUGAGACUCUUUUUGUGUAUAAGAGGGAUAAUAUCUGCUUUUCAUUUCUUUCCUUUCCCUGUGUUUUCCAAGUCUCAGACGUGCCAAAAUGUGCUUGAGGUACUUUUUCUCACUUAUCAAAAUUUCAAGGGAAAUUCGAUUGCUUGAAAGGUUAUGAAAGUCAAUACUGAUACUGCUAAUUUUGAUUGUAUACACAUGCUGAUGUACUUGAAGUAAUGUAUUCAUUCUUGCGUUGCGUAUUAUAUGAGAAGUCAACUUUCUGUAUCCACUGCAUGUGCGUUUAAUAGUUUCACCACGGAGAGUUUGCUAGUAGGGUUUGAAUGUAUUGUUAUAAUAAGUUGCGCUUUGGUUUAGGUUUUAUCCUUGUAUGAUUGCAUAGACAUAAUUUUUAUCUUUUUCAAAUAAAAAAAAUAAAAAAAGUUGUAUUCAUAUGCUUGUAUGCUUGAUUUUUUUGUUCUGGAUAUGUCCAUGUUCAGACCAAGAAAUUUCUUACUUCCACUCAGUACUUAUUACCUGUAUUUUUUUAAUAUUAAGUUUCCAUAGUUGGAUCCUUUAAUUGUCCUCAAUGGCAGGGUAUGUUCAUGUGGGUGCAUGUCGAGUAUCACCAGACCACAGUUUUCUUGCUUACACACUUGAUAUUACUGGUGGCGAACAGUUCAUGUUACAAAUUAAGGACCUCAGAAGUGGUAUUCUUCAGGACCUAAGAGUUGCCGGAGUUGUUAGCUUAGCGUGGGCUCAAGAUGGUUGUACUUUGUUCUAUACCAUAUCUGAUGAUACCCAACGGCCUUACAGGCAAACAUUUUCUUACUAGUUCAUUGCGUCUUUCACUUGGGAGUUUGUAUAAAUCUAACUAAUUAUUAGUUGGGCAGGGUACAGUACACUAAACUGGGACCAGAUCCUAUGAAUGAUAUCCCAUUAUAUACAGAAAUGGACUCCAGCUUCUGUGUGGACAUCACGAGUACGAAGGAUGAAAAGUUUAUUACUGUGAAUUCAAACUCAAGAACUUCAUCUGAGGAAGGAACUUACCUAUGCCACAUGCCAUUAUUGUAUUCCCUAUUAUUUGUAGAAGAAUAUCUUUAUGGUUGGUUUUACUUACAGCUAGGUUGUUUCGUUUCAGGUUUAUGUCAUAGAUGCAAACAAUCCACAAGAUGGCUUACAAAUGAUUCACAAGCGUGUCCCUGGUGUACAAUACUUUUUGGAACAUCACUAUGGCUUUUUCUAUGCCCUUACAAAUGUGCCUUUGAGUGAUGAUAAUGGAUUGUCUAGCGGAAAUUAUUAUUUGACUAGACGUCGAGUUCAAGAUAUAAAGUCAGCUAAUUGGGAGGUAAAUUUUAUUUACAUGGUCAGGCAUUUUUUAUAAUUUAACUUUCACUUUUGCCUUAAGCUCUAGGUUGUACAAGGUACAAACAUAGUGCUGCAAGGAACUUUGAGUAUAUUGUUAACAAAAAAAAGGUGGAACUUUGAGUAUGUUGGUCUGCUUCUGAAUAUUAUUUGUGCAACUCUCUUUCAUUAUGUUUCCAAUACCUCGUGACAAACACUGCAAGUUGUUGCUUAUUAGUUAUAACUCCCUCUGCUCCUCCUUUUCAUUUGCUUGAUGAACUAAAAAAUCAGGAGAGCAAACCUUCAACGAGGUUUGUGAGGAUCAAAUACUCCGCAUGAAGUAGCUAGUCUGUGCUUCUUUUUAUUGCAUAACAUGGAAUAAGAGAAUGUGAGAGCCACAACUCAGUUGAUACUAUUGUCCUACAUAAACUUCAAUCCAAAAAACCGUAUCCACUUAGUUGCAGUUAAGGCUUCAGAAAUGACCUGGAUCUAAAUUUUUGUAACUAUAAUUAUAUUGGUCUCCCAACUCCAAGGGGUGGGAGAAAUGACAGAGGCUUGAAGAAUAGCCUCAAAGUCGCUGAUUCCAAUCCCUAUACUUGGGAUCAAAAUUACCAAUCAAAAUAAUAAUAAUAAUAUUAAUAAAUUUGUCACCUCAGUUGGUGAAACGUUAUUAAAGGUUUCUUUCUCUCCACUAAUCUCUCUCUCUCUCCCUUGUCAGUUUUUCUCCCUCAAUUCCCCUCUCCCUUAUUAUUACAAGGCAAAAUGGAGCUGCCUAUCUUAUCCAUUUCUUAUUUUCAAUUACUUUUGUUUUCUCUUACUAGAAUAUCAUACUACCAAGUGAAGAUACCAGCAUACAGGACAUGGACAUUUUUAAUGAACAUCUGGUGCUUUUUCUUAACAGAAAGGGUUCCCCUGUAAUAUGUGCCAUCACGAUGCCUAUUGAUGGAAGUUGUAUGGUAUAAUUCUCUGAUACUGUUAGUAUUUACUUGUUUUAUAUAAUUUGAGUUUGCUUAUUUGUCUUAUUUUGUUCUACAGAAAGAAAUGGAGAUUGAUGAUCUCAAUCCGUGGUAUUUCCCUCUGCCGUCGAAUUCCUGUGGAAUUGUUCCUGGUUCAAAUCAUGACUUUAUGAGCUCCCGGUAUCGCGCCAUCCUCUCAUCUCCAGUGGUAUGAAUUCUAAUGGGAUGUACAUUCUGGUUAUUUGAUUAAUCUGAACUUAAUAGUCCGCUUUCCUCUACCCCUCACACCCCUCCCCCCUCCGGGGAAAAAAAGUUUAUCAAAAAUAUGGAUUAAAUUUAACAGCAUCCCAAGUACUUAGAAGAAAUGAUGAAGCUCAGAAUAAAUUUAUAUUUUUCUUAUACGAGUAGGUGAUGGGUGAUGAGCCUGAAUGCAAUCAGAUUAAGUCCGAAAUACAAAGAUCUUAUUAUAUUGAUUUUUUGCAAUAAUCCUGAAAUAUUGAUUCCCGACCAAGGAAAGGUAAAUUUUCCUGCAAGAUGAUGCUCAUACCAUGAGCAAUGUGGCUCCUAAUUAAGCAAGCUAGAAAAAAUACAUUAACUAAAGGAAAACCACAAACUCAUGUAACAGGAAAAAUAACACCCCAAACUUCUCUUUCUAUGAAUAUGGCAUUAUACAAAAGUAAUGUAGUUGGCAAUAAGGUAAACUUGGGAACCAAGUUUGACUAAUGAAUUAGAGUUAAAAAUCAACCUUGUUGGAUUGAGUAAGUAGGCAUUUGGUGAAUCGCUGCUGUGAGGUGAAAUACUUUUACUAGUAGCACCACGAGAAAAAAUUGAAGGACCUCUGCAUUGAGGUGACUUUUACUAGUAGUUUGAGGAAAAAGUGUUGUUAAUACAAAACUGCAAUAGUGUUUGGUAUAGAAUUUUAGAAGCAGUUUAUAGAGAUAUUUUAGCUUGUUAAGUUUAAAUUCAAACACAGUUCAAAAGGACCCAAUUAUAGCUUCUUCCUAAAGUGAUUUAGCAUCCCAACACUCUACAGCUAAAAGUACUUUUGUAAUAUUGUUAAUUACCAAAUAGGCAAAUACUCCUAACCACAAAAUUUGAUUUAAAAGUGUUUUAAGCCCACCUCACUGCUGAACGGACACCAAGUAUGUAGAUCCUACUUAAGACACAUACCUAAAAUAAGCAUGUUGUACAAGCUCGUUAACUCAACAAAGAUCUUUACCUAUUUGAAGCGUAGUAUUCCCUAAUUGCUAAUAUAUUAGUUAAGAAAUAAGUCCCUUAAACCUAUUUUUGAUAAAAAUUUAACUUAUUCCUCUUUGACAAGAGUUGAUCUUAUAUUUUGCUUGCAUCAGUUAUGCAAGGUUGAUUAUUUGAAGACAGAUUUCUGGAUUCUUUAGUGAGGGUUAUGUUUGAGUGAUUUUUUUUUUUAUUUAUUAUUAUUGAAUAAAAAAAUUCCUUUUGAAAAACGUUGAUUAUUGAAAGGUUUUGUAUAUGGAUGUUGGAUGAUGAGUGGGGUUUGUGGAUUGGGAACUUGUAUUUAGUUCCUCUUUGGUGUAAAUUGGAUGAGUUGGUUGUAAACAUAUUUGGGGUUGAAUUAAUUUCUCUCAUCUCCACUGGUCAGGGACACAUAGCCUAAGUUCUUGUUUUCUCUUUUUCAAGCAGCAAGUGGGGUUUGUCCAAAAGUUAACAUUUGCAGUUAUUCUUUUGUUUUAUUUGUUUGUUGGCUCUUCUCAAUGUUUUUCCUCUCUGUUUUAAUCAAAUGAAGAUGCUGUUUAGUUUCACAGUUUUCAACUCAUUCAUAGGUUAUCUCCUCUGGCUGUUCUCGAGUUUUUUUCGCUUCUUGGCAGUCCUAGGUGGAGCUGCUUUCCGUCAUAGUUGUCCCUGUUGGCCUAGUAGUUCCUUAGUCUUGUAACUCAGCUCUUCGAACCUUAGGACAAACAACUUUGAGAACGGCACUUCAAGUCGAUUUCUUCUAACUCAAUUCCCUUAAGUGAGGUCGGGACUCUGUUUCUUCUCUAGCUGGCAUUUUGGUCUGUUUCCAUGAGUGUUGUUGCUUUCAACCGGCCGAUAGCCCCCUGUGACAGAAUCCCAAACAGUAGCCCCGAAGUUCUAUUUUGGGAUUAAAUCGUGUUCUCCUUUAAUCCUAAACAAUGCAAUGAAUAUAAGAAAGUGACUUGGCUGAGUUAUAAUGAUUUACCUAUUAUCCUUGUCAUUGCGAUACAUUGUUGGAUGUAAUUGUCGACUCUGACUGAGUAAUCUAAUUUGAAUUCUACAUGAGAGUUGUGUCCCUCAUACAUAGUUUUGUUUUGUCAAGUGCAGAUACCUGAUUUAAUUGUCGACUAUGACAUGUUUAGACGUACUUUUUCCAUAGUGCAUCAAGACGAAGUACUUGGUAUUUCCCCUAAUUCUGGGUCACGCUCAAUGACUUGCGAAGGAGAGAGUUAUGAAUUUCCAAACCUCCAAAGUGACAAGGACAAAGAUGUCAUAUAUAAUGAAAUGCAGGGAUGGAGGAAUUUCUGUGAUGCAUAUUGUUGUGAAAUAAAGGAAGUCGUUUCCCGCGAUGGUACCAGAAUUCCUCUGACCAUCUUGUACUCUCGGAAAGCACAUCAAAAGGCUCAAUCUCCUGGAAUUCUACAAGGCUAUGGAGCAUAUGGGGAAGUGCUUGAUAAAAGCUGGUGUGCAGACCGACUAAGUUUACUUGAUCGGGGUUGGGUAGUUGCAUUUGCUGAUGUAAGGUAUAUCUCAAGUUUGUUAUAUUAUGGCCAUUAUCCACUGCAAAUUGUAAUUUGGAACUGAGUAGAACAAUACAACCAAGUCGAAUAGUUAAUGUUGGAUUUUGUUUCAAUAGUUAGAUAAUAUCCUCUUUUAUGAAUUCAGACAUGCAUACGAACUCUGGCCCUAAAAAUAGAAGGUUCAUUUAAUUUAAAGCCGAUAAUAGUCUUAACUCACUUAUAAUUAAAGAUACCUUGUAGGAUAGGGGACAAAAUAACAACAUGUGUUCUGAGAGCAUAAACAAUAUGCUGGUGUAUUUUAUACUAAUUAUACGGCCCUUGACAAAUUGAAAUGGAGACUGAAAACAUUUGAAGCUAACCCCCAGGCAUAUUAAAGAAAUUGAUGAGUUGUCUCUCUUUCACAACAUGCUAUUCCUUCCAUCCCAAAUAGGGCGUCAUGUUUUCCAUUUUGAAAUGUACCAAAAUGUUCAUCACUUUUUCGAAGCUGGUGGAAAUUUAAAUAAAUGGACGGUAUUGUCCUCUUAGAGAUAAAUAUAUGUUUACCCACAAUAUAUUGCAAAACCAAUGCAAUUUUAUUAUUGGAUAUAAAAGGAACAAGUUUGGUCAAAUUUUUUCAUUUUCUUUUAAACUAUUUUCCAUAUUGACCAUGACUAUUUGGGACAUGAAUUUAUUGUAACUUGAGCUGCACCAAGUUCUUUCCAACUGCUUCAUCUUCACACAUCUAUGUCCACCUAGGUUAAUACUGACAUAUAGUGGACAUUCUCUGCGUAUUUUAUCUUUUGAAUUGAAAUAUGCUGGCUAUUGUAAAUGCUAUCUGUUGGUUCCCUAUGCUGGAAAGCUAUAUUGACAUCAUGAGUAUCGAAAACUAGUAAUUUGACUGCUGUGGCUUGUUUUGUAUGGACAGAGGUGGUGGUGGUGUUGAUCCUUCUUGGCAUAGAUCUGGGAGGGGAUUGUACAAAUCAAACUCUAUAUUUGAUUUUGUGUCAUGCGGGGAAUACCUGAUUAAUGAGGGUUAUGUCCAUAAGUGUCGGCUUGGUGCUGUUGGAUGUAGUGCCGGAUGUCUUCUUGCUGGUGCAGCCUCUAAUAUGUAUCCAGAACUCUUUCAAGCUAUUAUUUUGAAGGUAAGCACCCCUACAGAACUUCAACAACUAUCUCACAUUCUUUUGUCGGAUGGCUAUAGAACUCCUAUGAGUUGUAUCCAAAAAUAUUAAAAAAUUACUGGAGUUGAAGAUAUUUUGAACUCCCACCAAAUCUAGGAAGCAUCUUCACCUCCCUCUUAACAUUGACCUUUCCUACUCAAGAUUGGGAAAGGGAAGCAGUAAGAACAAGUGAUGGUUAUUGUCUAAGAACAUGUUAUGUAUUAGUAGUAAACAAAUUUGCUUUUGGGAUGUCUAGUUUUAAAAUUUAACUUCAGUAACUGCUGUUCUACAAUUUAUUGUCAAAGUAAUGUUAAUAUAUAUUUGUCAGAUUCUUCUUAUUGUGUAAGAAUCUGAGUGCUUGGUUUGUUUGGAGAGUAACGUGACCAUGAUGUUUGUCUCAGGUUCCAUUUCUUGAUAUCUGCAACACAUUACUGGAUCCCAGUUUGCCUCUCACCAUAUUGGACUAUGAAGAAUUUGGAAAUCCUCAGAUACGAUCCCAAUUCCAAUCUAUUUUGAGUUAUUCUCCGUAUGAUAAUGUACCAAGUAAAGUUUGCUGUCCUGCAAUGCUUGUGACGGCAUCCUUCAAUGACUCAAGGUAACUUCAAACAUCUAUAAAUAUACACACACACAUAUGCCAUGCCUUUUUGUCAUUUUAAACCUUGCACAUGCAUGUAGUUGUAUAUUCAUACCUCUGCCUAGAAAUAUACAUAUUUGAAAGCAUAAUCGAAUGGAUACGGAUAGUUUAACCGGUGCGGUGCCAUUUUUCAAUUAUCUCAGAGUUGGAGUUUGGGAAGCUGCAAAAUGGGUGGCCAAAGUACGAGAUAAUGCAUGUCCAAAAUGUUGUCACUCAGUCAUCCUGAAGACAAAUAUGAGUGGUGGACAUUUUGGUGAAGGUGGGCGUUUUGGUCAAUGUGAGGAAUUGGCGUAUGAAUAUGCUUUUCUGAUGAAAGCUAUGGGCCUCUCGGAUAAGGAUUGAAAAAGGAUUUGUACCAAGAUUCUUGUAAAACAUUUUCAAGUGUACUCUUACCUCUCCCGAUGGAAUUAUGAGCUAAACUCUCCAAUGCUUUGAAGCUUGCAGUGCCUCUUAAUUGCUGCAUCAAAAGCUACCAAUAAGCUCGGAGCGAGCUUAGUGGUCUUGCGAACUAGGUACUACAUUAUUUUUGAUUUGUAAUAUUUAUCUUCUUGCGAGCUUAGUCUGUUAUGUUACGUGUGCAGGAGUCCAGAAGUAGCCAAUAGUUGUCCUCCUCCUCCUCCAGGGCCAGGCUAGCCAAGAUUUUGACUUGCUGCUGUAUGGCAUAAAAAAGUAGUGGAUUUCUUUCUUAUUACGCUUGGCUGGUGUAGAAGAAGAAGAGAAGACACUUUCCAUAAUACUCUUAGAAUUCUCGAAUAAAAAUAUUUCUUAUUUAGUGCGUUUAAAUGUGAGAAUUUAUACAUUGUAGUAUUAGUAUAGAAUAUGAAUAACAACUAAAGUUGAUAAACCAACCCCACCUCGUCUUGCUAAUUUAAUAUACCAUCUGUUCAUGUGGAUUUAAUAUACCAAUUAACUAUCUCCUCUCCUGCUUAAUUAAUUACAAUUUUCAAGAAUUGGGCCCCUUCAUUAAACAAACGACCCCAGAGGAAGUAGUCCAAAUCCAUGAUCAUGUAUGUUUAUUUUUCACCCUUUUAGCCCAGCCCACAGAUCUGCACUGCACUAAAAUUGUAGAAAUGGCCACCCCAUCCGUUCGCUACCAGUACCUGUUGGACUCUGACCACGCCACGUCAACACCCUAUCACUUUAUUACACGUCACCCUAUCUCUUUCCCCGCCUUAUCCAACGGUCGUGAUGAUCUCACCCAAUCUCAGAUCCACCGGCUAUAAUUGUGCAUUCUGGACANNNNNNNNNNNNNNNNNNNNNNNNNNNNNNNNNNNNNNNNNNNNNNNNNNNNNNNNNNNNNNNNNNNNNNNNNNNNNNNNNNNNNNNNNNNNNNNNNNNNUUAACUUUUUAUAAAAAGAUAAUAAUAAAAUUUUAUAUAAAUUUUAAUUUUAAAUGAUAGUAUUAAAUAAUUUUUUUAAUUUAUAUUUAUAAAGUUAAAAAUAUAAUUAUUAUGGAACCGGGAGAGUAAUAAGUAUGGAUAGUUUUAGGGAGAGAAAGAUUAUGUUAUUCUAACCAGGGUUAGUUAUCUAACCAGGGUUCACGCGCAACGUUCUUCACUGCAGAUAAACCGGAGUUAAAAAGAACAUUCGACGAGAGUGAGAUAAAAUACAUAUAUAUGUAUAUACAUGGAGAGAGAGAGAGAGAGAGAGGCUUAGCAAGAACGAAGAGAGGGUUUUGUGGCUUCGACAAAAACAUUCAGGGAUCCUGCCACAUCGGAAUCCAGCCCGUUGAACCUUCUUUCUUUCUCUCAUUCCGACCGUUGAUCUGUUUGAAUCUUUAUAUUCGCCGGUUGGCCGACCCUUUUUUCAGAGUUCAAUCUAUCCAGAUCCACCCGACUGGUGAGUUAUUUAUUUUAGACUUUUCAAGUUUGUCAAUGUAUUAUUUUCUAAUCAACUUAAAAUUGUUGCAAUUAGUUAGUUUGCACUAUUCAUGAAGAUCCAAACUUUAUUAUGAAUCACUUACAAUAAUUCAACCCUACCCGGAUUGAUUACGCCGGAAUUGUUUUGGAUUUCCUGAUUUUUGAUUGCUUUUAGGGUCCUUGGAGUAUUUUCAUGUUUGUCCAGCUCAUUUAACAAAUUUGAUAUUCCAUAGGAUGGGUAUUUAAUAUCUACCAAAUUUUGCUAAUAAAAACAUUAACUAGAAUUAAAGUGUUUGUAAUGCACAAAACUUCCACUUCCGUUAACUUUUGUUGGAGUUUAAUAGGUUCAAUGUAUGUAGACAUAUAGUGGAAACCAUGUAUACUGUGUUUAUUAUUUUAUUAAGUUAUCAAAAGUUAAAGCUCGAGGUUGUAAGGAAAAUCUGAACUAUUUGGUGGUAUACAAAUGAGAUGCCAUAACUUAGAAAGUUAUAUAAGGUAUGUAAUGCAGAACACUAACAACUGAACUUUGAAUAGUAUACCCAAUAAUCUGGCAAACUGGUCCAUAUACAAAUUAAUAUAUUAGUGUGUAUUCUUUCCCACAUACCCUGCUGCUUAAUUUGGUUUGAUCUUCUCAUGUGACCAUCUUUUUUGAUGACUAUGGUUUUUUAUUUCUCGACCUUCUGCUUCAGUUGUUCUCUGUAUCAUGUUUGUGAUCCACUUGUAUUAAUUUAUUGCAGAUUAAGGUCUAUUGCUAUAUCACAUUAUCAGAUGGAUUUCUAGAUGUGUUGAUCAAGAUACUACUUUUCUCUGCCUCUAACAUCUGAUUAAUGAUCUUAUGUGAAUCAUACUUUCUCAUACAAUUGCAAUCGUCUUCUGAGUUUGGCACUCUCUUCGGAGUGAGGAAAAAAGUUUCUUCCGCUGCCAUCGCGGUUGCCAGCUGCAGGAACAAACAGACUCUCCCUUCAUUUCAUGUCGCCUAAUUUGGACAGCCCUGUUCAGACACAGAUGGCGGUGACAGUAUUUAGCAACCCACUUGGUGGAGAGUAUCACGGAAACAAUAGGAUGGAAGGGAAGCCUUCUGGAAGGAGACGUGUUUUUGUGCAGACUGAAACUGGUUGUGUAUUAGGGAUGGAUUUGGAUCGGAGCGACAAUGCGCAUACUGUGAAGAGGAGGUUGCAGAUUGCCCUUAAUGUUCCAGUUGAGGAGAGUUCAUUGACAUUUGGUGAUAUGGUCCUUAACAACGACCUGAGUGCCAUUCGAAAUGAUUCUCCUCUUCUUCUUACACGAAAUGUAUUGCACAGAAGUUCUUCAACUCCUUGUCUCUCCCCUAUUGGGAGGGAUCUACAACAGAGGGAUCAGAGUGGGCCUAUCGAGAUCUUGGGGCACUCUAAAAGCUUUAUCAAAACAAAGCAACUUGUCAAGGAAAUUAUCAAGGGGAUGAAGAUUGGGGUUGAUCCGAUUGCUGUUCAUGGCGGACUUGGAGGCGCAUACUAUUUUAGAAACUGUAGAGGUGAAAGUGUUGCCAUUGUAAAGCCAACUGACGAAGAGCCUUUUGCACCAAAUAAUCCUAAAGGUUUUGUGGGGAAAGCUCUCGGGCAACCUGGCUUGAAGCGUUCUGUAAGGGUUGGGGAAACUGGGUUCAGAGAAGUUGCUGCUUAUAUUCUUGAUUAUGAUCACUUUGCUAAUGUACCACCCACUGCAUUGGUGAAGAUCACUCACUCAAUCUUCAAUGUCAAUGACGGUGUUAAUGGAAACAAGCCUCAAAGCAAGAAGAUCGUGAGCAAAAUUGCAUCCUUGCAACAAUUCGUACCCCAUGAUUAUGAUGCCAGUGACUAUGGGACGUCAAGUUUCCCUGUAGCUGCUGUGCAUCGUAUUGGGAUAUUAGAUAUCAGGAUAUUAAACACGGACAGGCAUGCAGGAAACCUUCUGGUCAAGAAGCUUGAUCGUGUUGGGAGGUUUGGUCAAGUGGAACUCAUUCCAAUUGAUCAUGGCCUCUGUUUGCCUGAAAGUUUGGAGGAUCCAUACUAUGAAUGGAUCCAUUGGCCCCAGGCUUCAAUUCCAUUUUCAGAAGAGGAACUUGAAUACAUAGAAAAACUAGAUCCUGUUCGGGAUUCUGAGAUGUUGCGAAGUGAACUUCCCAUGAUCCGGGAGGCUUGUCUCCGAGUCUUGGUUCUCUGCACAAUGUUCCUCAAGGAAGCUGCUGGUUUUGGUCUCUGCCUUGCUGAGAUUGGUGAGAUGAUGAGUAGGGAAUUUCGUGGUGGUGAAGAGGAACCCAGUGAGCUUGAGGUUGUUUGUAUUGAGGCAAGGAGACUGAUGGCUGAGAGGGAGGUUUUAUCGCCUAGGGAUGAAGCAGAAGACAACGGGUUUCAAUUUGAUAUAGAUUCUGAAGAACCCGGAUUUGACUUCACAUCAGAGGAACUCAUUUCUCGAACCCCAAUUCAAUUUGGAUUUGGAGGUGGUUUCAGUGGACGUAAUCCGCUUUCCAAGCUAGAGGAAAGCAUUGAGGAGGAUGAGAAGGAAACUGAAGGGGAAGUAGAAGACAAGGGAUCCAUAGCCGUAGGACUUCCGGGCCCUGCAAAGAUGCCUACUGUUUCCAAGCUAUCCAUGUCACUCAAGAACACCAGUUUAGAUGAGAAGCUUAAGUACCGGAAAAUUUCAGGAACUAGGCUAGAAUAUGGUUAUCCGGCAAACUCAUCAUCUGGACACAAGAGUGCGCAUGAUCAGCUUCCCGCCAGUGCUAGCUUUGUAAAGUUUUCAGACAUGAAUGAGGAAGAAUGGGUGCUGUUCUUAGAGAAGUUCCAAGAGCUGCUGUACCCGGCGUUUACUCAGCGGAAGUCUGUGACCCUCGGGCAGAGACAGAGACAGAGGCUUGGGACUUCGUGCCGGUUUUGAGAUCGACUAUAUGUUGCUAUUAGAGAUGACUGAAAUAAAACUGCAGACUUGUGAGAGUGAAGGAUUCAUAGGUUAGGAUUUGAUUGCUAUUGGCUUUCUUCACUGAAGGUUACUGUAGUUGGGACUUUGGUGGUAGUAGCAGUAGGAAAAAUGCUUGUAAAUAUUUUGAAGGCAGCUAAGUGAAAGGCUCGAGCAGAAGGUAGUAAUUUUUCUAUUUAACUUCAAUUUUUUCUUUGGACUCUUUCUGGACUUGUUUGAACAAUAAUUUGUAGAAUGAAAUCCAAAAAUAGUGAAAAAAAGUGUUUGUACAUAUUGAAUAUUAUGCUUCUAAGACUCUUUUUGAAUUGAAACUAUUACUAGUAUUUAUUGGAUUAGCUUGAGUUGCAAUGGUGCUACACUACAAGUCUACAUGGAUGGUAUAUUCUUAUUAAAUUAAUACUAAAAAGAUUAUGUAAAAGGUGUCAUAUAGAAGUUUUAAUUUAUGUGAAAAUUUUCAACAAUAAAUGAGAUAUUUUUCUUCUUCUUCUUUGGUGUUGGGUUAGUUUUAGAGAGGUGGUUUUUUGGAUUUAAAUUCGGGACCAGCGAAGCGAGCGCUUGGUCAUCAUGUCAAGUAGGAUCUCAUUUUCAGGCAUAGGUAGUAUGAUAUGAAUUAUUGGUUCCUAUAAAAUAAAAGUGGGUUUAACUUGAUCUCAAUAGCAAGACAAGGAUUUGUAGCAUCAUCCUUUGUUGUUGUAAAGAUUGACAUUCGUUCUAAAUGGUUUUAAUUAAGUGAUGGAUUUUAUUAAGGUACUAAUUCAAUCACGUGUUGCCAAAAUAAUAUUCAACAAAAACAUGAGGUUUAAAUAUGCAGAGCUGGCAAGGAUCAACAGAUGAAACAACUCAAAGGCCUUCCUUUAUGGCUAAAUUAUGCACCCUUUAGGACUAUAACAACGAGGAUUGUAUAUAAAUAAAUCGGUUACACGAAAGGUUCAUCAGGUGAACUGUCUGUCAAGCUGACAACAUGUCCAAGUCUUGCAGAAUGAUUACAGUUUUGUAGCAAUUCUGCAUGAUCCUCAACACAAUGAACAAUUAGAUUAGAUUAACUAAAUCUUUCAUUCACUAAUCAACCUUCUGCCAGACUUGCUUCCCUUUCCACCUGCUUUCUCAGCUGAUCUAAAAUUAAUAUACAACGCCCCUUCACUCACAAGGGAAUCUAUCUGAUGGCAAGUGUAUUAGUGAACACCUUGUCGUGUAAAGUCCUCCUGCUUCUCUAAAUCUGCACAAGUAACCAAAAAGUAUUUGCUUUCUCAGUUCAAAAUAUAAGGCAAAAAAACGUAACUGGAUCCUAAAUUCUGACAACAUGGAAAAUUGAUCAUUGUACAGUUCUGUGCAGAAUGUUUGACGCUCAACAGCACCUUCCUAUGAAUCAACUAUUGACUGAAUUCCUGAAUCAUGAUCAAUCUUCAUGUUCAUUUUCACCUUCAGAAUCUGCAUAAAUAGAAAAGUAAGUCCAAUUAUAUAUCAGUUACAACGGGAGGUUCUGACUGAAGAUGCUAGUGGUCUGAAUUAUAUGCAAGAGGUUGCUGUCAUAUUAGAUCACUUGGCUGGAGCAAUAAUGGCUGCUAAUACAUUUAUAACAAGCUAUAGAAGUCGUCUUCAAGGGAAAUUUAACCGAUAAUAGGGGUCAAGACGCUGUCAGGCGAGUUUUUUUGAUUUGCUAAAAACUAUCCAUUCCAUCUUUAGGCCCCUAACUAUGAUAAAGGGGCGAGUGCACUUUUUGAUGAACCACAAGUAUAACCCAUACUAAAUAUGAUUAGUCAUGAAGCCAUUAACAGGUUCUCAGGUUUACAGUAAAUUAAAAGUUAUAUAGAGCAUAAUAAACUUCAUCCACUGGAACAAAGCAGUAAUAGAAUUCAUUCAAAACAAAUGCAACCAUCAGUUGAGUAGUGACGGAUUAUUUACAGAAAACCUAUGAUGCCCUUAUUAUACUUAUGGCUUGGAAAAAUGAAUAAACACAAUACCAGAGCACAUUGAACAAUUAUGCUGCAAAAUUAAAAGAAUAGGUAUCUACUCAGAAGGUAUUGAAUGAUUAAGGCCUUCAAAAAUUCAAUCUUCCAUGACAACAAAGCGGUACAUUUGUUUACUUCAACUAGUACUGAUUUGCUACACUAAUGCUUUCCUCUUCUUUUCCCCCCUUUGUGUGGGUUUUUUUUUUGUUUUGUUGGGGNNNNNNNNNNNNNNNNNNNNNNNNNNNNNNNNNNNNNNNNNNNNNNNNNNNNNNNNNNNNNNNNNNNNNNNNNNNNNNNNNNNNNNNNNNNNNNNNNNNNNNCCUUGUUUUGACUUACCAGAUCGAACAUCAUCACUAAGUUGGCCUCUUGCUUGGAUUUGUUUAACAAGCAUCCGAUACAUUAACACCCACCAGUAAAUGUGAAGAACGAGCAAGCAAAAGAGAAGAGUAUUGAACACGUAGUAGUAGAUUGGUCCUUCAACUCUGUGCUUCUCCUUGUCCAAUGCUUGGAGAACUUCAUAACUGCCGAAAAAGGAAUAAUCCAUAAUAUUUCAUCAUAUUUUAAGCUCUUCAACAUAUUAAUAGUUAUCAGAAACUAUAGAAUCUUAAAUUGGAUACUGAAAUUGAUAUUGAUACUAUAAGAAAAGGAAAGAAAAUAAGAUCAAAAAUGAGUAUCUCACUAAAGUGCAAGCAGUGCUACUGAACUAAUAAUAAGUAAACCAAUUAUCAAUGAAACAUUUAACAAUUGAAGUUUUGAACUAUGAAUUUUCAUCCAGAAAAAGAUGAUACUACCAGAAAUCUGUUUGAAUGAUGGCUACUAAUCAAAUAAUAAAAGAACAUAAUUGCCAUUAAAUAGCAUCACAUCUCCUGGCCCUAAGAACUACUAAGAUCAUGUAUUCAGGCUUUUAGCUUCUAGAAAUAUUCCUCAACUAAGAGCUAGAGACGAAACCUUGGGAAAUUAAGAUUUUACGGUAAAUUUAUGAAUCGGAAAGAAACCUGUUUGUUCAACGAUUUUGUGCACAGAUAGUAGAAGAUUAAGAUUCCAAGGUUAAAUAAAUAGAUAUAGGAGUUGUUGAAGCUAGUAUACAUAUGUAGAUAUACAUAAGUGUACCUAUACAACCAAAUGCUGCUGGUGGAGAAUGUAUAUAUAUCUUUUGAGAAUUUAUUCAGCAAUUAUGUUGUGCACCACCAGACUGAGAAAACCACCCUUGGUUCUUAAGUAAAGAUUAUCAAGUAACUGCCAACCAAUUAAUUAGGAAUGGAUACUGCAAGAAGCCACCAUCAUUCUAUCUCUUUGUUCUUCGUAUUCUACUUUGUUUCUUUUUCUUCUCAUGUUUUAUGUUAAAAUAUAACCAUAUUAAUCUUUCCAAUUUGAGAUAAUUCAGCUUGAUUAUACUUAACGCUAGUUGUCUCAUGUUCAAACCUAAAGUAAUUAGGUUUUUAAUUGCUAUUCAGAUUUAAGUUUGACUUGUGCAACCAUUUUUUAAGUCCUUUUGUUUCUGUUGUUGAAAAUUCAUACAUAAUUCUUAAUAAUGUAUAUUGGUUAGUAAAGAUGAGUUGGGUUGACACUAGUCUAGGUUUCAGAUUCCCAAUCAAAUACCAGGUGGCCAAGGUCAGAAAGACAUGCAGAAAUCAAAUGAAAUGAGUGUUAUAACCCUAUUUGGAUAUGAGAUAAAAGUAUUGUACUAAUAAAUUUUUAAAGAAAAACACCUGGCCCAACCCCAAAAGAUAAUGUGAAAGAAGAAACAUAGAGAUCCAAAUGAAUAAUCAUAAAAGAAUGCAACAGUGAAGAUAAAUAGGCUCCUUUAAAUUCCUAAAAUACCUUCAACAAUGGUAUAUCUUGAGGGUAACACACUAGUAGACAACAUUAGACUACCAAAAAAAAGUUGUUGACCGUGAUUGCUUCUUUAACUAGUCAAUUCCAUUUAUUAAUAUCUUCCUUAAUGUCUUAACUUCUGACCUAGUUAAGAUUUUAGAAUACAUAUCAAUUUUGACAAACCAUUUGACAUCAGAGCAAAGGAAUUUGCAAGAGUAUCAAUGAAUAAAUGUGAAAAAGCAAUCUACUCCACCUUGUACUCCAGAGGAUCCAAAAUGGAUAGUAGAUGAGGCGAAGUAGAACCCAUGAUAAAACAAACAGAAUAAAUGAAAAGCUAGCAAGAGUCUCAGUGCCACUAUAUUUGGACAUCUUCCCUACUUCAAGAAAUACAUCACUAGCAUCAUGAAGAGCCAAAACAACAGAACCAACUCGAGCAAACCUGCAAUAAGACACAUGAAACAAAUUUUAAAAAUUCCAUCUGCACCAGGUUAUACUAUUUUAGCCCUUUCUAGUACAUAUAUUAAUUUGAAUAAUCAUAUAUUCAUAUUAAUCAUCCCACAUAAUGCCAUUCCUUGAACAUAUUCCAACCUAAGUUGAAGUCAGCAUAAUUGAAAUUAGAACUGAAAAUGAUAAUUACAAAUUAAUAUCCUUCUAAGCAUACCUGAAUAUGUAAGACAACAUGAUGAGUAUCGCAGUUGCUACAUGAUGACCCAUUGACACCCCAAAAUCAGAACGCCUUGUUUCCCAAAAUAUCAAAGCAAAUAUGGAGUAUGUAUAGAAUCCACCAACAUACAUAUAAAGUCCUUUCAAUUUCAACCUGGUUAUCAUAAAAUGAGUCAACUCAGAAAUAGAAAAUUCUUACAAAGUAAAAGAAUAAAUCAAGAGCGACCCAACGUUGCUACAAAAAUUAUAUAAUCAUUGGUCUAUAAUUUUUGGAAAUCUUACUUAAUUUUAAGCUCUGGCCAUACUUGAUUUCCAGGUCCUGUCCAAAAAUUGCUUGUGUUAGUGAACCAAGGCUCAUCAUAGGUUACAGCAAGAGCUAGAAUCUCUGCUGAAAGGUAAUAAAUGCAUUUCCACGCUGAUUCCUUGAACUUUCGUAUCUUCUUUCUCCUCUCAUCUGUCUCAACAUCCAGCUUCUGAUUUCCCUUUCCAAAUAUCAACAGUCUUCCCACUUUCUGCAAAAUGUAAACAUUCAUUUUACUUUACAGUCUGAAUACAAAAAUUUCCAUUGAAGAGUUAAUUUUCUUUUUCUUUUUGGGUAGGAGGGUUGUGGGGAAGACCUGGCCAUGGAGCAGAUUGAUUCGAGAAGGUCAAUUACAAACAUAUAGAAAGAAAUCAACUAGUGUUGGUGUUGCUUAUACAUGGUGUUGGGAGAGGUAAACUAGAUAAUAUAUAUCCUUCAGCAUUUUUUUUAUGAGUAGCUAUCAUGCAGCGUUAUUUUUUAACAAAUUUUGUGUUCUUGAGCUGAACCAUUCUAUUUGCACCAAAAUAACAAUCCAAAAGAAGUUUACCAAGAACACUCCCCAUGGAAGGUUUAAUCUCGGUUGACGCAUAAGCUGGGCCGAGGACACCCUUACCGUUCAAACAAAAAAAAAGACUAGUUAUCUAGUAAAACCAACAUUGGAGGUUCAUUAAAUCUAUAUUUUUUGAAGCAGAAAAAGCUAUUGAAUCCAAUUUUUUAAAAUUUUAAAAUGAAUUUGUAUUCAGUACCAUUCUUUAAUAUGUAAUAUUCGCAUUCAAUUUUUCAAUCAUGAAAGUUGUAAAUUAGUAACUUGGGAUCAGUCUAAUAAUUGUUUAUCUGCAAUGGUCUCUGCAUGUGGUUUUAUCCUGAUUUUCCAGCUUAUCAUCUAUGAUGUUGCAUUCUAGGUAGUAACAACAUUGAGUCAGAUAAAGAAGAUACUUUCUGGGUAUGUUUGGGAUUACAAAGUUCUGGGAGUGUUGUUUGUUGGUAAUAAAGCAUUAGGGACAGAAACCAGAUGAGCAUUACCAUUCAUGUUAAAGGUACAAAAGGACAACUAAAAGAAGAUAAAACACAGGAUUAUUAGUUGGGAAAAAGAACUACAGCCCUAAAAUAAAAUAAGUUCCACAUUGUCAAUAAAAUGUACUAGCUAAGGAUUUAAAUAAAUAUGUAUUGUCUCUCAUGGUCCAAUUGGCCAUGGAUGACUAAUAAGUAAAAUCUUAGUUAGUAUUAGAUCAUAAAUCCCGUCUCAAUUAUGAAAUUAAGAUCAUGCAUUACUAAAAUGGAUAAAAUACCGCCUAAGAGAACAUCGAAUCACUCAAAAUCCAUGUGACUUGACGUAAAUGUCAGGGAAAAAUCUUGGUAGAAAAAGAUGCCACAGAAAGCACAGACAUUAAUAUGUUACUCCCUCCAUCACAAAAGAAAGUCCAGUUUCGAAAGUCUUAAAAAUGUUUGACUUUAGCAUAAUUAACGACUAAGAUCAUAAUUUAGACUUCGCAGGAAUCUAAUAUAAAGAAGAAGCUAUUGAAUCAAAAAGAUGCGCCUCUAUAGGUGUUUAUGGUGUAAAAUGCUUUUGCUGGGCUGAUUGGACCUUCUUUAAUAUUGGAGUGAGCAGUCUUCAUCUUUUUGGUUAUACUGUUGCAGUGAGUAAAUACAAAGUAUAAACUAUAAACAGAACUGUAUAUUCUGUUCUUUGUGCUUAAAAAAACAUAUAUCCAUAGCACAAUUACAGCUAGAAAAACAACAGAAUUUCAAAAAUUAACACAAAGCAAAAGGAUGAAUGCAAUAUUGGUCGACGAUACACCAUAUAUUCGUAAAGCAAUGAAUAGCAAAACGUACACACAGUGAGCUUGAUCAGUCGAUCUAAUAACCAAUUAUCAAACAAAGUGAACAUCAAUCGAAAGUAAAAGAAACCCACUUCAAUCAAACUGAUAAUAAAAUCAACAAGGUACCUCGAAAAUAAAUCUGUCGAGAAAGAAGCGCACUGUAGGGAAGAACAGGGCAAAUAAGGGAAGAACUGCAAAAUCUUCAUACUUUGGAAACGAUUCAUGUUCCCAAUCAAAGGAACCCAAAAAUUCAACCAAGUCCAUUACGGGUUUCCUCAGAAUAACUGUAUCUGUAUCUAUAUAAUUGGUAAGUAAAUCUCUCUAUAUAUAUACACGUAUAUAUGAAUAUGGAUGAAUUCUUGGGCAGAUCAAUGUCUAGCCCAGUAAGGUGAGAUCAAAUCGAGGACUUUAGCAAUGUAAUUGGUUGGUUAUUGUGUAUUGAACAGAUCUGUCUCCCCCACCAGAAUUAUUUAUUUAUUUAAGAUGCCAUUUGAUAAAUCAAGUCAAUUCGGCUUUGAGGUUGACAUUAUAAAAAGUUGGCAAUCGACUGGCGAUUGUUAUCUGGACCGGCGUACGAUUAGUAGAGUCCAGCAUGGUGGGAAGGCUUUGGGCUGCCCAAUAUCAGUUGAGAAAGAGAAUAGCUUUUAUGGUUUAAUCGUAAUCCAAAAACUGUGCAAUAUACAAUUUUUUUUAAUUACUUAAUGAAAAUAUGGCACCUUAAAUAAUUUUAUUAAUUAUUUAUUUAGAUUUUAUUUAUUUAUGAGAACCUAUUAUUUUGCAAUUCAUUUUAGAGAUACAUUUCAUUCUACAGCCUAAGGAAAGUUGGAGAAGGGGUCCGUAAAAAUCAGAGAGCAACUUAAGAGAAACUUAUUUUUAAGUAUAAAACAAAGGAAAUCAUAUAUUUAACUUUUGCCAAUUUCAGAAUGAAAUAAAAAUAAUAUAUUUGAUGAUCAUUUUUGAGUAUAAAUUAUUCCAUUCCAAUAGAAUGGAUUUCCUUUCAAUCCUGGCCUUAACAUUUUUACUGUGAUUUUCAAGUCCUGAGAACGGUUAAAUACAAACACAGAGAGUAUUACCAUUUGUGUAAUUUUUUAGCAGUAAAUUAAUUAGUCAUCCAAGAAGAAGUUUAAACUGGGGCCUCCUCUUCCAAUAGGCCAAGUUGUCUGAGGGAUGAAUGAAAUAAUAAAUGAUACACAAUUAUAAGCAUCUUAAGUUCAUCCCCUUGAAACAUCACUACCCCCUUGCAUCUUGUUUGGCUGGGCUUACCGAGAGAUGAUAAAAUCCAUGGCAGCCUAGCUGUAAUGGGACACACAUCGGAAGCUAAUGAUUUGUGUGCCUGUUUUUAGUUCGUUUUCUGAAUGUGCCUAUAUAGUUUAGUUAGUUCCUUUCAAUGAAAUAAACAAGUGUGACUGGAGCCGGGAUAUCUUACUUGAGGAUAAGUCCAUAAUUAGCUGAAUGUAUAUACAUACAACCUCAGUGAUUUGCAGGGCUAGUAAUUAUCAUCUUCUUUUUUAGAAGACAAAUCAUAUAUUUAACUUUUGCCAAUUCCAGAAGAAACCAAGUUAUAUUUCCGGGUAAUAGAAGCCAGAGAUGUGAUGGUGCUAAAAUUGAUAAUAAUAAUAAUAAUAAUAAUAAUAAUAAUUUCAUUUUGUAUCAUCAAUGUAGCGUUUUUUGCUUUUUGCAUGGAAGAUUCGCAUUUAUAGGAGUCGGUUUCCUUUCUAAGAAAAUUAGAGUCUCAGAUUUUCUUGUUCUGAACAAGAAUACUUUGUUUUUCAGUUGAUUACUCUCUUUUUGAUUUUCUGCUGUAUACUCUAGCGAUAGACAUGGACUCAUCCCAAGUCUGCGGAGUCAUAGAAGAAUAUAGUAGCAGUGAGUCCGGGUGGGCAAUGUAUAUAAACUCUCCCAACCACGAAAACAAGAAUGAGGAUGGAGGUGAUCACCAAACAGAUCAAGAAUCUGGGCAUGAUAAUGCAGAGUGAUGAUUCUAUGGCUUCAGACGCCUCUUCAGGUUCAAGUCAUGAUCAUCGUGUAACUUUACACACUAAGGAAAGUUGUGGCAAGGGUGAUUUCAAGUACGCAAAGGAUAAAAAUUUGGUCCAAACUUCACGCAAGAUACCUAGGAAACAGAUGGAGAAGAAGAUGUACAAAAGGAAGAAAGAAGCUGAGACCCAAGAGCCAAAACACCAGCCAUACAGAGCUAUCGGUUAUGGUCAAAGUGGAGCAAAGAAAAUCAAGUAGGAGGGCAGAAGACACUUCAUAGAUUCAGUGAGCACACAGUAGUGUAGUCAGGCAGUAUUAGCUAACUCAAGCACAUGUAUACAUCAUAAAUGUUCACGUGAUCCUUUGUUUCAUGUUCCAUGAUAUAUAAAAGUUUCAAAUGCGUGUGUAUAUAUAUAUAUAUAUAUAUAUAUAUAUACAUAUACAUAUACUUGUAUGAAUAUAUGUCAGACCAAACAUGCAAAAAGGUGAUUUAGAAACUGAUACAGAUCUAGGGUAGCAAAAAUCUAGGGAGCGAUAGCAUAGAGAUGGAGGAUGACAAUUGACAAACACCAAAAUACCAGGCAUUACUAUUAAGAAAAGACGCCACAAAUAUGAUAUUUGAGCUCUACCUCUUCUUGAAGAAAUAUUGUUGGUCUAUUGGUUUCAAAGCUCGUGCUCGUAGUUCAUCUAAAGGCAGUUCAUCUAGCUGAGGUCAAUAAUCAAUGGCAGCAUCAAUGAAAAGCAUUUGAACAUGAAAAAUUAAAAUUUAAGACUUCAUAUAACAAGAAAGUACAUGACCAGAAUAAAGAUCCACGGGACCCCCAGCAAACAUAUAUUGCUCUUAUAAUUAAGAAGAUAGGUCCACCACAAUAUGAAAAAUCAAACCAAAUCUAAAAGAAGUUACAACAAACAUAGAUAAUAUGCAAUUUAGACACUUUCAGUAUAUCUAGAAACAACAAUGCCAAGAAAAGUAUGACAAAAUGAAAUAGAAUCAAAUGCUCGGUCUCAAUCACCAAUGGAACAUUAUUAGGUAUAAAAGACAACAGUUCAAAAUGGUUGAAGACAACCAUCGGAAAUCAGAUCUUUGACUGUUUGGCGAUCUUGAACCAUUCAGUAUGGAAGGCCCCUGGUAUAUCAGUCCUCUCAUAUGUAUGAGCACCAAAAUAAUCUCUUUGCGCUUGAACCAAAUUAGCAGGCAGCCUUUCCCUUCUAUAGGUGUCAAAGUAAGCGAGACUAGAAGACAUACCCGGUGUGCUUAUACCUGCGUUGAUAGCAAGACAAACAACUCUUCGCCAAGCAGAUUGUCGCUCUAUCAUCUCCUUUGCAAACUCUGGAUCCACAAGAAGGUUAGCGAGAUCUGCAUUUCUAUCAUAAGCCUGCUUGAUGCGGUCCAAAAAUAUUGCACGGAUAAUGCAACCCCCCUUCCAAAUCCUAGCAAGCUCCCCAAGUUUUAAACCCCACCCCUUUUCAAUACUCUUUGCGCGGAUCAAAUUCAUUCCCUGGGCAUAACUACAUAUCUUGGAAGCGUACAGCGCUUGUCUGACAUCAUCAAUCAACCUCUUCUUAUCCACAGUUUGGUCAAUGAGGAUGUCCCCCACCCCGCCUGCUUUGAAGACCUCUGCAGCUGCAACUCUUUCAUCCUUCAAACCACUGAGGAAUCUUGAAUCCAAAGAUGAAGCUAUAGUAGGAGCAGCAAUAGACAGCUCAGCAGCUUGCUGGACCGUCCAUUUACCUGUACCCUUCAUGCCUGUUUUAUCAAGAACCUUGUCCACCAAAUACCCAUCUCCCUUAUCAUCCUUAAUUCCAAAUAUAUCUGCUGUAAUCUCGAUUAAGAAGCUCAGAAGUUCCCCCUUAUUCCACUCUGAGAAAACCUGAUGCAAUUCCUCAUUUGAGAGCUUCCCAACUGAUUUUAGUACAUCAUAAGCUUCUGAAAUCAGCUGCAUAUCACCAUACUCAAUCCCAUUGUGAACCAUCUUAACAAAAUUUCCAGAUCCACCUUCGCCAAUGUAUGUAACGCAAGGGCCACUGUCAGGAACUUGAGCAGCCACCUUGAGAAGGAUAUCUUCUAUAUUCUUAUAAGCCUCAAAGGAUCCUCCAGGCAUUAAAGAGGGUCCAUUCCGAGCACCCUCUUCACCACCCGAAACUCCCAUUCCAAGAUAGAGUAAGCCUAAUUCAGCCAUAGCUUUCUCUCUCCUUUCGGUGUUCUCGUACCACUCGUUACCACCAUCAAUGAUACAAUCUCCUUUCUCCAAGUAGACGGAAAGGGUUUUGAUGGUUUGAUCAACUGGUGCACCAGCCUUAACAAGCAUAAUUAUGACUCGAGGUUUCUGGAUUGAAUUAACAAAGGCCUCAGGAUCAUGGAAGCCGUACAAGGGAAGGUUUCCUUCAAGUUGGGCGCGUUCCACGGUCUCGUCAACUUUUGAAGUAGUUCGGUUGUAAACAGAAAUAGGGAAUCCUUUCUCAGCAAUGUUGAGGGCAAGAUUUUGACCCAUGACGGCAAGGCCAGCGAGACCGAUUCUUGUUGGGAGAGGAGCCAUUUCCUUUUCCUGUUUAAAACUUUACCAUCAGACAUCAGUAGAUUAUAUUUAUGGUUUCAUAAAUCACAUGCUAAUGGAGAGGAAAGUUCCAAUAACAUCGAAAAAUGGAAACAAAAAAAUCAUUUAAGGAACCAUUCUAAACAGGCCAGUAAAGUCUAUAUACUUGGGUGAAUCCUAACAAAACAGAACAAAAAGAACCCAAAAAUUCAAGACUUAUUGCAAAGCCUCCAUAUUGUUAAAAUGGAAUCUAAAAAAUCUAUUGGACAGACAAACAUAUCUCAGUGGGAAGGAAAUACAAAUUAACUGUUUAACCAGAAGAACUUGGAACUUAUUUCCAAGAUCCGUGCUACAUUUUGUUGCUUUGAGUAGGAAGUGGGAGAUCCAAUUCAAAUCCCGUAAUUGGUUGCUUACUAUAUUAAAAAUGAAUUUGGAAAUCCCCCAACUCUUCCCCUUCAUAUGGUCCAGUAUUAAAUUCCAAAGAUUCAUAACCUAUAUCCUACCUCCUACAUAGAUGAAUGGGUAAAUCUGAUCUACCUUAUCACAUUCAGCCAAAUAAUUACAAUAUUAUGAUUUCCUGAUCACUUCACCAACAAAUCAGAAAGUGACCUACAGAAGAUGUGCAAAAUAAAGAUUCAAAUAAAAGGAACCGGUUAUAUAAUUGAACCCCAUAUCAAAAGAAUCACAGAUAACUUAAUAGAAUGUUGCCAAGAAGAACCAAAUUUAUGACAAAAACGAGAUGAAAAUGAAAAAAAAAAUAACUUGCUGGUAGAAGUAGUAAAAAAUCAGUAACAAACACAUUAUAUACAUCCAAAGGUUCAAUCAAACUAUAUAGCAGAAAACAAAUCGGGCAAACAAAGUCCGGAAACUUUCAAAGGCAAAGGAAAAAGCAAAAAAACAACAUCUCAGCACUGAUCAAAGAUGAAAGAUUGAAUCUUGACAAGGAAGUAUUACCUCAGAAGAAUACAAAACUAUGAAACUUUACUUCAAAUGGUUCGAACCAGAGAAAUUUUUGGAUCUGAGCUUUUAAGAUCACACUCAAUCAAUCCGGUAGAAGACGAUUAUAUACUGGUAUAAAGAAGGUUCCCACACUAGUCUAUCUUCUGACUUCGGCGGAAGCCCAGUACAUUCACGCGCAAGUCAAAUUCGGCUGGCUUAUCGUUUUCCCCUAUCACCGGUGAAUUGGUGAUUGAUUUACCAAAUGCCCUUCUUUUCCCGCAUAUCCCAGCGGAUCCACCUACCACCAAACUACUCCUACUUAAAAGUUAAAAGGGAUAAAUAACGUUUUCUUCGAACUUUGAUUUUCAUUGUGAUUAUCGAAUUUUUUUUUAUUACAAUUCAAUAAUUAUACUUUCAAAAAUUUAUAAAAUAGUCAUUCCGUCCAAUUUUUCGUCCAAAAAAUAUUAAAAAUACUGACUGUGCAAGUUGACUUGACUUUUUUACUUACGUAGAACACAAAAAAGACAAGCAAGUAGAUUAUUAUAGCACAAAUGACCAAAACUAUUAAUUACUUCACCUAAACAAUUCCAAAACUAAUAAUAAUAAUAAUACUAAUAAUUUCUAAAUAAUAAUAAUAAUAAUAAUAAAUACUAUUAAUAGUAAUAAUUUUAAAAUUCUAUUUUUAAAUUUUUUUAAAAAAAAAUCUGUUAAUUUUAAAAAAGUCUUUUUUUUAAAAGAUUUUUUGUUUUUUAUAAUUCAAUUUUUUUUAAAAAGUCUGUUUUUUUAAAAAACGUUAAUUUUUUAUAAAAACAGAUUUUUUUUAAUUUUUUUAAAAACGUUAAUUUUUUUUAACUGAACUAAUAUUUUUUUUAAAAAGUUAAUUUUUUUUAAAAACGUUAAUUUUUUUAUAAAAACAGAAUUUUUUUUUAGAAAAUUAAUGUUUUUUUGAAUUUUUUUAAAAAUUUAACGUUUUUUAAUUUUUUUUUAAAAAAGUAACGUUUUCAAAAUUUUUUUAGAAAAGUAACGUUUUUUAAAUUUUUUUAGAAAAGUAACGUUUUUUAAAAAAAUUUUAGAAAAUUAACGUUUUUUAAAUAUUUAGAAAAGUAACGUUUUUUAAAUUUUUAAAAAUUAACGUUUUUUAAAUUUAAGAAUUUUUAAAAAAAAUAUUAGUUCAGUUUUAAAAAAAUUAAAAAAAUUCUGUUUUUAUAAAAAAUUAACGUUUUUAAAAAAAACAGACUUUUUAAAAAAAAAUUGAAUUUUAAAAAACAGAUUUUUUUUUAAAAACAUCUUUUUUUAAAAAAAGACUUUUUUAAUAUUAACAGAUUUUUUUUAAAAAUAGAAUUUUAAAAUUAUUACUAUUAUUAUUAUUAUUUUGAAAUUAUUAUUAUUAUUAUUAUUAUUAUUAUUAGUUUUGAAAUUGUUUAGGUGAAGUAUUUAAUAGUUUUGGUCAUUUGUGCUAUAAUAAUCCGCCUGCUUGUAUUUUCUGUGCUCCACGUAAGCAAAAAAGUUAAGUCAACUUGCACAGUCAGCAUUCCUAACGUUUUUUGGACGGAAAAUCGGACGGAAUGACUAUUUUGUAAGUUUUUGAAAGUACAGUUAUUCGAUUGUAAUAAAAAAAAGUUUCGAUAACCACAAUGAAAACCGGACCCCAGUAUAAUGACCAAAACGUUAUUUAUCCCAAAGUUAAAAGCAUGAUUUUUAAUACAAUUUUUUUUUUGUUAUAUCUGCACAGAUCAAAUACUACAUGAAAUAUGUAGAAGGACUAAUUUAUUAUAAAAAUUCCCCUUCUUUAAUUUUCUUAAUUUGUAAAAAAAAACAGAGACCUAAGAAAUUUCGAUAUACAAUCUAAACUGUAGCAAUAAAUUAAGGAUAUAUUUUUAAAUUGCCAAUUUUAAAAAUAAUAUUAAUUAUAAAUAUAGUAGUAGUACGUAGUGACAUGAGGCUAUAAUACUAUUCAAUAAUCAAUAAUUUUAAUAAAAAUAUAUAUUUAUUUGGAACAAACAUAAAAGAAAAAAGUAUGUCUCAUUUUGGAAUGAAAAGGUUAAUUUAUCCAUUCAUUAAAAGCAUUCUUAUUAGAAUUUAUGUUGAGAAAUAUGUCAAAUUCUAAAAUUCAAAUUGUAAUGUAAAUUUAUUUUAAUUUUUAAAAUAAAAAAUUUAUGCUUGGCAAUUUAUAAUAGUAUUAACUAUUGUAUUAAUGUUUACAUGAAUUUUGAAAUUUUAAAUUUACCAAAUUGAAUAUGAUAUAGAAAUCAAGUGGAACAGUAUUUGUGCAUGUGAAAAUUCAAUUGAUAAGAUUCACAUGCUAUUAUAACUUAAUAAAAUAAUAAGAAUUCCACAUAUCUAUUUUUAUUCUCAAAUCAAUCCAUCGUUUCAUCUCUAGUUCACCAAAGCCCUAACACGAAUAAUCUUUCCUGAAAAUUUCCUCUAAUAUUUUUUGAAGCUUUAGUAAGUUAUAAUGUUAAUUUAUUAUAAUGCUCUCUUAACUUAGUGAAAAAAUAUUUAUUUUUUUCAGAUAUGUAGUGAAGUGACCUAUGCGCAUGUCGCGUUAUCAAUUUUUGACGUGACACAACUAAUUGGUAGACAUUAAAAUAAAUUAAGAGAAAAAGUCCGGCCAAUUUAUUUAUUUUUUAUGAUUCCUAAACAAUUUAUAAUAUUUAUUAGAACUGAAUUUUUUAUAAAAUUCAGUGAUUUAGGUGUCAUUUAGAUACAUGUAAAAAACAUAAUUGUACAGUUCCAAAUGAGACCUAGAUCACUGAAUUCUAUAAAAAUUUCAGUUUCAAUAAAUAUUAUAAAUUGUUUGGGAGUCAUAAAAAAAAUUGUUAAAAUUUUUUAUGAGAAAGUGUUCAUGGUAGCAAUAUUUAAUGAAGCCUUAUUUUAAACAAUAAGUCCAUUUUUAAUGUCUAGCUAAAAAAUUUCUUAUCUAGAUUUCUCAGCUCAAUUCACCACCGUUCACAAACCUUAAGCUGUUGUUUGAUACAUGUCAUCUUAGCUCCUAAUCCUUAAUAACAUAGAUUUAUAUUUGAUAAUCUUAAUUUUUUUUCAUAAAUUAGAAAGUAGACCUGAUAAACAGGUGAGACAACGAUUAAAAGCUCGAUUUUUAUUGGGUUACAAAUGUAAAUACCAUGACCACAAUAAUGUGUACAAGAUAAUAAAUUCAUGAAAAAUGAUAUUUGUUUAUAAAAACCAUCAUUUAUAAAAUAUAUUUUUAAUUUUGGAUCCCAAGGAAUAUUUAAAAUUAUCAUAGGUAGUAAUUUCGUAGACAAUAUUUUAAUUUUAAAUUUAUUACUCUUUAUAAAGUUCAUUAGCAGUUGAAAGAACUUAUGAAGUAGUCUAGAUUUUAAAGUUGUAAAUAAAUAUUAUAAAAAUCAAAAAAGAAAGAAAAUAUAUACAAAUGAUUCUUCACAUUAAAGGUGAGACUCCACAAUUCUUUGUUUAAACUGUGUUAAUUUGAAUUAGGUUGUGUUUAAUUUCUUAUCAUUUGUUAAUUUGAGCUUGAAUCUAGAUAGUAGUUUGAAGAUGAUGCAGCAUCAUAUUAGUAUUAGCACGAAAUAAGAAAUAAAGGCUUGUGAGAAGUAUAUUGACAAAUACUAAUCUAAUUAGUUAAAGAAAAUUGCUCCAUCUAACACCCAACCCAAGAGCAUGCAUUCAAUGUUGCUAUAUAUAAGAGCAUCUCCAAACAAAUAGACAAACAUAUAAAUAUUCUUUUCGCUCUUAAAUCUAUAACCUCCUUUCUACUCUUCAAAUCUAUAAUUAAAGGCUAAAAAUAUUUAUUAUAUAUGUUUGAUAGGUCUGAUGUAUAGCUCAUUAGAUUGAAAAGACUGAUGACGCACAAAAUAUGAAAAUAACAAAUAAUACUCUUUAAAUUAUCACGUAGGUCAACAAAUAUUAAUUUGAAAAAUAUUUUUUACUCCUACUCUUGGAGAUGCUCUAAUAAGGUCAAAUGUAUGAGUAGAGAGACAAGAUGUACAAGCGAUGAAGGCUGUUGGAAAAAACUAUAAACUUAAUUUAGCUGCUUAUAAUGAGUUGCCUUUUUCAAAUGUUUUAAUCUUCUAGUACGUAGUUCAUUGUAUAUAUUAUUAUCCACUACUACCAGCACCUCCACCACCAUUUGUCCCAUUGCUCUGCUACAGUGAGCAAAAACAUGACUUAAUUUGGCCUUCCUUCAAACUACCUGCUGGAUCCUGUUUCCAUGAAGAGCCGGAAAUAUUAUUUAUCCCCAUAUUCAUUCUGUGAUUACGCAAAAUAUUAGAAGAGCCGGCCGGAAACUGGUGUUUUUAAAUAAUGAAUAUUUGUUCACGAGGAAAACUAUAUUUAUUUAGCUCCUUUGGUAUAUGGUUCAUGAUGUUAUAAACCUCUAUUUUCCUUUGAAUGAGACAAAUAUAUAGUAGCAUAAUUCAUACUUGAGAGAAUAAGGAAUAUAUAUAUAUCAAAAAGUGGAUAUAGAACAAACGUUAUUAUUCCAUCAAACGUAUAUAUAUACAUAUUUAUUUCUAGUGUUUUGUUGCAGUUUGUGACAAUUUGAGUGAUUAAUCUCGUUGAAGAAAAUUUGAGGAAUUUCUGAUGCAUUGGUUUGAAGAUUCAGCCCUGAGAUGGGCGGCUGUGCAAGGAAUUAAUCUACUCGAUCCAGAUGUCUCAAAUUAAACCGUCGUAAGUAAAUGAAAGUUGAAUGUCAGUUAGCCUGUGACGAAGGUCGGACGCCUCUUCCUUGAGCCAUGCAUUCUCUAGAAGAACUCUGUCAUGGCUCUCUGAUGCAUCAUUCAACUUGUCUAUGAGGUCCUGAUUCUCAGUUCUUAGACGCAGCACCUGUGACCAGAGCUCAUCUAGUUGUUUCUGCUUCCGCAUCCUUGACCUGCGAGCAGAUUCUCUAUUAGAAAUCAUCCUCCUUAGCUUUCUCUCGUCGAUGAUGCUAAGCUGAAGCUCAUGAUCAUCUCCUUCGUCUGAGGUUGAGUUAUUGCUGAUACACGAGGGCUGCGGAGUGAACUCAUGGACGGAAAGAGAGGUUUGAAAAUUCGGAAAGUUGUUUAAGAAGCUGCUGAAAGGGAGUGAUGGCAUGCUAUUAUCCUGCAUCAACCCAAAAUUAUUUGCAAAAUGGGUUGAUUUUUCUUGAGCUAGGGGGUGGUGGAUUCCUGCGAUCUCGGACCGAAAAAGCAUGGCUAAAUAUGGUUGGUGUAAGAGUGAAUUUGAAGGUUUAUUGUGCAGAUAGUGUAGAGAGGGGAUGGACAGAAUGAGGGGUUUUAUAGGAGGAUUAAACAAACAUAUAUAGUAAUAGCACUUCAAAUGUGUGUGAUGUAUGCAUGUAAUGAUUGGAACUGAUACUAUAUACUACAAGUAUAUGUGUAUGUGUGUGUGUGUGUUCAGUGUUGAUGCAUGUAUAUUUCUUGGAUAACGGAUAACUUGAGUUUUUGGAUAAUCAUUGAUGUAAUUCUUACUGGGGAAGGAAUGUUUGUGGUAAAAAUGAUGAAAAAAGUAGAGCCAAUGAGAAAAUAGUCUUUCAAAAUUCAUUCUAAAUGUUGUCCCCUUCUGAUUGAUGACCAAUUGUGGGUGACUGGAAAAAUUAGAGCCAUACAAUAAAAAUAGAAUUUUAAUUAGUGACCAUUUUUAUAUUAAUUCAGUGACUGGAAGGGCACUUCAAUUUAGAUUCAGGGGACCUAAUGAGUAUUGAAAAUAUUAGUAUUAAUUAUCUCGACAAUUAACAUCUAGUACGUAACUUCAUUUCUUCCAUUUUUUUACUUUUUAUAUUAUCAUGUUAUUACUAUUAUAUUUUUAAUCAAUCUUAAAAUUAAAAUUAAAAAAAUAUUAUUAAAAAUCUUCGUUUUAUAAAUAUAUCUACAAUAACAUUAAAAAUAGGAUGACUACUAAGGUUGAGUAAUACCAAUAAAACUAUUUUGUUCAGUUUCGUUUGAAGUUCUAUUAAUAUUACAAGAAUGCUCUACUCCAUAUAAUUAGCACUUGGCAAUGAUAAUUACCAGAAGUGCUGAAAUGUACUCGGCAUCUUUUAGGUUCUAAAUUCUGUCUCUUUCACACCAAAUUAACUAGCCGUCACCACAGCUUCUCACGUCUCUCUCUCUCUCUCUCUCUCUCUCUCUCUCUCUCUCUCUCUCUAACAUGCAUUCUUAUUAUAUAUAAUUAAGCAUAAUUAAGAUCGUGGUCAAUUAUUAUUCGGUAAUGGUUUAUAAUUAAUUAAUACAAGGAAGAAGUCAAUAUAUAAUACUGCCCUUGUAUGCUUUUAAAGGGUCAUUGUCAUUUAUUAGUAUUUCUUUGAAGAAUAAUUAUAUAUAUAUAUAUAUAUAUAUAUAUAUAUAUAAUUAUUCUAUUAUUCUUGAAAAAUGGAUCAAGAAAAGUGUAGACAAAUCUCAGAGGUAGCAACGUGCAACCGAAUUGAAGAUGUUCUAUAUAUUUAUAUUUAUAUGCAUGCAUGCUAGUAUUAAUUAUUAUAUUAAUAAACAGUUCGAUAUAUAUUAAUUCCACCCCUAGUACGUACUACUAUUAUGUUAUUUUAUAUGUUUAAUUGGUGAUUACCCACUAACCAAAUUAAACAUCCCUUUGGUGCAACUUGAUCCAACAAGAGAAAACUAAGAAUCCGGCCGGAACCGCAAGGUUCCACGCAAUCCUUGAAAUAUUUAAUUUAAAGGCUUCUACUAUUCUAUUCUCUAGUCAGUAGUCAUGUACUGCAUGCCUAAUCAAAUAAUUUUAGUUAAAACCCCCCACUAAUUAAAACAUCAUCAGCUAAUGGUGGAUUCCCUUUUUAGAUAUAUAUAUAUAUAUAUAUAUAUAUAUAGAGAGAGAGAGAGAGAGAGAGAGAAAUUAACGUUGAUCGAGAAUACCAAAUGUGUGCCAUAAAUCCCAUACAUUUUUAAAGAGUAAAUAUUAAUAUUACAUUUUGAACAAAGAGUAUUAAUUAUUUUUUAAAAAAAUAAUUUACUCCAUAAUAUUAAUAAUUUUAUUGACUAAAAUCUUAUUUACUUUUAAUAUUCAUUCGUUCGUGUUUGUAAUUUAAUUUUUUCAUUACUUGAACAAAUCACCUAAUAAAAACUAUGUUUAAUUACCUAUAAUUUUAAUAAGUUUUUUUCCCUUCCAGCUACACGUGUCUGCCAUGUGAGGUUUUGAAGAAAAUUUUUAUGAGACCUCUUGUCACCUUAACAAUGUCCCUUCUCAAGUUUCCAUCAAGAACUAAUUUGCAAGCUUUAGAAUUUGGUAGCAUCACUUAAAUUGUACCCGCGUGUGGGUUUUUCUCCACUUUUCCCCCACCCAAACAACCCAAUUAGUUAUAAUCAAGUAUACUUUCUUUUUUAUCAUGACGAUUAGGUCAUUGUGUUGCGAUAUAUAAUAUAUAUUGGUUCUAAUAGGAUAAGCUCAUCAUCUUAAUACCCUCUUGCGCGUCUUUUAUUCAUCAAUACUCGUGCAAUUUUAUAUGUUGAUUUUUUAAUUACGAAUUACGUAGAUAAUUAUAUAAUUGAUAAUAUUUUAACGAUAUAUUUGAAAUAAUAUGCUAAUUUUAUAAUUCUAUUUAUUGAUAUAUAUAUAUAUAUAUAUAUAUGGAUUCCAUUCAUAACAACCGGUUGUUGGGAGCAACUCAUUUUUGGCCAGCCGCUACAGCCUGUAGCGGCUUAUAAAAAAAAUAAAAAAAUUANNNNNNNNNNNNNNNNNNNNNNNNNNNNNNNNNNNNNNNNNNNNNNNNNNNNNNNNNNNNNNNNNNNNNNNNNNNNNNNNNNNNNNNNNNNNNNNNNNNNAUAUAUAUAUAUAUGUUAUAAUUGUACGUGGCAAAGACUCUUAAUUUUUUGGCCACAAGAUUAAUAUAUAAAUAUUCAGUUCUUAAUUACCAUCUUUCCAGAUGUUAUUAGAAUAAUGAUACGAUAAUAAUUAAUGGCAAAAAUUGUUGUUUAAGGUUGUUUAUAUAGUUGGUCAGAUUAUAAUGAUAAUGAUAAUGAUAAAUUGUUCAUGGACGACAAUGCUUUUGUAAGUCCAUUCUUUAAGUGUGCAUUAAACUUCAAUUCUUUAACUUUGUUUAUGGUAAUGGCCAAUGGGAUUCGAUAAUUAUGGAUUAUUUAAAAAUAUUUUAUGUGGACAUCGUGCUCCUCUAGGCUCUAAUUAUAUAUGCUUCCACUUGUCAAGUUGUAUAUAGAGACUCUAUUUGUGAUCAGAUUUUAGAAUUCAUGGCCCUCCUUACGUUACGUACCUUACUAAUUAAGUUUGUCAAUUCCUAAAUUUGAUUGUCCUCCACGGCAAUCAAAUUUAGAAAUUGGAUUUAAUGCAAAAAAAAUUUAAUCAAGAUCGACUUUAUUAAAUCAAAUUAAUUUUUAAUAACUGAAGUUGUUAAAAGUCCGUGUAUAGCAGAGCCAUAGGCAUGGUGUCAUACAUUUGGUAAUAUUUCUCGUCUCACCACUUAAAAUAUCUUACACACUCUUUUUCAUGAAACAUGUUUUUUUUUUUGCCAAUAUUUUAUUCUAAAAUAAAAGAACUCUAUUUUUAUUUUAUUUUAUUUUAUGAAAUAGGAGUAUAAAAUGACACAUGCAGUGUGCUCAAAUUAAUCGUUACUACAAUUUUACUACAUUGACGUCAUUCUGAAGUUUAAAAUGUACACAUAAAUAUGGAAUAAAAAUAAAUUCUUCAACUUUAUAACUUUGAUGGAUUAAUUUUUGUGGGACAGACCAAUGGAGGACUUGCAAAAGUUUCUAGAAACCAUAGUAUUAAUUAAUAUACGUACAGAGUUUUGCUAAAUUACUUGCAAAAAUAGCUACCUAAUCUUAUAUAUUGUUUGAAUUUUCUUUUAUUAAAGAAGUGGAUGACUAAUACAUUAAGGACUCGUCAAGAACUUAAUUAAUCCUUGAAUCCCACCACGGCCACUACCAGAAACUAAGUCAAUUCUUUAAUGACAUCAACUAUAUACACACAUACAUAUAUAACCGUACGUAUUCUCAAAUUUGUCAUGAUGGAAGUGCUUAUUGCUUUAUUUAUUUAUGGUCAUCUUUGAACCUAAUGGUGUGAAAAUGUCAACUUCAAUGCUUUUUGGUGCUUCCAGUAAUGGCCUUGUGACACUAAGUUGGGCUUUGAAUUCUUUUUAUGAAAGUGAGGGAGGGAGUAAAUUGAGGUAUAAGUGCAGAAAAUGAAAUGAAAUCAUUAAUUAGUUAAUGGGUUCAUAUAUGCACUCAUUUUCUUCAAAACUAUUACUCUCUCCCUCCCUAAAUAACUGACGUUUAAGAAUUCUUUGCAACAAUUAAAAAAAAUUAAACAUGACUCUUUUGUCCUUAAUAAAUAAAUUAACCAAACAAGAAAUAAUUACUCCACCACGUUAAAAUCUUAUCAGUUCUAUUUGUUGCCAUAAUUGUUGAUAGAAACAAGGAAGAAGAUGCAAGGCCAAUGGCUCAUCCAAAAUUUUUUGCCGCUAAAUUUUUGCUUCAAUUUUCUUUUUCGCUCUAAUAUAUUGUUGAUACCAGCAUAAAGAAAGAAGCUUGAAGACGUCAAUUGCUUGACUUCUGCUACUCACUUAGGAAGCUUGAAGACGUCAAUUUUUUUCCUGUAUCUGGUGAAGACUUCUGCUACUUAUUUAGGAAUCCAUGGAGAUGAACAAUUGGCUUCCUAAUCAUAGCAAGGAGGCAUUAGGAGACAGAGUUUGAAAAACAAUCAAAUUCAUCCCCAACCACAUGAACUAUACAGAAACUAAGAAACCUGUAACCAAAUUUCAAAUGACAAAGUCAUUUUUCUAGCAACCAAAUCCUCUCAAAUUGAAGUUUGUCAUUCUCUCAAAUUGAAUAGAUUGGUUCUUGGUUUGGGGCAAGUGAUAUUGCUAUAUCCUAUAUUUAUUCAGCAAGACAAUGCAAGAACUCAUAUUGCUUUGAAUGAUAAGGAAUUUUGUCAAGCUGCUGCACAAGAUGGGUUUAAUAUUUGUUUGAUGUGUCAACCUGCAAAUUCUCCAGAUUUGAAUGUUUUGGAUCUCGGAUUUUUCCAUGCCAUUCAAUCAUUACAACAGAAAGAGCCUAUUAAAAAUAUUGAUGAGCUGGUAAAUGCUGUGGUGAAGGCUUUCAACGAUUAUCUUACAUUGAAGUCUAACCGUAUAUUUUUGUCAUUACAACUGUGUAUGAUAGAAAUAAUGAAGGCCAAAGGUUCGAACAAGUACAAGAUACCACAUAUCAAAAAAGCAUUGUUGGAAAGAGAGGGCAGCCUACCGACUCAAAUAAAAUGUGAUUUUGAAUUGGUACAAGAAGUUAUGAAUUAUCCAACUCCAUUUGAUGUAGGUAUGACUUGAAUUUUUGUAUACUAAUAUCUGUAAUUGUCCUUAAAUAGGUGUUGGUUGAUUUAAUUGGUUCUCACAUUGUUCUACAGACUAACUCAAGUGCUUUUCAAUUUUAAGUUAGAGGCCUUUUGUAUGCAGUUGCCAAGAGCUUCUUAAUUUUGGUACUACAGACUAACUCAAGUGCUUAAUGUUGGUGUUUUUAUGUUGAAAAUGUUAUUAAGACUGCUUAAUUUGGUUUUAACAAUGUUGCUUAAUUUUGGUUUAUUCUGGUGGAUGCAUUCUCUUCAAUCUACUGUCUUGAUCAUUGUGUUCUUAUAUUGAAGUUAAAAUUCUGCUGGUGUAUGAAUUUUGCUGAAAACUUCUUUUAAAAAUAAUGUAUGAUUCUAACAGGAGCAGUUGGGAAUUUUAAGUUAUAAAUGUAUUUACAAUCUAUAGUAGAUUUGCUAAUGAAUAGGCAGUUGCCAACCGACCUGGUGCAUUCACUUCUUAUCAGUCCCAAACUUCACAAGAAAUACAUUAUAGAUAGUACAAUUUUUUGCUUUGGAUGUCAUUACUAAUUUCAAUAUGCGAAAUUUAGUUGUAUUUCCACUAAUUCAAUGAUUUUUCACUCGGUAUACAGGAUGCAUGUUGAGAAUGUAAUUUUAUGGCAAUCUGGCUAUACCAUAAAAAUAAUUCCAUGAAGCCUUACAUUUCAAGGUUACACACACCAGGAUUCAAAACCACAAGAAUGCAAAACACACGCCGAAGCACAAAAAAAUACAACAGCAGAUGGAUGAAAACAGUAUCUACUGUAUCUUCCUUCAUGUUCUAUUUUCAGGAAGCAACUUUAGAUGGGGGCAUGACUAAAGCAUUGCAAUGUUGACAUAAGGUUUAAGACAUGUGAACCAUCAGCCAAUUUUAAUGUGUUGUUGCUAAUGAGAAUAGAACUCUCUCUUGUAAAUCUUUUCUAUUAGAUGCUCAUUCAUGAAACUCAAUAAAAGAGCAGAGCUACAAAUAGAUUUUAAUGUAUAAAAUUAUUAUAUAAAUAUUAGACUCAUUCUGAUGGAUUCCUAUGCUUUCUAAGCUUCAUUUUCUUUGUGCUACUAUUCGAGAUAAUAAUUUUGGUAAGCUUGAAUAACAUCCUCAAGCUUCACUUGAACAUGAAGCCAUUAGCAAUAAGAUAGUCAAGACCAUUAAAGAUAUGGCUACAAAAAAUCACCAAACUCAUCCUCCAACUCAGUACCCUUCAAAUGCUAAGUUGCUUACUUGAGAUAACAGUAAUUCUUCACAUUAACCUGAAAGAAAAUUGAAAAUUCUGACAUGAAAGAGGAAUAUGACAAGGUCAAGGCUAUGCUUUCAAACAAACACAUAAUACGAUCUCCGAAUACAGGCCAUGCAAGCAUUUGAUAAUAUACUCUAUUUUUUUUCAUUCACUAAAUGAUGAUUUUCAACAAACAGAGAGUUCAUUCAAAAAUUUAACAUUACAACUGACAUGGUUAAUAAAAUUUUGAAAGAUACACUUCAUCUUCAUCUUCAAUUUGGGUUUACAAUAUACUCUGUUUUUUUAUAUUCUCUCUCUCUAAAAUUCCUGUUCUACAAAAUACUCCAUGUUGUUCUCGAAACUCUCUUCCUGCCAGGAAAGUAAAUAGAUAUUAUUAGAUUCGCUAUAUUCAUUGUAUAGUAUAAUUCCCAUAUAAUCCCAUUUACCUAACUUAGCCUAACUAUCCUACGAUAGUCCCACAAAUCAAGCAGAAUAGAAUCCUUCCCAUAUAUUAAGGAUUCUCAUGUAUCAAUUAGUUUGUAUAACGAAUCCUUCCCAUAUAUUAAGGAUUCUCAUGUAUCAAUUAGUUUGUAUAAAUAUUAACCUUAAAGAAAUAAAAUACUCAGGGAAAUAAACUCUUUUAUGGUAUCAAAGCCUCUUCUUCUCCAAAUCCCCUUCUUUAUUCUUCCCCAUGGCUACCCUUCACCCUGCCCUUGCUAUAAACAACAUCAAAAAUCAAAUUCCCGUCAUCUUAGCCAUGGAUAAUGAUGAAUACGAUACCUGGGUGGAGUUGUUCCGUCUCCAUUGCACUGCCACCCUGGUCCUCGACCACAUCCUGCCCCCCGCCCGAUCCACCGACCAAUCCCCCUACGGACCCCGCUAUCUAGGCUCGUCUGGAUGCCGUCGUCCUCCAGUGGAUUUACGGAACUAUCUCCAAUGAUCUGCUCCACACCAUCAUUGCCCCAAAAUCCACCGCUCGACAGGCGUGGAUAAGUCUGGAAAAUAUAUUCCAGGAUAACAAGGCCACCCGUGCUGUAAGUUUGGAGCAGGAAUUCAACACUAUCCACCUCAAAGACUAUCCGUGUAUCACUGCAUAUUGUCAGGCCCUGAAAAAGCUCUCUGACCGUCUCACGAAUGUCGGCGCUCCGGUCACAAAUCAACGACUGGUCCUCCGGCUCAUCGUCGGCCUCAACUCCAACUACGAUGGCAUUGCUACUUUCCUUUCUCAAAGCUCGCCCCUACCAACAUUCUCCGAGGCCCGUUCACGAUUAAUCCUUGAAGAAACACGAAAAGCUAAUCAGGCUGCCAUGGAGGCAACCACCGCAGACACUGCCUUAUAUCAUCAGUCCCCGCCAGACCCGAAACUGGACAAUUCGUUCACCCACAAACGUCCAAAUUUCCGCGGAUCUGGCCACGGUAAGGGCCGUAACAAUCGCCGCCAGGGUCGUGGGGGUGGCCACGAUGCAUCCUCUGGUGGCUCCUCUGCUUCUGCCAUUUAUCCCUAGGCUCCAUAUCAGCCGUGGAGAUGGGGGUGGGCCCCACCUUGCCCCUACCCCACCUCUGUCAAUCCGCGCUCUCCACCGAGCCGCUACCAUGGCAUACUCGGCCGAGCACCGCAACCCCAGGCCCAUGUUGCCUCAGCUGCUGCUCCCGACGGUCCUUCCCCGACAGACAUCGAGGCUGCGAUGCACACUUUGGGUUUAACUCCUCAGGACCCGAAUUGAUACAUGGACACCGGUGCAACUUCUCACAUGACUCCGUCUCAAGGUAAUCUCUCAUCUUAUUUUAAUUUGAGCACUAAAAGAAAUAUAAUAGUCGGUAGUUGCCAAGGAAUACCAAUUCGGGGCUACGGACAGGUCACAUUACCUCCCAUUUACCCUCGCCUUAAACUACAUAAUGUUUUACAUGCCCCCAAGCUCAUUAAAAAUCUGAUUUUCGUUCGCCGUUUCACUACCGAUAAUAACGUAACAAUUGAAUUUGACCCUUUCAGUUUUUGUGUGAAGGAUAUCCGGACGAGACAACCAAUCUUGAGAUGUAACAGCACUGACGACCUAUACCCUCUACUACCCUCCCCUACCACCCAACGCAACCCGACAGCCCUAACCACCACAGCUCCGUUUUUAUGGCACGAAUGUCUGGGACACCCGGGGCCAGCUAUUCUUCGUUCAUUGCGUCAAAAUAAAUUAAUUUCUUGCACCUCUAGAAAUAGUUUAUCUAAGUGUCAGUCUUGUAUUUUCGGGAAACAUAUUAAGUUGCCAUUUAUUGAUUCUUCUAGUCAAACAUUGUCUGCUUUUGAUAUUAUUCACAGCGACUUAUGGACCUCACCAGUUUUGAGUACUGCAGGACACAAAUACUACUUAGUAUUACUUGACGAUUAUACAAAUUUCUUGUGGACCUUUCCAAUUGGCCAAAAAUCCCAGGUUUAUCCCAUAUUCUUAACUUUCGCAAAAUAUAUAAACACACACUUCAAUAAACAAAUAAAAAAUUUCCAAUGCGACAAUGGCCGAGAAUAUGAUAACUCAAAUUUUGCCCAGUUUUGUAAAAACCACGGAAUGAGUUUCCGUCUCUCCUGCCCCCACACAUCAUCUCAAAAUGGUAAAACCGAACGUAAAAUCCGCUCCAUUAAUAAUAUCAUCCGCAGAUUACUCCACUGCGCAUCCAUGCCCUUUUAUUUUUUGGCAUUAUGCGCUCCACAUGGCAACCUACAUAUUUAAUAUACUUCCCAGCAAGCUUCUUGCUUACUCCUCCCCAACCCAACUCUUAUAUCAACCCACACUUUCCUACACACACCUCCGUAUUUUCGGCUGUUUAUGCUAUCCCCUAUUCCCACCCCCCACCAUACAUAAACUCCAAAAACACUCCACCCCGUGUGUGUUCUUAGGAUAUCCCCCCAAACAUCGUGGAUACAUGUGCUACGACCUCUCUAGUGGCAAAAUUAUCAUAUCCCGCCACGUGAUUUUUGAUGAGUCCAAUUACCCCUUUGAGGCUGCCCCGUCCGCUGCCCCCACUCCACUCGCCAGAGUCGAUGAUGACCCUUCCCCUCUAUUACAUGAGCUCAUUGACCCCACCUCGGGUGCCCCAUGUACGACACCACCUGUCUCCCCCACUCGGACAGAUCCACCGCGGCAUGACUCCCCACCCCCUGUACCAUCAAAUACCACCACAACCUCCCCUAUCACAACCCCAUUCCCUCCCUGGACAAUGACCACUCGCGGUAUGCGCGGCAUUUUCAAACCAAAAUAUCCCCUUAACUUAUCUAUUAUCUCCAGCCCUUCCCCCAUACCUCGUAACCCAAUCAGUGCCUUGUCCGACCCGAAUUGGAAAUAGGCCAUGCUCGACGAGUACAAUGCUCAUAUUAUUAAUAAGACUUGGGUAUUAGUUCCGAGACCACCUAAUGUGAAUAUAACUCGGUUCAUGUGGGUUUUUCGGCACAAAAAGAAAUCUGACGGUUCUUUUGAACGGCAUAAAGCCCGUCUUGUUUGUGAUGGCAGGUCCCAGCAGGUUGGCAUCGAUUGUGAUGAGACGUUCAGCCCAGUUGUCAAACCGGCCGCCAUUCGUGUAGUUCUCAGUCUUGCUCUGUCUCGAUCAUGGACUAUUCACCAACUUGACGUCAAGAACGCUUUCUUACAUGGCCAUUUGCAGGAAACAGUCUAUAUGCAUCAAACUCCUGGUUUCCGUGAUCGUCACCAUCCCGACUAUGUCUGCCUAUUGAAGAAAUCCCUUUAUGGCCUCAAACAGGCUCCACGAGCUUGGUAUCAGCGAUUUGCUGAUUUUGUUUCGACUAUUGGCUUCACUCACAAUCGGGUGAUCAUUCCCUAUUUAUUUAUCAUAAUAAUAAUGACACCGCCUAUCUGCUCCUCUAUGUUGAUGACAUCUUGCUUAUUACCUCAUCUGACAAGCUCCGCCAGUCAAUCAUGUCUCGUCUUGCCUCCGAAUUUGCCAUGAAAGACUUGGGUUCCUUGAGCUAUUUUCUAGGUAUCGCAGUAACUCGACAUAAGGAGGGCCUUUUCCUGAAUCAACGCCAAUACGCCAAGGAAUUAAUUGAGCGCGCAGGUAUGACCGACUGUAAGCCAUGUGCCACUCCCAUUGACACCAAACCAAAACUUAGCUCGGUCUCUGGAUCACUUUAUAGCAAUCCCACAUUGUAUCGUAGCCUUGCAGGUGCCUUGCAAUAUUUUACAUUCACCAGGCCAGACAUCUCCCAUGCCGUUCAACAGGUAUGCCUACACAUACACGCACUAAGCAAUGACCAUAUGGCUAUUCUUAAACGUAUCAUCCGCUACGUCAAAGGAACAAUAACUUUCGGCCUUCACCUUUACGCCACCCCUGCUACUGAUCUUGUAUCUUACACCGAUGCCAAUUGGGGCGGCUGCCCAGACACCAGAAGAUCAACAUCCGGGUAUUGUGUUUUCUUGGGCGAUAACUUGGUCUCUUGGUCCUCUAAACGCCAACCAACCAUGUCCCGCUCCAGUGCUGAAGCUGAAUAUCGGGGCGUUGCCAACGUCGUCUCUGAAUCCUGUUGGCUCCGAAAUCUACUACUUGAGCUCCAUUGCCCCCCACGAAAAGCUACAAUUGUUUAUUGUGACAAUGUGAGCGCCAUUUACCUAUCCGGCAACCCUGUCCAGCACCAAAGAACUAAGCAUAUUGAAUGGAUAUCCAUUUUGUCCGUGAACAGGUUGCUCGGGGUCAAGUUCGUGUUCACCACGUACCGUCCCGUCAUCAAAUUGCUGACAUCUUCACUAAAGGUCUUCCGCGCGUGCUUUUCAAUGAUUUUCGGGACAGUCUCAGCGUUCGUGAACCUCCCGCUUCGACUGAGGGGGUGUAUUAGAUUCGCUAUAUUCAUUGUAUAGUAUAAUUCCCAUAUAAUCCCAUUACCUAACUUAGCCUAACUAUCCUAUGAUAGUCCCACAAAUCAAGCAGAAUAGAAUCCUUCCCAUAUAUUAAGGAUUCUCAUGUAUCAAUUAGUUUGUAUAACGAAUCCUUCCCAUAUAUUAAGGAUUCUCAUGUAUCAAUUAGUUUAUAUAAAUAUUGACCUUAAAGAAAUAAAAUACUCAGGGAAAUAAACUCUUUUAGAUAUGAUUAAUAAAAAUUAGGGAGAUAGAUCUUCAACAUAUCCAUGAUAACAUCUUGAAAUUUUUCUUCACAAACUUCUUCGGCUACAUUUGGAAACUUGUUCAAAUCGAAUCCGAGAUCCGCAGGUUGAUUCAAAUCAAAGUUUCUUGGAACUUUGAUAUUUUCAGAAUCAAAAUUCACGAAAUCUCCAUUUUCUUGCAUUUUCAAUCUAUGGAGUACUGUGUUUUAAGAGAAGAAUUGCAGGUAUGGUUUCUUAGUUCCAUACAGGUCAAGCAAUCAAUCCACUCUUGGAAACCAACGAGAAUGUCAAGAGCUUUUUUUCUUUUUUGAACCAGAACCAGAAGACGCUAGUACUAAGAAGAAAGGGUAGUAUUGGAAUAAAAGUGGACAAUUUAGCUUUAAACUUUUAAAACAUCUAUUAUUUUAAGAAAAAUAAAAACUCCUUAAACGUCAGAUAUAAUAGGAUGGAGGGAGUACUACUUUUUUCAUUGACCGAGUGCUGAUAUUCAUCAUCCAUCAAAAUAUAUAGUCCUUUGAAUUCUAGUCUCCAAUACUCUGGGAAAAAAAAUAUCAGCUGAAGAAAAAAAAUACAAAGUGCAUGCAUGACUCACAUGUUACAACUUAUUUUAAAUUUGAUCAUAAAAUGGAAAGUUUUUAUUUAUUUUUGCCGUGAUGUUUAUGAAUGGUUCCAAAUAUUACAAAGAUUUUUAUCUUUGAACUGUUGGAGAUGGGGUUACUUCGAUGGUUCGUUCAAAUAUUUUUAUUUCACAAAUUACUACUAUUUCAGAUACGUCAUGGUGUAGGAUUUUUUGGAUACGCACACGCACAUAAAAUAAAUACAAAACUUCCUAUUCCCCAUCUUCGUCGGUAUAACAAUACAUUCUACCAGGUACAUAUCAGCAAUAUGUCAUCUGCAGUAUAAUAAUAUAUUCACAGUAUAAUUAACUUACCCUUAACCUGACCCUGACAUAUUGCCAAGUGUUUGAGAUUAAUUACUUAGCUAUAACCUUGUUCGACGAUAACUUAAAUGAUACAGACGGAGGAGUUAACUUACCUCCUCCUUAAUUCUUGUUCUUAAUCUUAUCCUUGGACCCUUCACGAGGUUUUUGUGUUGUUCCUUCCCCUAUCUCUUAGGACUUAGGAGUCAUUAUUAGGGUUGGCUUCCUUUAGCCUACUUUAUCUAGAUGCAUGAGAAAGCUCCAUCUAAUAACAGACUCAAUAUUGACGUCUUGCUUCCAAAGCAUAGUGCUUACAAUUAUCACCGGACAUGUGUAUGUUGUGUUGCAGGCCGGUUAGUGAGUCUAGUCCUCACCUUUACCUUCAUUGUCCUGUAAAAUGGGAGAUUAAUUUGGCAUAACAAUCAUCCGCCGAAUCACAAGUCCCCCCUCGUACGUAUUUUUCUUCAUUUCCUCCACCAGAUGCCUUUAACAAAGACCACCCUCCUGCACACACAUGUACAUACAUAUAUAUAUAUAUAUAUAUAUAUAUAUAUAUAUAUAUAUAUAUAUAUAUAUCAUAAUAUGAAUAAUUAAAGAGAGAGAGAGAGAGAGUAAUUAAUUACCAGGUACAAGAAGAAUCAUGAGGAUGAUCAAGUAAGCGAACUUGUUGUAUGAAGCCUUCAAGGCCAUAUUUUUGUAUAUAUGCUACAUACCAAAAAAUAAUGAAGUUCAUAUAUAUGGAGUAUAUCGCUUGAUGCACGAAUGAAUAUGUAUAAGGAGAGCCAAAACGUCGUCCUCUAUAAUUAAAUGAUGAAAAUAAUUAAGCUGAAUUUCCUAACCCUAUUAUAUAUAUAUAUUCACUUAUACGUGAAAUAAAAAUCAUUAAAGAUACUCUCCACUCUGCAAAAAGAUAUUCAAUUAUUUUUUUUCUAUUUAAUUUACAAAAAGAUAUAUAUUUGUGUAUCAAGCAAUAUAUAUGAACUUCAUUAUUUAAUUUGAGAAUAUUCAUUCUGCAAAAUACGUUGCCCUUGGUCAUGAUGUAUACACCGGUCAAAAUUUGGUCAAACUUAAAUUGUUUUUUUUUUAAUUUUUCUUAUCCUAGCUGAUGUUAUAAAAAAAGUUGUUUAGGACUAUAAAUAAGUACGCUUAUUAGGGGUGCUUGUGAACAAAUACGUUUUGUUUAAUUGAGAAUAUUAUUUUUCGUUCUCUUUAUGAGUUCUUUAUCUUUUUUUGCGGAUUCAAGCUAGGAUUUUUAUUCUGUUCUUGUUGGUACGAUAACCUUCAAAUCACUUUUGUGUUAGAGCGUUACAAUUUAACCAUUAUUAAUUCUGCUACGUAUGAAAGAUAAAUUAAAUAAUUUAAAUUUUAUUGUAGGGAUAAUAUGAUAAACUAAGUCAAUAUAUUAAUGCUUUCUUAAAAUAUAAAAACGAUAAAUAAAAAGGAACGAAUUAAAUUUUACUCUAUAGAAAAACAAAUACAAAAAGAACGGAGAGAAACUAAUUAAUAUAGACGUAUUUCGUGGGAAACUGACAUGUUAGAAAAUUAAUUAAGAAAGCUAAAACUCAAUAUUUAAGGUAAGCUAUAAAUUUAUGUUAUAUUUAUUUUUAAAUUAAUUUAAAUAAACGUAUUUAAUCGUGUUAAACGUGUCAAUCAGCUAAUUAUGCAUGUGAUUGACACAUUUAAAUUUUGUGGUAAACGUGUUGAUAUGUUUAUGACAUAAAAAUUGUUUACACUUAAUACUAACCCUCUCUAAUUGUAUGUUGUGUUAGUGUCGAGUUACCGUGUCAUGUUAGAAAUUGUCACUCCUCAUAUAAUUAAAUAUGAUAUGCAUGGUGAAUAGUAUGAUUUAAAACAGCAGUUCAUCAUAGAAACACAAGGACAUCAUACAUUAGAAUUUAUGGAAUUGGUAGUAUCAACAUAAAAAAGUGUUCUAUUUUUUGAAAGAGUACUGUAGAAGACUGAAAUAUAUCAAAUAUAUUAUGUUUUAAUGAAAAAAAUUACAAGUGAUUCUUGUUGAAUGAAAAAGAGGCCGGUGUCAUUGAUUCUUGUUGAAUGGGGGAUAAGACCAUAUGAGGAUUGAAAACAAUGUUUGGAACCUAAAAAAAACUGUCUUAUGAACAUAUCCACACUUUAUAAAGAAUUAAUCAAGCGUAAUUAAUUGACCAAUUGUUAAGUAAAGUGGGCAAAUUAAUUAAUCCUUACAUAAAUAAAAGCUAUAUAUAUAUAUAUAUAUAUAUAUAUAUAUAUAUAUAUAUAUAUAUAUAUAGAAUAUUGGACAAGACGGGGCAAAAAUUUGCAUAAACAAUAUAAAAAAAAUAGAGAAUUAAUAUUUUUAUUUUACAGUGAGAUCUAGUGAGGAGGAAUUUACGCAAUUAAUAUUUUUAUUUGUAAAAAUAUCAAUUAUCAAAGUCAAUAGAUUGUAAUAACUCGCGUUUGUUAUAAAACUUAACAUCAUCAUAAUCCAUAACCAUAGCCAUAGAGAGACUCACGCACAUAAAAAACGAAGAAGAAAAAGGAGAGGUAGAAAUUAUAACAGCUGGAUUUUAUAUAUUGGUAAAUUGAUUGAUAAUUAAUAGUGAUGACAUGGAUCAGAAACACGCGCAGGCGUUUCGUAUACACAUUGGAGCCAAGGUUCUACCACAGCACUGACGGCAGUCAUUGAGAUCUUGACAUACUAUGUUGCAGUUGCGAAGAAUACCCUCGCACCCAUUCCAAGGUUUGUCGUCAGAGCUGGACGUCAAUUCCGGCGCCGAAUAAUUAUGGCGAUGGUCAACACAUGUCCAGUUGCCUUUCAUAUAUUUGGGAGUCCCUACUUUACAUGAAACUUUGCAUUCGCCGGAAGUUAUACUCUGUGGCCUCAUCCCACUAUUUGCGACUGAUAAACCUGCCCAUGCAAUGACAUACAUACAUGCAAACAUAUAAUUAGUGACAUUCAAAUAAUCUGUCGCUAUUGUAAAUUGUUCACAAAUACUAAUACUAAUAUUUUUAUAUAUAUAUUUAUGUUCGUUAAGAGAGACUAACCAGCAACAAGAAGCAAUAGGGCUGACACGAAAAGCAGCUUAAACGAGUACUUCCCCAUAUGUAUAUCUAUUGCCUAUUGGUGAUGUGAUUUAUAAGCAACUAUGCUAUCAGUUUUACUUAAUUUGCAAUGUUAUACUACUAUAUUAAGAAUGAGUAUGCUCUACCAAGAGGGGAAGAAACAUGAAUAUAUAUAGAGUAAAGGGCAUUAAUUAUUUAGAUUACAAAAACUAUCCAGAUUAUUAUCAAUUAAUGUCAGAUUACAAUAUUUUAUUUGGCAAUUAAUAUUGUCAGAUUAUAAAUAAUAUUGGCUGACCAUAUAAUAAAUAUUGGUUAACGUGUUCUCUAUAACAUUAAUAAAGGUUUUGCUAAAUACACAUUUGUUCAGUUAGCAUCAUUUUGUGCUAUAUAUGACAAUAUCACAAUCUCUUAUUUAAUCUUUAAAAAAAUAUUUUAUUUAUUAUUUUAAUAAAUUAUGGAAGUUUUCAUCUCCAAUAAUGUGAUAUCAGUAGAAAAUUGAUAUUUUCACAAGUAAAAAUAAUAGUUUCACAAAUUUUCUCUCACAUAAAUAAUUAAUGGGUUUCAUUGUGGAAAUAUCAGUUUUUACUUGUAAAAAUAACAAUUCCCUAUCAUUAAUUACUUGACUAUGUAUUGGUUAUGUCUUAAAUAUCAUUUGUCUUAUUUAAUGUUUUGCAGACAUAUUUGAAAAUAAAAAGCGAAUUAUUACUCUCAAGAAAAUUUUGAUAUUUUCAUAAGGUUUCUCUUAUACGAGCGUCGGUCACAUUUAUUAUUCAUGUGAAUGGAACCUACCUUAUAGAAAUAUCAAUUUUUCAUGUACAAAUAUUAAUUCCCAAAAAAAACACUUGAUACGGCCCCCUGCAUUAGUUUAUUUAUUUUAGGAUAGUCUAGUAAUUUUAUUGCGUAUGUUGUUAAAAAAAUAAUAAUAAAUAACUCUCUUAAGAUGGUUUUUCUAUAAAAAAAAAUCAAUAUAUAUUUAUUAGCUAAAUUGACCAUAAUUUGUCUCAUGUCAAUCUUUUUGGUAAUUUUGAACCUUUUUAAAUAUAAUUAUUAUCAAAUUCUCCCUUAGUGUUCUAUUCUUCAUUAUCCAAAUAAUCAUGAAAUGAUCUGGCAUUAGGAUGGGUAUAUAUGAUAUUAAUUACUGCAUUCGUUUAAGUUUAGAGACAGAAAAUAGAAGAUUAAGUUUAAACUUUUUAUAGUUAAAUUGAGAUCUUUUAAAUUAAAAAUUAAUGUAAUUCAUUUAAUUUUUGAAAAUAAUAUAAUUUGUAAUUAAUAGAACAAUUUAAAUAGUUUUCAUGAUUGUAUUAUCUAAUUUUAAAUGAAUUUAUAUCAAUUUAAAAUUUAAAAUAAUUUUAAAAAAUCGCUAUUAAUUCUACGAGGAAAAGAAAAUGAUCAAGGAAUAUUAUUGCAAUCAAGGAAUUCAAAUUUUUUUAAUUUAAAUUCUCUAAUACAUGUUAUUGAGCUCCCUCUCAUAUCAACAGUAAAUGAAUUCCAUAAUAAAUUUAUUGCAACAACACUACUCGGUCCUAAUACACAUCAGCUUACAUUCCGACAUUGCAACAUUACGGAGUAAUUUAUAAUUAGAUUAUGGAAAUUAAGUGAACGUAAAAAACGUUGUUUUCCAUCAUUUUAUUUAUUUUUUUAUUUUUCUAACCACUUAAAACUUCAAGACAAUUAGACCUGACCCAAACCCACGGGUCGCAUAACUCAUCCUCUAAAUUCAAGAGUUUGGACUUAAAUUAAUGUCACCGGGUCUUUUUGACUCCGUCCAUUUAAACCCAACCUGUGGGUGAUCCGAUCCAUUAGUUAAUAUUUAAUAUUAUUUUUACUUAAAAUUUCUCCCAUUAAUAUGCACUAAUAAGUUAACUCUCCAACUAUUUCAUCUUCUCUUUAUAAUUAACCAUCACUCCUUCCUAAUUCUUUUGUCGUUUUGCAACUAUCGGUACUAUUCAUUCUCCAUACAUAAAAAGGUUGACCUUAAGGGCACAUUUUAAGCACUGAAUUCAAAAUAUAAGACCCACUGAAAAAUAAUUUUAAAUAUGUAAAAUAAUAUUUCAAUAAGACCGUAUACAUUUAAAAUUAUAUUUCAAUGAACUUCAUCCCUUAAAUUUCGUGUUUAACACGUGUUAAGAAAAUCCCUUUUUCAUCGUUUUAUAACAAAUUGAGUUUUAUUGUAUAGAAAACUUGGAAGUAAUUUAUGUUUUAUUAUUCAAAAGAAGUUGAAAUAAUUUCCGUUGUAAAAAAUAAUAGGUUCUUUACAAUAAUAUACAAUAAUCACUAAAUAAUUACACUAUUAGUGGAUCUAUAAAAUAAUUAUAAAAAUAGUACAAUUCACAUUAAUAAAGAAACCUAAAAUCAAAAAGAAAUAAUUGUCAUAAUUAAUAAUUCAAAUUCAAAUAUUUGAGAUCUAACAACAAAAACAAAUUCAAAAUAAUAAUUCACCCAAACUAAUAUGAGCAUAGAUCAGAUAGCCCGUCAGUAAGUCCAAUAACCCAAACAAAACAAAUUACUUGUACAUCCGAAACCAUAAAAAUAAAAUUCGAUGUAUUACAAACUUUUCCUUUCUUAACGAAGAGAGAUCAUAACAUUCACCGCCAUUGUAAUCUGGUGCGAACCACAUCAAGUAGAAACCUUCAUCUUCGAAUAUUACAGUGGACUCGCAGAGAAAAUAUUAGUCAAGCUUCAGCAACUGGAUAGAGAAGCAUGGCUAUUUGAUUUUUCACAAUUUUUUCAUGUCCGAAAAUUCCAAUUCCAAUUUCGUGGUCAAAAGAAAAUAAGAACACUGUAUAUGAAAAAGAGAGAUAAGAGAGUGAUGUGUAAUGUAAUGUUAAUAACCAAACAUUCGUACCAAGGUAACCAAACUAUUAUACCAAGGUAACCAAUCUACCUCCACACAUGCAGUAUGAAUUGGUUACCUUGGUUUGAAAGUUUGGCAACCAACGGUAUGAAGGUUUGGCUACCAACUGCAAUAACAUUCAAAAUAAAUUGGUAAUUUAAUAAAACUGAAUUGGUUAUCUUGGUAUGAAGGUUUGGCUACCAACUGCACUAUAAAAAAACUACAGGUGUGGAUGUGGAUUGGUUACCUUGGUACGAAGAUUUUGUUACCUUGGUAUGAGGAUUGGUUAUCUUGGUAUAAAGGUUUGAUUACCAACAGCACUAUGAAAAAACUGCACCUGGAUGGAGUAAUUAAUAAAUGUCAUACACAUUUUUUUUAGUAAGUGGGCAUGCACCUAGCUUAAACCCAUAUAUAUAAAAACAGUAAAACCCCUAUUUAAGAAUAUUCUAUAUAAGAAUAACCUCUACAAUAUUAUAAAAAAAAAUGGUCCCAAUUUGGGCCAGUUAUAAAUAUGAAUAACUUCUAAAUUGUAAUAUGUUAUAUACUCCCUCCUAUUCAUAUUAAAUGUCUUUUUAGAGUUAAACACACUUUUUAAGAAAUAACACAAAAUAUCUUUUGUAUCCCUAAUUAAUUAUUUCUCUCUCCACAAUGGUCCAUGGAAUUGUAUUUACUAAACAUAUUAAAUAGAGGGGUAAAUUAAAAAAAAAUAGUGUAAUAUUACAUAGGGAUUCCAAAACAACACUUAUAUAGAAUAAAAUGAAACUCUAUAAAAAGAUAUUUAAUAUGAAUAGGAGGGAGUACUUUUUAAGUCUCGUAUUAAAAAAUUAUACCUCUAUAUAGUAAUAAUUUCAUAUAUAUAUAUAUAUAUAUAUAUAUAUAUAUAUAUAUAUAUAUAUAUAUAUAUAUAUAUAUACACAUAUAUAUAUAGAGAGAGAGACAAUAUUAAUUUUAAAAGACUAUAUUUUCUAUAAAAGACUACAUUUUCUAUAAAUAACUACAUUUUCCUAUAAAAUAUUAUAUUUUCCUAUAAAAGACUAUAUUUGCUAUAAAAGACCAUAUUUUCCUAUAAACAUUUUCUAUAAAAGACUACAUUUUCCUAGUUUGAAAAUCUAAAUAAUUUAUGUGAGUUCUUAUUGACAUUUUGUUAAUGUGAAUAUUUUUGGGUGUUCGAAAAAUAUUUUGUACCAAUACCGCUAUUUAGUAAUAACCUCUCAAUUAGAAUACAAAUAAUUUGGUCAUAAAUUUAUUCUUAAAUAGAGGUUUUACUAUAUAUAUAUAUUUAGAGAGAGAGAGUCAGGAUUAAGUGCAUACCACUUAUCUUACUCACUCGUGCUCACCCCCCUUUAGGCGACGAUUUCGGUUAUACAACCGUUGUCUAUACUUUUAACGACGGACAACAUAUAGCGUUGCUAAAAGUAUAAACGACGGUUGUAUGACAGAAACCGUCGCCUAAAGGGGGGUGAGCACGGGUGAGUAAGAUAAGAGGUAUACACUUGAUCCGGACCGUAUAUUAUAUAUAUAUAUAUAAAACAAAAUAUAAUUGAUUUUAAAUUUUCUGCUCACCUUAAUAAAUCAUCUGGGCCAACCAAAGUUUGAGAUAAAUCCUACUGUCCAUGUAGUGCCGGAGGCACGGGACGAAUCUAGAGUGAUUCUUUUAAAUAACACUCCCGCUUAAAUAUCAUUUCCUUAUUAAAACUAAUAUAUAUAUUAGAACGGAUGUAGAACACUCCUCUUAAAUAUCACUACCUCUUAAAUAUCACUCAUUAAUUUAUUAAAAUUACGUCGUUUUGGAGAUUCUUUUAAAAUACUCCAUACAAAAUAAUAAGUAUUAAAAUAUAGUGAUCCCACUUGUUUUUUUUUAUUUACAAAAAUAACACUCGCGACUCCACAUGUUUUUUUUUAAAAAUUUCAAAACAAUGUAGUUUUAAUAAAAUAGUGUUAUUUAAGAGAGAGUGAUAUUUAAAAGAAAUGCUUUUGAUCCGUUAUAUAUAUAUAUAUAUAUAUAUAUAUAUNNNNNNNNNNNNNNNNNNNNNNNNNNNNNNNNNNNNNNNNNNNNNNNNNNNNNNNNNNNNNNNNNNNNNNNNNNNNNNNNNNNNNNNNNNNNNNNNNNNNNNNNNNNNNNNNNNNNNNNNNNNNNNNNNNNNNNNNNNAUCGCCGCCGGAACCAAAACCGGACUGCAAAGAACCAGCACAGGGGUGGCUAGGGUCAGUGCGAUCACCGUUCCGACGAGGGUCAAGCCUGAGAGGACAAGAAAGGACCCAUCGGAACGGUGUUGUGCCGCGAUCAAAAAACAAUCAGUUGGGAGUUGUUGAUCUUGAUUACGAGGAUUCUGAUGAGAGAUGGACAAAUGGGAGUCAUUUUCUGUGUUGGACAUUGCUUUACUUUCAGUUAGAGAUACUGUGUGUUGAUGAAAGAAUCAAUGGAUGAGAGAGAGAAAAGGAUGAGGAAAACAGUGAGUUAGAUCUGUAAACAUUUUUGCCUUGUUUUGAUUUGGGGAGAUAGAAAAAAAGAGAAUAAAUUCACUAAUUAUGUAAAUAAAAAUUUUAAAUGCAUUAAUUAUGUAAAUAUUUUAUGAGUCCACUAUUGUUGUAAUUAUUAUAAUUAUUUUAAAAAAUAUACUAAAAAAAUAUAAUUAUCCCAUAAAAAAUAGGUGUUUUUAACCCAGCCCAAAAAACUCAUCCGAAAGUAUUACAACCAGCAUUAAAAUGAAAGUCAAGCUUAGAUAAUGAUAUUUUGGAUCCGAUUAUCAUAAAUUUAUUUAAUAAAAUAUUGACACGCAUUAAACUUCGUCUGCAUGUAAUUAAUCAAUUGAUUAAUUUACUCAAAAAUAAACUUUAUGCUAACAAUUUAUUUUUUAAUAAAUUGAUGAAUUAACAAAUAAAAUAUUGACACGCAUUAAACUUCGUCUAUAUGUACUUAAAAAUAAAUUUAUGCCGAUAUUUUUUGUUGGUAGGGUACUUUCUUUGUCAGUGGUAUUUUAUGUACCCUUUUUUUUUGGGUGAACAAUUGGAUAGAUUGUUUUGGCUUAUUUGAUUACUUUUAAUAAAUACCAUCAGAUCUUAGAAUGAAUACAAUACAUGGAACAAGUUAUUCAAAAAUAAAAAAUAAAUCUUGAUUUAUUUUUCUAGGUCUUGCCAAUUGACAUGGAUUAAUCAAAGGACAAUUUACAACAAGAAGAAAAAUGAUUUAGUGUAGCACCAUGCUCGUAAAGUCUGAAGGGUAAGUAUCCAACAGACCAUGUAUUUUGGUGCUUCAAAAUCCACACAAAAAAUUAAUAAAAAUUAUCAUAUUUAUUUAUAGGGGCUUCUUUUCAUUGCGGGUGAUUGAAGAAUUAGCAAAGCAAUCAGAGAACUUUGAAGACCAUAAUGGUACGAUAUGAACUCAACAUGGAGGUUCAGACAGAAAAAGCUCAUCAUUUUACUUUGCUAUUUUGUUUAGAUCUGGAUCUGAUUUCAAUUUCAAUUGGUUAAAAAGUAGAAGAGAUCAUUGUAGGUGUUUUGGCAAAUAAACAGAUGAUAUUAAACAAAAGAAAAGAAUACUGAGUUCAAUCGAAUCUUGUUUAUGCCAAAUAUAAAUUUUAAUUUAGCACCUUAAAAUACCAGAUCUCGAAUUUUCCUUUCAACUAUGCUUCAAGUUGAAAGGGGCUAUAUGGUGCAGCAGCAGCAGCAGGAUAGAGGAGGAGAGAGAAAAUAUAUACAUACAUACUAGGGAUUGAAGACUUUGGAGUUACCUACUAAGUACUUUUUUUAUAGAUAAA